CUGAGUGAUAUAAGAAUUUCAAUUAACUUAAACAAAAGUGAUUUCAAAAAACAGUUUUUAAUACAAAAAUUAUGAAUUUCACUCUUCAAUAAAUAAAAGUGGAAGGAAUCUUGGUAUUGCGUUCAUAUGGUAGACUCAAACAGAUACUAUAUAUAUGUGAGUGCUUGGUCUCCUCAGAAUUCAUAAGAAAAAAACAGCAGUUGCAAAGCCUCUCUUCUAUUACUUGCAGACCAUGGCAGGACGGUCCUUUCAACACCUUCUUAGCUUUCUUAUGCUUUUGCUGCUAUGUGCCAAACCUGGCCUGGGGAAUGUUACUGGGUGCAUAGAGAGGGAGAGACAAGCUCUCCUUCACUUCAAACGUGGCCUUGUCGAUGAAUUUGGCCUUCUUUCCUCUUGGGGAGACGACAACAGAGAUUGUUGCCAAUGGAGAGGAGUCCAGUGUAGUAACCAGUCUGGUCACAUCAUCAUGCUUCAUCUUCCUGCCCCGCCAAAUGAAGAAUAUGGUGAAUUUGUUAUUUACCAAUCUCUUAGAGGCGAUAUAAGUCCUUCGCUGCUUGAAUUGGAGCACUUGACUCAUUUGGAUCUCAGCUGUAAUGAUUUUGAAGAGAGGCACAUACCUCCAUUCCUUGGUUCCCUCAGCAGAAUGCAGUACCUCAAUCUCUCUCAUGCAUAUUUCGCUCAAACUGUUCCCACUCAACUGGGAAAUCUUUCCAACUUGCUUUCCCUUGAUCUCAGCAAUAAUUAUUUGAAGUUUGGGAACCUUGAGUGGCUUUCUCGUCUUUCUUCUUUAAGACACCUUGACCUAAGUUCUGUCGACCUUAGUAAAGCCAUCCACUGGUCCCAAGCAAUUAAUAAACUCCCUUCUCUCAAUUCACUUGGAUUUACAAAGUUGUGGUCUCCCUCCCAUCCCUCCACUCACCAUUCCGUCUCUUUCCCAUGGGAAUUCCUCUGUCCCUCUUGUUUUCCUUGAUCUCUCUUUUAACCAUCUCACUUCUUCAAUAUACCCAUGGCUGCUCAACUUUAGUACCACCCUCCUUCAUCUUGAUCUCUCUUUGACUGAUUUAAAUGGUUCGAUUCCGGAAUAUGCUUUUGGGAACAUGAGUUCCCUUGAAUAUCUUGAUCUCUCUUCGAAUCAACUGCAGGGCUCAAUUCCAGAUACAGUUGGGAAGAUGGUUUUACUUUCCCAUCUUGAUCUCUCUUUCAAUCAACUGCAGGGCUCAAUUCCAGAUACAGUUAGGAAGAUGGUUUUACUUUCACAUCUUGAUCUCUCUGUCAAUCAACUGCAGGGCUCAAUUCCAGAUACAGUUGGGAAGAUGGUUUUACUUUCACAUCUUGAUCUCGUUGUCAAUCAACUGCAGGGCUCAAUUCCAGAUACAGUUGGGAAAAUGGUUUUACUUUCACAUCUUUUUCUAUCUUACAAUCAACUGCAGGGCUCAAUUCCAGAUACAGUUGGGAAUAUGGUUUUACUUUCACAUCUUGAUCUCUCUAGCAAUCAACUGCGGGGCUCAAUUCCAGAUACAGUUGGGAAUAUGGUUUUACUUUCACAUCUUGAUCUCUCUCGCAAUCAAUUGCAGGGCUCCAUUCCAUAUACAGUUGGGAACAUGGUUUCUCUUGAAAACCUUUAUCUCUCUCAGAAUCAUCUUCAAGGUGAGAUUCCAAAAUCCUUGAGUAAUUUAUGUAACUUACAAGCAUUAAAGUUGGAUAGAAACAAUCUCUCUGGACAGCUUGCACCAGACUUUGUGGCCUGUGCAAAUGACACAUUAAAGACUCUGUCUUUAUCAGAUAACCAGUUCAAUGGAUCAGUUCCUGCUCUUAUUGGAUUUUCAUCCUUAUGAGAGUUACAUCUUGAUUUUAAUCAACUAAAUGGAACUUUACCUGAAAGUGUUGGACAGCUGGCCAAACUUGAAUCCUUGGAUAUUGCCUCAAAUUCAUUGCAAGGCACUAUCUCUGAAGCCCAUCUCUUUAAUCUAUCCCAGUUGUCCUAUUUAAACUUAUCUCCCAACUCUCUCACUUUCAACAUGAGCUUGGAGUGGGUUCCUCCAUUUCAACUGUUUGAUCUACUAUCAGCCUCCUGCAAAUUGGGACCUCAUUUUCCUAGUUGGCUUCGUACUCAAAACCGGUUGAGUGAGCUUGAUAUCUCCAAUUCUGAAAUUUCAGAUGUCCUCCCAGACUGGUUUUGGAAUGUAACCUCAACUGUCAAUACCUUGAGUAUUUCCAACAAUCGGAUCAAAGGAACCUUACCCAAUUUAUCAUCAACAUUUGAACGUUUUUCUAACAUAGAUAUGAGCUCAAACUGUUUUGAGGGUUCAAUACCACAACUUCCUUAUGAUGUGCAAUGGUUGGAUCUCUCCAAUAACAAGUUAUCGAGGUCCAUUUCUUUAUUAUGUACAGUUGGUACUGAGUUACUUCUACUUGACCUCUCAAACAACUCGUUGUCGGGAGGGCUGCCCAAUUGUUGGGCGCAGUGGAAAAGCUUGGCAGUCCUUAAUUUGGAAAAUAACAGAUUUUCUGGGCAAAUUCCAAAUUCAUUUGGCUCCUUGCGAUCAAUUCGAACACUACAUUUGCGCAACAACAAUUUAACUGGAGAAUUGCCUUUGUCUUUUAAGAAUUGUACAAGUUUGAGGUUCAUUGAUUUGGCAAAAAAUAGGUUAUCAGGAAAAAUACCAGAAUGGAUUGGAGGAAGCCUCCCAAAUCUGAUUGUUCUAAACCUAGGAUCUAAUAGAUUCAGUGGAGGUAUAUCUCCAAAGCUAUGCCAAUUGAAAAAUAUUCAAAUAUUGGACCUCUCUAGCAACAAUAUGUUAGGUGUUGUACCGAGAUGUGUUGGUAGUUUCAUUGCCAUGACUAAGAAAGGGAGCUUGGUCAUUGCUCAUAAUUAUUCAUUUACAGACUAUGAUAAUUGUAGUUAUUUCAAUUGCAUGCCUACAAAUGCCUCUUAUGUUGAUAGGGCAUUGGUUAAAUGGAAAGCAAGAGAAUUUGAUUUUAAAAGUACCCUUGGGCUUGUAAAGAGUAUUGACCUUUCAAGCAACAAACUAUCGGGGGAAAUUCCAGAAGAAGUAAUUGAUCUUGUAGAAUUAGUUUCAUUAAACUUAUCAAGGAACAAUUUGACUAGACUGAUUCCUGCAAGAAUUGGUCAAUUGAAAUCAUUGGAGGUUCUUGAUUUGUCUCGAAAUCAACUCUUUGGUGAAAUUCCAGCUAGCCUUGUUGAAAUAAGUGAUCUAAGUGUCUUAGAUCUCUCUGACAACAACUUGUCCGGUAAAAUUCCACAAGGUACUCAACUUUAAAGCUUCAAUAUUGAUUCCUACAAGGGAAAUCUUGCACUCUGUGGAUUGCCUCUUCUGAAAAAGUGUUCUGAAGUUAAAAUAAAGCAGGAUUCUCCCACUCAUAACAUUGAAGACAAAAUUCAGCAAGAUGGAAAUGACAUGUGGUUUUAUGUUAGCGUUGCUCUUGGAUUCAUUGUUGGAUUUUGGGGAGUGUGUGGAACUUUACUACUCAACAACUCCUGGAGAUAUGCCUAUUUCCAAUUCUUGAAUAAAAUAAAAGAUUGGCUCUACGUGAUUAUAGCAAUAAAUAUGGCUAGAUUACAAAGGAGUCUCCAAAGCUAAAUGGUACAAUUCUCUCCCUCUUUCCCUCUUUUUCAUUUGUACUUGUUUUUGAAGGCUAACAAUUGUCAAAGAAAAGUAGGCCUUUACAUAUCCUUGGGAUAUACUUUAUAAAUCAUGAAUGCUAAUGCAAAUUUUCUUUGCAUGCAACUAAUUGAAGGGAUUUUUUCAAAUUGAUGAACACUGAUUUUUACUUUGUGUUAAUUAUAGGACUGCAACUCUUGUUCUUGCCAUAUUAGCAUGGUUGAAUGCAAAUCGUUGUGUCCUUCCUUCUGUGAUUGAUCUUGGGAUGUAAUAGGUUUCUUGUUUUAUUUUAAGGAUUUCUUAUGUUCUUUAAAUGCAUAUUUUAUAUUAUAUUCAGAAAUUUCUGUGACAUAUUAUCUCUUUUCUUCCUUACAUAAUGCUUUUAUUUGGUAUUUUGGAUACUUUAUGAUUCAUCCAAACAAUAUUAUAGAAGGAUAUCAAAGGUAUAUUAGAGUCCAGCUUUCUAAUUUUAAAAAUAUUUCUUUAGCUCUAAAACUAAUUUGUAUUCAUUAAAAUUAAAACAAAAAUAAAGGAUAAUGCCAUUUGGUUAUGUAUGACAUAAGUUUUCAACCAAUUAUUAAUAAUCAAAUCAUAAUUUCAACACUAAAGAAAAAAGAAUUUUUUUUUCACAAGUUAUUAAUGAUCUGUUUCUCUCUUUCUAAAAAAAACUAAAUUACUCUAAUAAAUGGGAAACUCUUUCUUUCUUGUCAUCAAAGCUUUUUCACUUGAAGUUGUCUCACAUGCAGAUAAUUUUUGUGAAAUAUUUUGUUUUCAUCAAUUUUAUAGAAUAUUAAGUCUAACUUCUUUUCUUAAUAAAAGGUUUUUUUUAAGCAAUUAAAAAAAUCUCGUGUUAUUUUCUCUAUUUUAACAUAUUUCAACUCUAGGAUGACUAAAAUAUGAUUGAAAAAUAUAAAAUAAGAGAGAAUAAUUAUAUUCUAUAAAAGCCAUUAAGAAUCAAGUCCUAUCAAGUUUUUAAAGUGGUAAAAAUGAAAACUUUUAUAUUACCAUUCUUUUAUAAGUUUUUGUAUUUAUUAGUUUUUAUUUAUUUCUCUAUGAUAAAAUCUUUUAUCUAAAAUAUUUUUCAAUAAUUCUUUAUUAUGAUUUUUUAAAUUUAAAAAUAGAAAAGACUCUAAUUCUUAUUAAAAAUAUUAUUUAUAUUAAUAUUUUCUUCUAAGCUCUUUCUAUUGGAACAAGUAGUGACUAUGUAGACCCCUCAUUUUGGUUCUAGAGGAGACUUAAUUCUUUCUGGUUACCUUUCGUUCUGUUUUCGCCUUUUGGAAGGUGAGUUGUAAAAGACAGGUGGCAAAAGAGGAUAUUCUGGUGGCAGACUGUGAGGGUAAGACAUGUGGCAGUGAGGUUUUGGUUUUUCUGCUAGUCAUUUUAGAGUGAGUAGUGGAGUGUCUUGGUAGUAGGAAGAGCCGGGGGGUUGUUAGAGGGUAGUAGAAAAUGUCCUUUGCAGGGAUGACACGUAUUAGAGGGGAUAUAUUUUGGGUUAUUUGGUUAAAGGUGCCAAAACAAGCUGGUAUUUGGAAAAAUGACCUCUACCUUUUUAAAACCUGAAGAAUGACCCCUUUUGGACUAAAUUACCCCUGAAAAAAAUUAAAGAGAAACCUUUGAAAUUCAAAAGUGCAGAAAGAAAGAUAGAGAACUAACUAAGGGUUCUCUUUUGAAUGGUAGACUGCAACACACUCUUUGGUCUUCUAAUAUUUUUUUUUGUUUUUUUGUUUUUUUGCAAAUUUUCGUAUUACUGCUGAUUAUUUGUCUAAAAGGAUUCUAAAAGGUUAUUCAUUUGAUUAAAGUGUGAAUUUUUUUUUUCUCCAGUUUUUGAAAAAAUGCGGGAAAGGAAGAGAACGAAAUGAAGUGGAAGAGAACCAAAAAGGAUCUUGAAAAGUAAGUUUAUUACUUUGAAAUAGUUUUUUUUUUUAGAUUUUUCUCUUGUUGAUUUCACAUAUUCGCUUGAGGUGUGUAUUUUCUUUCUGCAUUGUUUCAGAAAAAAUAUGGGAGAAAGUAAUGGUUUAUACGUUCACUUUUUGUUAAGCAUAAAUAUAAGGGUUUUUCUUAAAUUUGUUAGCUUAUUCCUCUUUGAUCUUGAACUCUUAAAACACAUUGGUCUACCAAAGAAGAUAUCUAGUUGAAUUGAAAAAAAAAGUCUUUAAUUAGAUUUCUUAGCUAUUUUAUUUUGAUGUUUUGCUCUAGUUGUUAAGAUUUUGAAGCAUGGUGUUGUGACAAAUGCUUUGUUUCUAUAGUGUAGAAAAGUGACAAAUGUGUUUACCAAUUUGGUCUUCUAAAGAGUUGAAUCAUAAUAAGAGAAAUAGAAUUUGCCCCCAUUUUGAUAUCUCCUCCCUAGUGAUUAGAAGAAACAUUUCAUUUGUCCCAUAGGAAAAUGAAUUUGUUUCCUUAAACCCCCAAGUGGAGACAUUGAAGGUGUUGCUAAAGUCUUUUUUCAUAAGCAGUGUUGGAAGAAUGGUUUCGAUUUCUUUUCCAAAAUUCAAAACCCUUCUUUUAGAGUAGUUUUGGCCUUUAUCAUAAAGUGAAAACAACACUUCUUCUAUGAUUCAUGUCAAUUAUUCUCCUUUUGUGUUGCUUAACUUUUAAGUAAUGGAACCAAUAUGAUAUACAUGAAUAGUGUGAAACCAAGGUUUGGUUAAUCUUGAUUUUGAUGAUAACAAAACAAGGUUUAGAACUAAUGAUCAUAUUUCAAGUGUGAUUAGGCAAGACAACUUCCAAAGUGGUAAUCCAAAGACAAAUCAAGCCAAGGAGAAAUCAUGAAGAAGAAGACCACCUCAAAGAGAAGAGUUUUUCAAGACCAAAGCUUCUUAAGAUCUCUUUGUAAGGUUGUUGGUGCACUAGGACUUUCAUGUAUUUCAUUCUUUAUUUAUGCACCAAAAUCAUCCAAGAGUAAUAUUGUUUUAAAUAUCUUAAGAAUUGGAUGAUUUCAUGUUUUUUUAACUAAAACCUUGUGUUAAAUGAUUUUCAAACUUGUGUUAAAAGGUUUUAAGUUGAAAAAGGUUGAGUGUUGAGCCAAAAAAAAUGGCUCAACCGGUUCAACCGGUUGUGCUCGUCCGGUCGAGGACCGGUUGUGCUUCUCCGGUCGAGGACCGGUUGAGGGAGGCGAAAAAGUUUCUCUCUCUCUCAGUGGCCUUCUCUUCCCAGUCAAGGUUGAACCUUAACCGCUUGAGGUCCGGUCGAGGUCCGGUUGAGGCCUAACGGUCACUUUUCCUAACGGCUAGUCAACCGGUCAAACCCCCAACAGCUAGUUUGGCUUUUUUCUUCUAUAAAAAGACUCCAAUCUUCAUUGUUUCAUAAGCUUAACCUUCCCAAUUCAUUCUUGAUUAUAUUUGAGCCUUGGAAGAGUGUUUUUUGAGUGCACCAUUGUUUCAUAACUUGCAUAUCUUUAGUGCACCAUUAAAUCCUAGUUUUUUUUGUAUCUUUGAGCCUAAAGUUCUAUUACUAGGAUUUUGAGAGAUCAUUAUUUGUAUGUCUUUGUGAGGAAUUUUCUCAAGUGCGAGGUAUCACUUGAGGGGUUGUUCAAGAGUGGGAUAUCUCUUGAGAAGUGUAAAGGGUGCUUGGAGCCAAAAGUCCAAGAGGGUGAAUUGGAACCAUAAUCCAAUUGUAAAGAGAUUAGAAGCUUGGUUGAAGCUUCAAGAUAGUGGAACCCUCACUCGGUUAGGAGGUUGAGGAGAGUGGAUGUAGGCAAAGAAGUGCCGAACCACUAUAAACUCUCGUGUUUGCACUCUCUCUUCCCUAACUCUUUUAAAUUAUAUGCAAUUGUAUUUAUUUUGUUUAUUAUAUACUUGCAUAUAAUUGUUUCUUAUUUUUGCAUAGUUUAAAUUUGUGAAAAAGAGACCAUCACCCUAUUUACCCCCCCUCUAGGGUGAUUACCAUAGUUUGGAGUAGCCCUAUUUUUCUAACAAAUAGUCAUUCUUUUCUAUUAAUGACAAAAUUGGAGAUCAUUGUAGUCUUUGCCAAUUGGGUGUCUAGUUUUUUAGAAAUUUAGGGGAAAAAUUUGUGCCUAUUUGUAGUUCUUUUCCCAAGGGAUAGAAAGGUGGUUUAACUGAAAAUCUCAAUUUUCAUCAAACUAUUUGCAUCCCUUGCCUAUCUAUAGUCUCGAUUUCACUUGUAUAUAUUGAGAAGAAAAUCACUACUCUCCCUUAGAGGUAAACCAACAUUAAGAAGCACCCCAUCAAGGUCUAAACCCAGUUUGCUUUUACUAGAUCAUAAGUGACAUUUGCUAAAUUUGGGACCCAGUUGGUCCUACAAUGCAAACCACAACAUUGAAAUAGUAAUCUCUAACAAAAGUCAUGACAAAGAACAAUCCCAACUGAGGGCUGAAAUAUUACUCACAACUAAAAUAUUGAGUGAGAUGAUGCAUAUGCAUAGCUAGAAUACUUCUGCCAUAUGCUUUCUAUAAGUAAGGAUAGUCCUUUAGAACUUCACUUAUAUCUAGAUAUAGAUGCAAGGAAAAGCAAUAUGACAUGGAGUCAUGAUUAGUUCUUAAAAUUUAGGCAUGAAUAACCAAAGUGUUUGAACUCUUUAGAAAAUCAUGUGCAUUAUGCAAUCUCUUUAAUCAAUAAAAGAUUUAAAAGAAUUGAAUGAAAAAUGUAGUGUAAGUUUUAUCAAAAUGCAAAUUUCUAAAACUUGUUUCUAAGGUGAUGUAAAAUAAUGUUAUACAAUGGUCUUUAUUUUUUCUCUCUUUUAUAUAAAUAUACAUAUAUACUUAGUAUAAACUUAUGGAUUUUAAUAAGUAAAUUCAUGAUUUUAAUAAGUGGUCUAAGUGUCUUAGAUCUCUUUGACAACAACUUGUUCAAUAAAAUUCCACAAGGUACUCAACUUCAAAGCUUCAAUAUUGAUUCCUACAAGGGAAAUCCUGCACUCUAUGGAUUACCUCUUUCGAAAAAGUGUUCUGAAGAUAAAAUAAAGCAAGAUUCUCCCACUCAUAACAUUGAAGAAAAAAUUCAGCAAUAUGGAAAUGACACGUGGUUUUAUGUUAGCGUUGCUCUUGGAUUCAUUGUUGGAUUUGGGGAGUGUGUGGAACUUUACUACUCAACAACUCAUGGAGAUAUGCCUAUUUCCAAUUCUUGAAUAAAAUAAAAGAUUGGCUCUACGUGAUUAUAGCAAUAAAUAUGGCUAGAUUACAAAGGAGUCUUCAAAGCUAAAUGGUACAAUUCUCUCCCUCUCUCCCUCCCUUUCAUUUGUACUUGUUUUUGAAGGCUAACAAUUGUCAAAGAAAAGUAGGCCUUUACAUAUCCUUGGGAUAUACUUUGUAAAUCAUGAAUGCUAAUGCAAAUUUUCUUUCCAUGCAACUUACUAAAGAGAUUUUUUCAAAUUGAUGAACACUGAUUUUUACUUUGUGUUAAUUGCAGGACUUCAACUCUUGUUCUUGCCAUAUUAGCAUGGUUGAAUGCAAAUCGCCGUGUCCUUCAUUCUAUGAUUGAUUUUGGGAUGUAAUAGGUUUCUUGUUUUAUUUUGAUGAUUAUCUAUGUUCUUUAUAUGUCUAUUUUGUCCUUUAUUCAGAAAUUUGUGUAACGUAUUAUCUCUUUUCUUCCUUACACAAUGCUUUUAUUUGGUAUUUGGAUACUUUAUGAUUCAUCCAAACAAUAUUAUAGAAGUAUAUCAAAGGUAUAUUAGAGUCCGACUUUCUAAUUUUAAAAAUAUUUCUUUAGUUUAUUCAUUAAUUUUUUUUUUAAAAAGGAUAAUUGGUUAUGUAUGACAUAAGUUUUCAACCAAUUAUUAAUAAUCAAAUCACAAUUUCAACACUUAAGAAAAAAGAAAUUUUAAUCGCAAGUUAUUAAUGAUCUGUUUCUCUCUUUCUAAAAAAAUUAAAUUACUUUAAUAAAUGGGAAACUCUUACUUUCUUGUUGUCAAAGCUUUUUCACUUGAAGUUGUCUCACAUGCAGAUAAUUUUUGUGGAAUAUUUUGUUUUCAUCCAUUUUUUGCUUGUCUCAAGUUAACUUCGUUUUCUUCUUAGUGGUUGAUUUUAUGGAUCCAUCACUAAAUCUGAUUAUUAAAGAUCAUGCCCCAACUUUCUUUUGAUUCCACCCUAGUGUAGCUCAUUGACAAUCCAUGAAAUAGGGCUAAGAUUCAUUGAUGUUUCGUUUAUUUGUUCGUUUGUGCUUUGCCCCUGUUUUGUUCUUCCCUAUAUUCCUCUAUUUCUGGUGUCUCUGGGUGAGGAUACAAUAACUUUGGUCAGACAGUCUUUGAGAAGUAUACAGAUUCCUGGUAUCAUCACCAUUUUGUUGGCGUGUUGGAGAAGUAUUGCAUUGGACCAGGAUGAGAAGGUAAGAAACUUCCAGCUUCGGAGCAAUACCUUUGCUUUCUUACUGAUUUCCAAAGCUGGGACUGGAAAUCUGAUCACUAAAAAGAAUAGUGAGCAUUUCGGGUUGAAUGAGGGUCCUUCGAGAGUCUACGGAUGAUGGCCACUUGAUUUUGGAGUUGGGGAACGAAUUUUCUCACUACCGAUGAUAUGAGUGUCAUACUAGUUGCAAAACUGAAGAGAAGAUUGGGAUGUGAAAUGUGGGCAAAAUUACAUUUGACUGGCAUGCAUGUUGACUAGGGUAUCAAGUUCCACUGGAGAUCAGGUAGAGGCAAUGGCCUUUCUAGGGGGUUUUAGACAUAAAAUGUGCUUUAAUGGCAUGAGAAUUUCUGGGUCCCUUUCAUCUAGUACUGUUCAUUUGUUAAUUUGGAGACCCAUUUUUGGUUUUGUUGAGGGUUCUGAGUUGAAGCUGGCCUGUGUUCAUGUGCAAAGCUAUCUUAUAUUUGUUUUGUUGAUAGAAUGUUAAAAUCAUUAAGAGUGAUAGUUUACGCCGAGCCACAUUGUUCAGAAAGGAGAAGUGGUUUUGAAGGAAUCAAUCCCAUGAAGUAGUUGCCUCCAACAAAGAUUUGGGCAUUUUGCAUGAAUAUAGAGUGGUGAUAAUUGAAGGAGUCUGGGGCUCUGAGCAUUGACACUUGAAGAAUGGCUUCAACAGGGCCACCAGACUUUAAAGAGAUUGAAUUCCUCGUUAACAAGAGAGGGAAUCCAGCUGAUUAUCACCCAUCUUGGUACUGGAAAUGAAAUGGGCUGUUCCUGUGCCUACACGUCUUAUAAAGGGAAAACCAUAUUGUUUGACUCUGGAAUUCUUCCCACAUACACAGGCACGGUUGCUUUGCCAUACUUUGACGAGAUUGAUCUUUCAACCAUUGAUGUCCUUUUGGUGAUACCCUUUCACUUGGAUCAUGCUGCAUCCCUUCCAUAUUACCUGGGAGAAGACAUUUCUGUGCAUUCAGACAGUAACAUGAAAGCUCGGUUCCUGAAACAGCACUUGCAGCUGCAAUCAAUCAAGCUCUUUCCCACCCAAGCCCUUGGUGCAUGUGACUUCUUCUGCAUGGCCAACCAAAGUUUCUACAAAGCCCUCCAUCAAAAUCCUUCCUCUAUCCAAUCCAAAUCCCAAGCCAAACAACUCCGUGCCUAAAACCUGAAGACAAACUCACUAUCUCCCCAAUCUUCAUACCCACCAAAUUCAUCAUGACAUACCCACCACCAUCAGUUUGUUUCCCAUCACAAUACUCAACACAAUCACUCCUCACACCCUCUACCUUCAACUUCAAACCCAUCAUACUCUCUCCAUGAUCCUCACUUUCCUUUCUCUCCCUAACAUGCUCUUCAGACGGUAACCAUAAAUCAACCAGAAGCAGCUCCUGGGUGGGCCCUAGUGGGCUAACCUCUCUCAUCCGGUUUCUCAUCAUUGCCCAAGACGACCUUGACAUACCAGUAGCCACAGUUCAGCUAGUAGAUGCGUCCAUGUGUGACGUUACUUCCACUCAGCAUGAAGAGAAGUCCUAUAGUUUAUUGCAUCCAGUCAUCACAAUUCUUGAUGGAAAAGAACGAGAUAUUGCUUGUCUUGUUACUAAAGUCGAGGAUUUAAUAUUGGAAGAUAACAAUAUGAAGUUUAGGCUAAAAUGGAUGAUUCUAUACUGGUUUUCGUACCCGUUUAUUCAUCCAAAGACGAUAAGCUACAUGUGUGAAGACAUUGGAAUCAUCUCAAGAUCCCAAAAUAGUCUCCAUGCUAAUGGCAGUAGCAGAGCCAGUGGAGCCAUGGAACCUCAAGCCUCUAGGAGCAUAGGACUGUCGGAGGAAAAUUCGAUGAGAAGAAGCACAAGGUUGGAUGCCGCCUUCAACUGAGCAUGUAAUGCUAUUUAGUUCUUCUCAUUCUCAGCACCCAAAAAGCUAGAAGGACGAUUUGAGGUGACUCAAGUUCAACAAGCUGUGAGCCUAGGAAUGGCCCCACGUGCAUGAAGUUUCGCACCACCCAAGAGCACGUGGCCCUUUUGAAUCCGACAGUGUUCUUGUUUAUAAUAGUGAAAUAUUUGGAGGAAUUCAUGUUGGCAGCAACUAUAGAUGCUCAGAACUCAAUCUGGACACAACUAUAUUACUCAUAAACCUAUUGCUAAGAAAGUAAUAAUGGAAUACUGAAAAUGGCUUGCCAACCUCUGAUAAGCAACUUCUGGUAAUCAUAAAGAAGACGAGAUACGGAAUGGAAAUCAAAUCAUGGUGCCCGAGCCUUUGGGAAACUCCUCAUUACCAAAGGAGAGAGAACCUGUUAUUGAUGCCGAUAAGCUUUCUGUCACCAAUAUAUCACCAUCGGGAUGCUUGGCAAACCUCCUUGAAGACCACUCUGGUAGAAUUGAUGCUCUCAUAGUUAAACUUCCAAAGUGGGUUGCUACAUCUGCACUCAAUCAGUUCAUGUUGUUAAAGGCUGAUAAGCUUGACAAGGCAGAAGCUCCUCAAUUGCCUAUAUGGCCCCAUCAUGCAUUCCCACAAGUUGACACAAAUCCAUGGUGGUGCUUAAGGAUCAGAAUCAGACAUAGCUUAGGCACGCUGAAGAUUGCUAGAUGAGAAGCAGUAUCCAAGCAUGGUGAUUGGUUUAGAGGCCCAUCUACCAAAAAUCUGAAGACUAAAUGUUUGGGAAGGAUUAAGUUGAGGUAGGCCUACAGUCAAAAAGCUGAAAAGCAACAGAAAACAGGUUGUGAUUGCUUCGGGGAGUGAUUGGGGCAUUUAAGCAAAGAUUCCCUACUAUCCUGAUGAGAAUCAGUAAGGCUGGAAAGACCAUGCUGAUGAAUGUUCUAGAAGAAAGACAAGCUAGAGGUCAUAUUGAAAGGAAACAUUAGAAUAUCUGGGUUCUCCAAGCAGCAUUAAACUUUUGCAAGAAUUUCCAAUUGAGCAGAAUGAUAUCCACUCUCCUCCAGUUACUGUUAUUGAAUCUUUGAUCUACUCAUUUCUUUCCUGGAGCUCAUCUUUUAACUCUUUUAUCUUUGUAAGGAUUUACAUGCUGCCUUAAAUUGAGUUUUCAAAACUUUUCCAUUAAAAUAAUUCCUCUUUUCUAAUUUCAUCCUUAGGAGUUUCUAGGUAAUAAAUUUUAGCUUUCAUAAAAGCUUGCUGCCGUAUUUCACUCCGACAGGCACUUCUUAUCAUCUCCCUUGUCUUUUUUAACAAUUUUCUUGAUUUUUAAUAAGCACGAUUAAAUUCUCUAAUUCUAGAAAAUGGAACUUAUAGAAUUAAUUCCUGCAAAAAUAAUUCGGGUAGUGGUGGGGCUCAACAUACAUGUUAUUCUCUUUUGUGGAUUAAUUCUAAUUGAUAUGCUCAUUGAAUAUUGACUGACUUUGUGUGACAUACAUGUGAUUAAUUCCAUGAUAGCACAUUAUUGAUUCGCUGCUCAGGUACACAUCCUAUCUUUUCCCAUCUGUUUGAUCACUAUCCAUUGAGUACUUUGACUAUAGUAUGUCUUUGAUCACUAUUUGGUAUCCACGAUUAAUCGGUUAAUUGUCGUACAUGCCUCAACUUAAUUAGUAGAGACCCAUUUUUAGGGGCUUAGAGGGUUGUUACAACUUAUCACCAUACCUUCUAGAUAGGUAACCUAACCCUCGGACCUAACCCGGUUUUUCCAAAAACUAUUAUUUCUUUUAAGAGUCACACUUAGGGUUUUUCUUUCUUAUUUUGUUUUUCCCUUAAAAAAUUAAACAAAAAUAAAUAACAACUCUUUAAAUAAUUUUCAAAAAAAUCAAAUUUUCAAAUAAAAAAUGAGUCUCGCCAUUCGUGUGGGGAUGCAUGAGAAAAAGGCCGGUCCACAGACUGACUUUCUUGUGAAGGCAAAUUGAAAGUGAGGACCAUAGUUUCAAUGGUGCUAACCUCAAUAAAAACCAACCUCAUUAAACCUCGUUGGUAUAGCCACAUAGAGUUACUUUCUAAUUUUCUCAUUUUUUUGGGCUCAAAACUAAUCAACUAACAACUAUUAUCAUAUAAUUAUUUGUUUAUUUAUAAAUAUAUUCUAAUAAUAAAAUAAAAUAUUUGAUUAACAUGUUUGAGAAUACCUAUAAAUAUUUAAAUAGUACCAAUGAUAAUAUCCAUUAAGGAUUAUUAUCUUAAGUUGCUUACUUUAUUUUUGUUAUACACUUAUAAUGACCCACUUGCCAUAAACAAAGCUAUUAAGUUCAAGGUACAUAUAGGUUAUGUUUGGUUCUUAGAAAAUUUGAAAGAAAAUAUAAGGGAAAAAAAAUAGGAGGGAAACGUAAAAGAAAAGAACAAUUGAAGAAAAAAAAAGAAUUUAAAGACAACAAAUUAUUUUUAUAUGACAUUUCAAACUUAUUUAACUUAUUUUAACUCUUCGAUAUAAAGAUAAAAUAAUUUGAAAAUAUAUAAGUUUUUAAUUAAUUUUAAUUAUAUUUGAUUUUUUAGAGGACAACCAAACAUAAGAAAAUCAUUUUUCUAAACAUUUUUUUCUUUUCUUUCCUUAAUACUUCUCAAAAAUCAAACAAAACCAUAACAUAUUUUUUUUAUAAUAAAUCUUUAUUCUUUAUUCAUGCAAAAUUCCUUUACUGACUUGAGCAUAGGAGUUAUAUAUAUAUAUAUAUAUAUAUUAUUAUGAAAAAUACUUGUAAAACAUUAUUAUCAAUUUCCUUGUUAGAAAAGCCAAUAUUUUAUCAUAUUUUAGUUUUCAUUUUAAUAUUUCAUUAUCACAAAAAUAAAAAUAAAAAUUAAAACUACAACUGUUUUACACUUUACCUUUAAAUUAUAGUUUUAAAGUUGAAUUUACUUAUCUAUUUUUAAUUUAAUUGUCUAAGCCUUUAAUAUAAUUGUUUUUAGGUUGUUCUAGGUCCUUCAAGUUUCAACUGCAACUAGGAACUAAUCGUCCCAAGGCUGGAGCCACAAACCAUUGAAUUGGGCUCGAAUCCCAUAUCUUGGGCCUAUUAAUGAGAGGCCUACCCUUUUUCCUUUACAAAAGACUAAGUUUGCCACCAAGCCCAUAUUCUUUUAUUGUUUAGAUUUGGAUCCUAACAUGCUACCCUUCUUUAAGUCCCAACAUUUUCAAGCCCAAAGUCUCAACCUUGUUAAAUGUCAUAAGUUCUCUAAGUUGAGGUUGCCUCUAGAAUGCAAUUAAUAAUAUUAAAAUGUUAUGAUUAAAAGAUAAUUAAUGAUAACAAAUAUAGGUUAUGAAAUUUUAAUAUCUCUAUUCUAAGAACCUAUAAAUAGAAUAACAACUUGACUAAUAUUAAAAUAUAUCAUUUGUAUAGAAAUGUAUCAUAUUUAUAGCUUGUUGAAUUUUGAAUAUCUUUGUUAUAGUAACAUAUAAAUAAAAUAAUAAAUUUUCCGAUAUUAAAAAUGUAUAUUUAUUUAGAAAGUAUGUAUAAGGAAAAUGAUAAAUUGACUAAUCAUCUUAAAAAUAUAUUUAUUUAGAAAACAUGUGACAUUUUUCUCAUCAUAUUCUUCAUAUUUGUAAGAAAGAUAUCAAAAGCAUCCUAAAAAUUAAAUCUAUUAUUCACUAUACUUUGAGAAGUAUCCUAAAAAAUUUCAAUGCUAGUUUACAUGCAUUCUAUAUCAACUUCUUGUUAGAUUGCUAGUGCACCUCAUGUUCUGCAUCUAGCAUCCUAAAAGUUUUCAUAAUGAACUUCAAAAUGAAUUUUCAUGUUAUUUCCAUUUCCAAGUCAAGGCCAAAUACAUAUUAAAAUCAAACACACAUAUAUAACUAAAACUAAAAGGUUUAAAAGGCUUAUUUAUGCAAAACAUCCAAAUAUCUCGAAACAUCUUCUUUUCUUUUCGUUUGUUAAAUGUUUCAUAGAGAGAAAGUAGAACACCUCAACCUGUGACAUGGGUCCUUCAAAAUGAACAAUGUUAGUGGAAACUAUAAGUGUAUUUUGUGUAUUGGAAAUUUCGAGUCAAUCAUAGCUCAUAUUUUUCAAAUCCUCUCUUGGACACUUGCCUUUUGCAAAUUAUUCAUGUUUGAAGAUGGCUAAAGGAAUUGGUAAGUGCAUUUGAGGUGAUGGAUGAUGGUAAAAAAUGAUCAAUCAUAUUUUAAUUUUAUAUCCUUUUAUUGAAAAAUGAAAUUGAAGCUUAAAAGUGUAAAACAUUGUGUUUAAAAAAUUUGGAUCGAUUUUUGUUAAUCGAACUAAAGAGUAAUAGUUUAUCCUGAACCCAUAUUUUUCAGUCUUGUCCGAUCGAUCAUAUUUCGAUCACACUUGUGAAUUUUUAUAAUUUUUCAAACAAAUCUCAAUCAAUUGAUGAGUUUCAAAACCCUAAUACUUAACAUCUCUUUCCAGACGUGGAGAGAUGACUGUGAGGGUAAAAACCCUGGUUUUUGAGCUUCAAGAUUCUCUUACUAUAUUGGGGAGUGUUUGCCUUAUGAGAUAAUUUAUGAGUUUCAAUUGAAAAUCAGUUUUUGAGUAAAAAAUCUUUAGUUCCAAAUGGGUUAAUUCAUUGUCUUCUUCAUCCUAUCUCUCAUAUUGCUCUCAUAUCCAACUUAUUGGGGUAAAACCUAAGAUUCUUCCUUUGUGGACUUAAGAAAAGGCUGAGAUCAAAGCUUUGAGUGAAUUUCAAGUAUUUUCUUGAAGAAGAAUGAUGGUAGCUAAAGCUCAAAGGUUCUAGGCAAGUGGUCUGAGAAAGAAUGAAAGACUUAGGCUAGGUAAAACCUUGUACUCAACUAUUUUUUCUUCAUAGUGGAUUAUUUGAUUGCUUGAGGCCCAUGGUUUUUUUUAUCUCUUUAGAGGUUUUCCAUGUUAAAAAAAAAUUGGUGCCAUUUCCUUUCCUUUCUAUUUUAUCUUCUAAUUAGCAUUUCAUAAGCUUAUGAUAUUUUUCAUUGUGUUAUGGCAAUUGAGUUAAUUAGAGCAUGAGCUAAAAUGCAUCUAUUGAAUCUUUGAAAGAACAAGAUAUAUGUUAGUUUUUGUUGAUUGAUGACAAGGGGCAUGUGAACAAAAGUUUUUAUGUUGAUGCAAUGUUUAAUAUAUUAGGUUUAGGGAGUGUUGUCUCAUUUGCAUGUGACUUGCAUUGAAUAACUUGUUUAGGAGAGUGUUGGUGCAUCCAUUGUUGCUUGUGAUUCGCUUGUUUGUUCAUAAAGUUGAAAAAAAAAAUCAUUGUAUAACGGAAAAACAGGGAAAUUGUGAGCAUUUAUGAGAUACCUAUCUUAUUGUUUUAAAAAACACCUAUUCGCCCCCUUCUAGGUGUUAUCCAUAAGUGAGAUUCAUCUUCAAUUGGUAUCAGAGCGAGUUUCAAAGCAAAAAUCAUUAUCGAUCCGUGAAUCUCAAAUAUGGAACCUCAUAAAGAGGGUGAUUCAAUUGGGAGACCCCUCUUUUUAAUUGGCGAAAAUUAUUCUCAUUGGAAAGUGAGAUUACAAUAUUUUCUCAAAAUGCAAAGUGAAAAAGUAUGAAAUACCGUUGAAUUUGGUUUGCCUCCACCAAAUGUGUUGGAUAGAGAAGGUAGACUAACAAAUGUGAUCAAGCCUAAAUUGGAAUGGGAUAGAGGUGAAAAUGAAGCUAGUGAGAACAAUGCUAGGGCCAUGGAUUCCAUCUUCAAUGCCAUUAGCACAGAUGAAUUCCAUAGGAUUACUACUUGUACCUCAGCUAAGGAAGCUUGGGACAUCCUCCAAGUGACUCAUGAAGGAACCAAUGUUGUUAAAGUUUCUAAACUUCAAAUGUUGACUUCUAGGUUUGAGACAAUUAGGAUGGAAGCUCAUGAGAAUUUUGGAGAGUUUCAUGCAAAAUUGACGGACAUUGUGAAUUCUAGUUUUAAUCUAGGUGAACCCAUCCCUAAUUCCAAAGUGGUUAGAAAUAUUAUAAUAUAUCUUUCAGAGAGAUUUAGAGCAAAAGUCACCACCAUUAAAGAGUCUAAAGCUGUGGAUUCCUUGAAAAUUGAUGAACUUGUAGGUUCCCUCCAAACCUUUGAAAUGAUUCUUGUAUUACCUGGGAAAGUUAAGGGAAUUGCUUUAAAAGCCAUUAAAAAAGAGUCUCUAAGUUUCGAAAGUGAGGAUGAUGAGAAAAUGUUAGAAGAUGAGCUUACUAAGUUUGCUAAAAAAUUCAAGAAAUACAUGAAAUUCAGAAAAUCCAAGAAUGAAUCAAAUGAUGCUAAAAAAAAAUGGAGGAACUCAAUUAGAAAAAAGAAAAAAUUGGAAAAAGAUGUGAAAAAAGAGUUGGAAAUUGAGUGUUUUAAAUGUGGGGGAAAGGGUCACCAUGCAUUUGAAUGUCCUUAAAAGAAAAAGAAUAAUAAAGCCAUGCAAGUUACUUGGAGUGACUCCGAGUCUAAUCGAACAAGUGAAAAUGAAUCAAAUGAAUAAGAUGAAUGCACUAACUUCAUAGCCUUUACUGCAACUAUCAAAGAGGAACCUCUAUUAAAAGAAGCCUCAAGUGAGUUAAAGUGAGUCAAGUGAAAGAAUCCAAUGAUGAUGACAUGUGUUUUGACACAACAUAUGAGAUUUUUUAUAAGGAGUGCUUAAGCCUUAAAUAAGACAAGUCAAGUAGACGACUUCUAAGAGGAUUUUAACCAAUGAGAUUGAUGUUUUAAAGAGAGAAAAAAAGACUUUGCUUGAUAAAAUUACAUUUCAUAAAAAUGAACAUUUGGAAGUGAAGAAAAAGUGUGAUGUGUUGAAGAAUGAAAGUCAAAUGUUCAAGGAUGAGUUAAGCCUUAGGAAGGAAGAGUAGUAUCCUAGCUUUAAGAGACUUAAUGAGUUGAUCAAUUCAGGGAGAAAAUCUUUUGAUAGAAGAGGUCUAGGAUUCGUUGAUGAAAAUGUUACUCUAAGUAACGAUAAGAUAGUUUUUGUUAAGCCUUGUGAAGAAAAAUUUCCUAAGAAAACUCUUUCUCAUAUCAAGUUUCAUUGCACUCAUUGUGGAAAAGUGGGGCACACUUUUGAUAGAUGUUAUACAAGAUUGUUUGAUAAUUUUCAAAGGAAAUUGACCAACCUAAUGAAUGAAUGUCAUGCAUUGAAGGAUAGGUUGUUGAAUGUGAACAAGAGAGUGUCUAUGAAGUCUUCAAAUAUCCCUUAUAAUGGUAUCUUGAUAGUGGAUGUUCACUCCAUGUGACUGGAAAUAAAUCUUUUUUCAGAUCACUGAUUUUGAUGGAGGAAAUGUUACAUUUGAGGAUGGUAAUGUGGCUAGAGUGAAAGGAAAAGGCUUUAUAUGUGCUUCAGGUAUUCCUAAGCUUGAAGAGGUCUUAUAUGUGGAAGGUUUAAAGGCCAACUUAAUAAGCAUAAGCCAAUUAUGUGAGAAUAAUCUUAAUGUCCAAUUUUCAUAAAAUGUGUGCAGUGUGUUUGACUUGAAUGGUGAUUGUGUGAUGAUUGACUUGAAAACUUGUAAUAAUUGCUAUGUUGUUAGUCAAAAAGCUCUUUCCUCUUCUUCUCUUGUGUUUGAAAGUUCUAAAAUUGAUUUUGUUGAUCACUUGUGGCAUAAUAGAUUGGUUCAAAAUGAAAAAAGGUGUGUCAUUCUAAAGAUUAGGAGUGAUAAGGGAGAAAAAUGGAUGAUGUUGGUGUCAUUCAUAGAUCAAAGAAUCAUCUUCAUCAUUUUAGAGGCAAACUCACUGCUGACACUAGACAUUGCUUCAAUAAAGACUUGGUAGAAGACAAACUUGUUUCCUUCAAAUAUGUUCCUACCGAGUGUCAAAUAAUUGAUAUCCUCACUAAGCCUUUGGAUGUUUCUAGGUUUGAGUCACUUAGGAACUCCAUAGUCUUAUGUUUUCUAAGUUGAUUGUCUUUAAGGCCUCUCUAUGACAUCCCUUCUUUGUAAAUUCUUUCUUCUUAGAGGUUUCAUAGGCUUAUUGAGUCCUUGUGUUGCCUUGUUUUUCUUUUCUCAUGGUUCUCAUUCUUGUUUUUUUUUUUUGUUUUGGUAUCUCCUUAAACCCUUUUUCCUCUCUAGUUUAAACAUAGAUGUUUGUUUUUAUGAGGACUUGACAUUGUUUUCUUUUUAGCAAAUGGUUAUUUCGUGUCAUAAUGAUCCAAAAGUAUUCCAAGAUAUGAAAAUCCUUCUUGUGUUGGUGUGAGAUGGAGCAUAACGUGCUUAUUGUUUAGCUUUGCUUGGAUAAGCUACAACAUACUUAUUUCAUAACCAUUGAGUAAUUAACAACUUGUGGAGUGAUUUAUGAUUUCAUAAAAACUGAUAAAUGAUUUGUAAAGUUCAAUUGUGGGUCUAUAUCAUUCAAUGUGCCUUAAAGUAUGAGUAAAGCCACAUGAAUCUUCUUGAGAAUUUGAAUUUGUGUAUCUUGAUUGUUUACACUCUCCAAAAAAAAAAAUUAUUCAUUUCUCGGAAUGGUUAAAGCACCAUGGCAAUGUUUCAAGUGUAAAAAGUCUCCAUUAAAAAAGUGGGGCAUCCCUUUAUGUUUGUAAUGACAUAUUUGUAAUGGCCACCUUAGUGAUCUUAAAUUCAACAAUCUAUCCUAAGUGUGUUUUCAACAUGUUAUCAAAACAAAUUAAAAAAAAAAACAACAAGAUGUGAUGUUUGUUUGCAUUUCAAGGGAUGUAUAUUUAGUCAAAGAAUGUAUUUUUUACUAUGUUAAAUAGAAAUCUGGUCAAGGGAGAUGUAAAUUGACUUUAAGAGAAAUAAAUUUGAGUUUCUUUAGGGAUGGAUAUGAUUUUGAAAUUUUUUUUUUUUUUGGUUCAUGGAUAUCUAUAGCCUUAUAAGUUGAGAUUAUUUAUCAUUUUUAGUUUGUUAUGGUCUUAUGAGUGUACUCUUUAAGCCAAAAAUCGUUUGAUGGAGUGUUAAUAAUUUCUUGUUUUAUUUAUCCUUGUCAUAUGAGAAAUUGAUGAGUUUCUGUAUAUUUCAUGCUUUGUCAUUCAAUUCAAAAGUCUCUCGUUGACAUUUUUUUUAUUAUUAUUAUGCAUUUUAAUGACCAAAUGCUAAAUGCUUUUCACUUUGAGCUCUAAUGAAUUUGUUUCUAAUGUCUUUUUUCAUUUUUCUUAAGAUUGUACAACUUUUUUUACUCAUUUUUUGUUGAUUUUUUUGUCAUAUCUUGAUCAUUGGUCAUUUCAAUCAAUUGUUUUUUCAAGAAAAACCGAGUAUUGUGAAGCGUGAUUGAACUGUGAACGAUCAACUUUUGAUCAACUAUGUUUUUCUAACCUUGGCUGAGAACUAUAUUAUGUGAUUGAAAUGUAAUUGAUCGACUUUCGAUCAACCAUGUUUUGUCUAACCUUGGUUGAAAACUAUAUUAUGUGAUUGAACUUGGAUCGAUCCAUCUUCGAUCAACUAUGUUUUUGUUGGCUUGACUAACAAUUGUAUUGUGUGAUCAAAUUUAUUCUCUAGUGCUUUAAAUAAAAAAAAAAUCAAAAGCAAUAGAUAAAAUACAUGUUUAAAUGGAAAGGAAAAAAGUGUUUUUCCAUUUCAAAACCAAAUCCCUAAAUUUCUUCAAAUCCUAGCUCCUUCCAACCCACUUUUCUCUCAAAACACUUUUUGCUCGUCACUUUCUCUUCACCAAAGCAUUCAAAGUUUUCCAUUGCUCUUCUCCAUGGGUGGCUUCUAACUUCUAAAUCCUUCUCACAUCUCUCCAAGAAAGCGUGUUUUAUUGUGGAUUGUGGUGUCGAUGGCUAGUUGUUCUCCAUUGCUAGAUAAGUUUGGUUUUUCUUUAAAUCUAAGGUUUGAUUAGGGAAGAUUUCUCAGGAUCUCUCAAAUUCUUAUUUGUAUGGUUCGUAAGUUGAGUACUUAUUCACCGAGUAUAUUCCAAUGGAGUGGUGGAAUUAUCGAAUUCCAAUGGCAAAGACAGCUUCAAAGUCAAUGGAUAUCGUCUCAAGCCAUUCAUGGAGCCAUUCAAACUAGAAAAGGAGGCAAUCAACCUCCUUGAACGUCAAAAAGCCUAAGUGAAAAAGGGUUUGCUGAACGUGGUUUUACCAUAGUUCAGUUUGUAAAUUUUGUAAAAUUUCAAGUUUUUUUCUGUACAUUUGAUCUUAGUUUUUGAUCUUAAAUCAUGUUUCUAGGUGUGUUUUAAUUGUUUUGAAUGAUCCCAGGUGGAAGAAAUUUCAAGGGAAUUGAAAGAAAAAAAAAUCGGGUCGAAAUCGGAGCAGAAACAGAGCAAAAACAGAGGAAAAGCAAAGCUCUGCGAAAUUUCGCAGAAUGAAGAAAACCUCUGCGAAAUGAGCAUUUUGUUGCCAAAUCAUUCCGCAACACUUUAGGAUUCUCUGCGAAAAUUUUCGCAAUUGCGAAAGUGGAAAUGGCACACGAGUGCCACUUCGCAGCACAGGAGCAUCAGUUUUGCAGCUGCGAAACGCAUUGCGAAGUGGAAAAACGUGAUUUCGCACCAAAAGUCCCAUUCCGCAGCGUAAUUCGCAAUUGCGAAAACGAUUUUGGCACACGUGUGCAACUCCGCAGCACAGUAACAUCAAUUUCGCAGCUGCGAAACGCACUGCGAAAUUGCUGCGAAAAUGGCAUUUUGCUGCGAAAUUGGCGUUUUAUUGCGAAACUCAAACUGACCCUUAGGCUUCCGUUUUUCCUAUUUAUACCGGUCAGUUGAGCUGCGAAAAGGGUUUCAAAAAUCAAAGCACCAUUUUCGCAGCCUGUUCGUCUUCUUCAGUGAGCCUCGCCGUCCAACUUCCGGUCAUCCUCUCCGUUCAUCAACGCCGGCCAAAGUUCGGUAGCCCAAAAUGGCGCGAACGCGAGGAGCUAAGUCUUCAUCUCCUUCGAACCGCAAAAAGACGCUGCGAAAGGAGCCACUUCUAGAUUCUGCUCCAGAGCCUUCGUCGUCAAAACCAAUUCCACCUCCGGCGAAGCCCGCGCCACCAAAGCCACCGGCAAGACGAUAUUUAACCAGGUCAGGAGGUCGACCAUUACAAAAGAAGCCAAGGGUUGAGAGCUCAGAACCCAUCGAUUUGACUGAACAAUCCCUUGAGCAAUCCCCAGAGCAGUCACCGGUUCAAACUCCGGUAUCCUCACCAAAUCCUUCUUCAGUUGCAACCCCAGUUCCCUCGCCAGUUCAGUCGCCGGUACCAUCUCCGGCGCCGCAAAAAAAAUUGAAGAAGUCUCAAGCGCCACUUCCAGAGCCCCAAAUUCAAUCUGAAGUAGCUCCGGAAGAAGUGAUCAGAAGGCCAAUGCUAACUCAGCCCCCAAUAGAGGGAAAUUUGGAUUGUCGAUCUUGGCCAUUCCAUUCCGACUUGUGUUUCGAUAUAGCAGCAUUCCAAGUGAGGCCGGAGCUAGCCCAAUCAUUCCAGCUGCUGAGGAGGUACCAUAUGGAGCAUCUGCUAGCUCCAAGAGAUUUUUUUCUACCCCCGGAUAGCAAUGGAUUUCUACCAAUCCAUGACAACCAAAGAGGUUAGAAAUCCAACUUUGAUUCAUUUUACUAUUGAAGGAAGACAUGGUGUAUUGGGAGCACGCCACAUUGCUGAAGCCCUGCAAAUUCCUUUUGAGCCAACCCAAUUCGAUAAUUUUAGAGCUUGGGCCAAUCCUACUGAACUGGAGAUGGUGCGCACCCUUUCCAGAGGAGCUGCAAAUCGAUCACAUCUGCUGAGAGGGGAGCUUCCUCCAGUUAUGUUUUUGAUUGAUGCCUUUUUGAGGCAUAAUAUCUAUCCAUUGCAGCAUUGGACCCAAAGAAGGGGAAUCCUCUUGGAAGCUCUUUACAAGAUGUUAGAAGGAUUUUUCUUUGGGCCUCAUCAUCUGAUCCUGACAGCCCUUCUCUAUUUCGAAGAGAAGGUUCACAAAAAGAAGCUUCAAAGAGCUGAUUGCAUUCCUCUCCUAUUUCCAAGGCUGCUAUGCCAAAUUCUAGAGCACUUGGGAUACCCUGCUGAGCCUCAGCUGGAGAGAAAGCAAAUUUUCCGUGAGCCAUUCACCCUAGAUAAAUGGAAUAACAUGACGGCCUACAAAGUUGAUCAGCCUUCAGAGUCUCAUCCUCCAGAGCCUGAAACCCCAGCUGAUGCACCUACUGAAGAGGCAGCAGAUCCAUCUGCCUAGUUCUAGCCCCAGCACCACUCAUCAGACUACUAUCUAUCUAAUAUUUCUAUGUAUUUUGUUUUUUUUUAGUUGAAAAGAAAUCCCAGUAUUUUGGUACUAUAUUUGGGAUUCCUUGUGAUUACUUGUCUUUUGCACUGUACUUGAAUCAACUGAAAGUAAUACAAGCUGAAUAUUUCUUAUUAAAAGUUAGCAUUAAAUUUUCCUUAUUUCCUUUUCUCACAUAUUCUAUUCUUUUUGAAACAUGUGGUUUUCCCCAAUCAAUAUUCGAAUUUGAUAUCAACCAGGAGGUACCACUUCCUCCCUUUAAUUACAGUCACUCAAAUCACAUUGAGGACAAUGCUCAGUUCGGUUGGGGGGUAUGAGGAAGGAAGUAUGCUAAAUCUUUUUGGUAUUGCAAUCAUAUUGGUUAAGUAGUUGUAGUUUUACUUUUUACUUUUGUUACUCUAUUCUCUAUGAAUUUUGAGGAAAAAUUUUCAAAUUAAACCAAGAGAAAUUGAACUAUUGUUUUUCACUUGACUUAGAGUAUGGAUUAUGCUUACUAAAGUGGUUCAAUUGUUGAAACUUCUACUGAAAUUGAAUUUAGUUCUUCCACUUUAAGCUAUUCACACACUGUGCACAUUAGAUUCCGAUUAUAAGAUGAAAAGCUAUUUCCCUCUUGACUUAGGAUAGUUUUGGGACUUGGUAUAUUUGACCUCAUUUGAUAAAAAUUGAAACACCUUGCAAAAGGCCAAUGAGCCUUUGAAAUAAAGAAAGUUGUUUGCUUGCCUUGAAACCCGAGCAAGGUCUGAGGGGUAUAUGGUGAAAAUCUUUAAAGCCUGGUGCCCUAAGCCUUAAAUGGUUGGGAGACACCAACCUCAAUGCUCGUUAUAAGGGUGAAUAGGUAGAGUUAGCAUAUGGUAGAUGUUUGGGUAUUAGAAAUUCAUUCUUAAAAGUCCGGGGAAAAAUCCGAGGAGUUAGUGGUUGAAAGAUCCUUAAAGCUUGGUGCCCUAAACCUUAAGUGGUUGGGAGUCAUCGAUGGACCCCCAUUACAUGGACAAGUCAGAAAGAGUACCCCAUAAAGCUGCCUUCUAAAAAAAAAAUAAAAAAAAAAAAAAAGUUGUGUUCUUUUCUUAUUGAUUUUGGUCAGAUUACUAAAGUUUUGAAAAGAAAUAGGUUGGGGGGUGAGAUUAGUUUAGCAUAUUAUUUUCGGAACCUAAGGAACCAAUACACAUAGAUUUUUGUGGAAGAUUAAAGUUUGAUUCUUAGAAAGUGGAAAUGAUUUUAAAACUUCAGUUUGUAUAAUGCACUCCCUUGAUUGACAGUGUUUAGCAUAGUUGUUAUGACUCUUGUUGAGAUUUGGGUUUGUAUUUAUUUAAUACUUCAUGUGAGAAUUAGAUCAUCAUGCCACUUGAGAAUUAUUUUCUUUUAGCAUGAUGUUGUAAAUUUUAGAUUAGUUUGUUAUGUAUUUUUCAUUUUUCUCUCCUAUAUUGCUAAGGGACUAGCAAUAUGUCGGUUGGGGGGAGUGAUUACUACUCAAAAAGUGCUAUUUGAUAGCCUAUAAUCAAUCCUUUUAACCACUUUUGAGUAGUAGUUUAGGCCUUUUAACUCAAUUGGCAUGUUAAGGGUCCUUGAAAGCAAUUUUAAUCAUUUUGUGUAAGUUUUGGUGUUUUUGUUAGUAUUUUGAUCAAAAAAGCAAGUCAAGACUGAGGAGAGCUAUGAGGAAUCUUGGUCAAAGCUUAGAAGUCAUUUGCCAAGAGUGAAUCCGGAUUGCAAGGAGAAAAAGCAAAGAGAAUCUGCCAUUAAGCAUAUUCUUGAUGAUAGUCGUAGCAGCCACUUUUGGAGCACUUUUUGAAGUCCAAAUGAUGCAUGCUAUAUACCAUUUCAAAGCUCAGGAAGUCAACAAUCCAAUGCUUCAAACGGUGUGCAAUUCGGAGUUGAAACGAAGAAGUUGCAGUCGUUACAAUCCAAUCACUCCGAGCUGAAGGAAGCAUUUUGCAAAGUGCUGCGAAAUCACCCUUUUGUUGCGAAGUGAUUUCGCAGCAUUUUUGAACAGUGUGAUGUUUCUCCUUUUGACGAUGCCCGAUUUAUGCCGCGAGAAGGAAGCUUGGAACCUCAAGGUGGAAGCCAACUUCGCAGCCCUUCAGAGAUAGCUUGGUGUUGCGAAAAAAUUUCGCAGCCCUCUUGAGUGUCUGCGAAAUUUCGCAGACACCAUUUUCCUCCUGCGAAAUGGUUCCUGAAGCCUCCCGAUAUUUGCUACCGACAUUGGGAGAUAUUUUCCAUUAGAUUUUUGUUAUCUAAAUCCCAAAAUACUCCUUGUAAACCUCCAAUUAUAAGAUUCCUUAGCUUUUAAGUUAAUAAAAAGACCAAAUAUCUUUGUAACAAUUAGUUAUAUAUUAUGUUCAUAUAUAUACCUCUCGGGAGCCUGUUCUCGGAGAGGAGUUCCUUCUGUAAAAGUUUGGAAAGCAAGUAAAGUUCAUUUUCCUUCUACUGCCUUACCUUCUCACUUUGUAUUUUUUUAGUUAAUACUAAGUUAUGAACUCUCUGAGGAGUUUUCCCCAGAGAAUGAGUAACUAAACCUCUAAUUCCUUGGAGCUAAGGUUGCCGGGGAAGGUUCCAAGUGCAAGAAUGCAAAGCUCUGUGGUUUUAGCUAGUAAUGAAGAGGAAGUGAAAUCCUUUAGUGAUUUCAAUGUUUUUAGUUAACUUAAAACACCUUGGAGUCACCUGGGCCAACACUUGGUAAGGCAAGUGAUUUCCAACCAUGGAAAUGCACUAGUUUACCCCUUGCGAGCCUCUGGGAGGUGACUUCAGGGUAGGAUUUUCUAGAAUAGCCAACACUUGAUAAGCUUUUGGACUCCUAGGAGACAUCCAUUAGUUAUCUCUUGCGAGCUUUUGACGGGUAAUCCAAAGUUAAGGAUCACCUUGAAUGGUUAAGGCUUAGUGAGAGGCUUAAACCAUUUCAAGUUGCAUCAGUGAGAGAAUUAAAGUGAAAUCUAAUUGAAGGAUGAAUCUGUACAUCACCGGUUAGGGAAUUGACUAUAUGUUGAAUCUCUAACGCGAGGAUAUGAACCUUCUGACCGGAGCUAUGUCUUUUGCAUGAGGAACCACCCCAGUGAACCUAACUCUUCAAGGAAUGUUUUUCUUCCUAAGUUAUUCCAAACUUCUGUUAUGUUAGUUAGUUUAAGUCUAAACCUUCACCAACCAAAGUUUGUUUUUUUACCUCUUAAGCUAACCAUGAAAUGAAACAAGACCAAUUCACUUGGAAUUGGUAUCAUUGAUAUCUUGUCAACCUUUCCCAGUGGACGAUCCUAGAGCCACUAUACUAUAGUAGCUUUUUAUUUGCUACCCUAGUGUAUGGUGUUAUAGGUAUAAAUUUUGUUGAUUACUCCCUCAUUCAAGGAGCACCAGCUGAACACGAAUCAGCUGAGACACCAAUUGGGCAUGAAUCACCUUGUAUGGUUAAUUAAUCAAUUAGCAACCUUUUUGGGCUACAGUAAGUGACCCAAGUUCAAGUUGGGCUUAAGUCACUUAAGCCCAGUAGGAAGCUUAUAAAUAUCCCUUUAGGGGUUAGGGUCUCCAUGUCUUAUCAUUCUCCUUUUCAGUCUAAAGAGAAAACCCUAGCCUCCACCUUUGAGAUCUCCACCAUGUCAAUGCUUAGACAUAAGAAAGAGUCAUUGGGCAGAAAAUCAUGGUGUUUACGAGAUUCAUUAUGACUUUAAAGUUAUCUACAUCGAUUGGAAUUGAUCUAGGAACAUAAAGAUCAAAGGUAUGUGACUUUAUUCUCUAUAUCUAUAGUUUCUAUGCUAUUCUUAUUAUUUUUAAUACCUGUUUAUCCAUUGCGAUAGAUUUAGAGACCUUAUGACAGAUUUGUAUGCACCCUAUGCAAUUUGGAGCAUGGGAACAGAGUAAUUCGGGGUUCCCAACAACUGGUAUCAGAGCCCUAGGGUAGGUUAUAGCAUGUUAAAGUUGUUCUAAGGUAUGCUAACUCUAUUUUGCAAGGUUGUUUUAUUCAUCCUAUGGCCCUAAGGGAUGAAUGAAUGAAAUUAUUCAUUCAUUUUAACGUAUAAAUAUAUUUGGAUUGAUUGAUUGUUAUUGAUUCAUUUGAAUGAAUGAAUAUUAAUGGAUGUUUUCUUUGCCUUUUGUUCUCUAGAUUGGGUUGAACGCCCCAUAAGGGGUAUUAGAUUUUUAUUUGGUUGUAAAAAUCUUUUCUUUUCAAUAGAUGAGUUGUAAGCUCCAUUAUAGGAGCAUAGAAAUUUUUAUUGUUGCAAAAAUUUCAGUUUUUUUAUAUCCAUCUAUGGUUACCCAAGUGAAAUGAAGGAAUCUUGAAAGUUCUUUUUGAGAUUCUAUGGUGGUUAAAGAGGAAAAAAGGAUUCUUGGAAGUUCUUAUUUAGAAAUCCAUAGUUAUACAGUGAUGUUAAAUUAAACUCAAAAUCAGGAUUAUCUCCUAGUGGCUUCUUAGGGGAAGUAACAUAUGAAUUUGAAGUUUAGGAAGUCACAAAUCCAAUGGUUCAAGCGGAUUUCAAUUUAGAGAUGAAAUGAGCUACAUAUGGCUAAUUGAAGCAAGGCUGCACAAAGUGCAUGAUUGCAUAGUGAUGUCAGCUUUGAGCCAAAAUUGCAGCUACUUUUAGUAAGUUUCUUUGAACAAAUCACAUAUGGUUUUAAAGCUCAGGAAGUCAUAAAUCCAAUGCUUUAAACGGAUAACAAUUCGGAGUUGAAACGAGAGAGAUAUGACCAAUCAAAGCAACGUUGUGCAAAAAGCAUACUAUUACAGGAUUGCACACGGGUCCAAUUCAUUUAGUUGUUUGGGCUAAAUUUUGGGCCUCUUCUUGGGCUUAAUUGUUUGUGGCAAUUGGGCCUUUUGGGUUUUAUAUUUUCACUAACCCUAUUUUUGGUUGCAGCUUUAUUUUUGGUAAUUUAGAUUUUAUCCAAAUUUUAAUUACUAAAUAUGCAACAAGAUCCCUAAAGGUCAUUGGAAGUUUUAUAUUUAAUUAUUCUCUUGUUUUUAUUGUAUGCUUUUGAUUAAUUGCAUAUGUGGCCUCAAGAUAUUUUGAUACUCUUAAUUAGAAAUAAAUUUUCAUGUUUUAUUUUUAAUUGGAAAACUUAUUUAAAUAGGGAUGUGAAUGGUUGGGAUUUUUUAUUUUUUUUAAGGAAAGAUAGGUUGGAUAAAAGAUUAAGAGCUUUCUUACCUUUCGCCUACUAAAAUAAGGGGAAGUAAAUGAUGAAGACUAAAAAAACGAUUUAAGGUGGCAUUGUCCAUAGAGAAACCACCCCAAAUCCAAGUCACUAUGGUAUCUCUUACUACAGCUAUGGCGCUAGCUAAGCUAGUAAUUACUAUAGCUCCCCAAAAGCUCAUCUGACCUCAAGGUGGUACGUAUCUUGUAAAAGUUGUCACAAUCAUUAAUAGGAAGAUUACAACUCCGAGACACCAAGCAAAUUCCCUAGGACUGCUAUAACUCGCAUGAUAUAGCCCAUGAAAAAUAUGAAGGUGAACCACAAUAAGAAACAUACUUGCCCCAUUAGCAUGCAUAUAACGGAGAAACCAGCCCCCUUCAACAUCUCUCAUAACAUAUUCUACACUGUUGAAAGCUAACUCCACUUGAGGUGUGUGAUGCAUAGCAGAAAAAAGGCCAGUAACUAUCUGAAUGACUAAACAAAUACCAGCUAACGAACCGAACCCCCACCAAUAACUAAGGUUGCUUGGGGUUGGAUAGUCUAUCAAAUGUUGAUUCAGUGUGGAGGAUAUAGGUUGUUUAAGAAGAGAGAAUCAUUGGUUCCUUAUAGUCAUUUCUCUUUUCUAUUGUGAAAACUCUUGUUCCCCCACCUUUUUAGCGUUCUGGGACCCUACUUACUAAAUUAUAUAUAGAGAUAUAUAGAUAUAUAUAAUUAUAUAGAUAACAUAAUUUUAUAUCUAAGAGUACCCCUUAUUCCACCUCUGAAGGAUGGAGGGGGUAUACAGCGAAAGAAACGUCAGAGGGUUCAUCUUGGGUUACUAAAGAGUUGUCUGACUGCUCAGUGACCGAAUCAAAGAGGUUUUUACCACUUUCUCUUCUCUCCAGCACUCUCGAACUGAUCAUCUUGCUGUAACAAAGCAAUCUUAGGAAUGAAUCUAAUGGAAAUUUAUUAGUUCUCUAUCCGCUUGGAAGAUUCUUCUUUCCUCUUCGGUGAAAGAGGGUAAAUGUGUGAGGGAGAAAGAAUGAAAAAAUGAGAGAAUCUUUCAUCCACCAAGCGGGAUAGAGUGCAACCCCUAAGUAAUGUUCAAUUCUCACUCAGGGGUCAAUAUCAUUUGAAAACUUUUCCUGUUCCAUUAGUAUAGCUAAAUUUGAAUAAAAUGACUCAGCGUCAGGAAAAGCCCUUGCCUUGAUUUAAUUUUGCUUCACUAGGUCCUUGAAUCAAUCAAAAAUCUUAUUGAUUUGAUUCAUCCUAUUUCAUUUGGGCAAAAGGGAGGUUGUGAGUCACCUGGGCUACGAAUUUGUCGAUUGGUUGAUUCUCGAAAUCACCUCUUGAGAAAAUAAAAAAGGCCAUCCGAUCCUAACCCACAAAUGAAUAGGAAGCGGGGCGAGGGUCUUUCAUUAAAGAGGGGAAAAAAAGGUGGGGCUUUGUUCGAGGGAAAGGGAGGGGGGGGGGGGACCACCUUGCGUAGCUUUAGAAAGAAGAGAAUUUCAUAAAGUCACCAUCUCCCACUAUCUUUAGAAAUAGGGCGAGAUAAAGUAAAUAUGAUAUUUGCGUUGGGUUUUCCAAUGAAACUAAGCAUUUUUUAUCUUUCUCAUUUAGAAGGCUCAGUCCCAUAAUGAUGGGAACAACCUUUACACUCUGGCGCUCCAAUGAACAACACUUAUCCAUCUUACUAUAUUUAGAAAAAUGGUCGAUCCCUCGAGAGUUACAUUCGUAACUUAAUGUUAUGUUCACGUGGUGAUAUUCUAUCUUUCCAAGAGUACUACCUUGUAAUUGUACCUAGUCUAUGUUUGGGGAGCAUACUUGAAAGGAGAUAGAAACAGGCAGUAGAGAGGUCCCCCACUUCGAUUCCCGCCCCGUUAGUAUCUUCGAUCCGCGAUAAAGGAUUACUCUAUUAGGUCUUUUCUAUUCGAAGCCAGUCAGUUAUGGACUUACUUACCUUGCUUGUAGACCAGCUGCAGAGCUAACCCUUGUUCUAUUGGUUUGGUGGUUUCUACCAAGACAAUUUCUUUAUGCCCAUCAAAGGACCUCAAGAUGCUAAUCCAUGAAAAAUGAUACGAGAAAUUCGAAAGAACUCAUAUACGGAACAAGGGUGACUUGUGGAAAUACAUCGGUUUCUUACUCGUGCAAAGGAACUAUUUCUUGGAAACUUGGACAACUUAUAACGAUGUUUGUCCCACAUAUCACUAGGAAGAUCGGGAUCUUUACAAAAGGACUUAUAAAACUUUCGUCUCAAUUCAUAUUUAGCUGUGAGCAAUCUACGUUUGUGAUCUCGUAUAUUUAGCUUCUUUAACCUCUUAUUGACCCUCAUCUUUUUUAAAAAAGCCACGCCACGGUGGUAAAGUCUCAUCUUGUGUGUUAGCCGAAGUAACAAUAGUCACAUUGAACCCUCCAAUAUGUUUGAAGAUCUCGAAAAGAUCUUCCAGUUCUGGGGAGAAUUUGCAAAACUCUGUUUGCAUCAAGAAUUGAAUGGAGUUUUCCCAUAUUUCGACCGGAGAAUCUAAUAGAGACAUUACUAUCAAGAUUUUGACCAAAAAAUUAGACAUUCCAUGCCCUUGGAGAGUGCUUUGUCAUGCUAGGUCACUAACAUAUCCUUUGUCUUUAUUUGACCCUAAGAAUUUAUUGGAUCAAAAUGACUUUCCUGUCGAACCCCUUUGUGUCUGUAUAAAUCUUUGACCGCAUGGAAUCUCCAUAGCCAACUUUCCAUUUUGGAUUAUGAAAGAUGAGGGUCUUUUUGGUAUUAAUCUUGUUUCACACAAUCCAGGAACUUCCAUAACAUUAGCGUGAUUUGGUUUGAGCAAUAGAUCAUGACAUGAUACAUCUUCUUAAUGAAAAUGGAGUGGAAACAUGAGUUAGCUUUUCCAGUAUAUAUAGAAUGAGCACUGUGAACUAUCGGCUUCAAAAAGAUAAUUGGUUGAAUGAAAAUCAACACUUUAACUCGAUCGAAAUACGAAUGAGAAAAAAAAAACAGUUGCUUACUUGCGAAGAAGAGGGCAAAGGAUGCAAUAGCUUCGAUUUGAGCAAAGGCCAUAUUCCUUUCUUGAUAAACCUCUUUUCUUUGAACCACUGCUUGUCAUGGUCGGUUGUUCCAGUUAUCAUCUUUAUUUGAGGCGCAGGUUUCAUAUCCUUAAUUCAUGUGGUUAAGAAAGUCUUUGUUUUCUAGAUGUUGAAAAAAUUUAGAAUUGGCUUUUCGAUGAUAAGAGAAUAGAUAAGACUUCCAUGGGAGGUCGAAUUCCAAACUUCUCUCUCAAGUAUACUCAUUACCAAAAAAUGGACGUCACUUUAGGACACAUGCGGAUAGCCGCCCCGCGUGGCUAAAAGUAAGCCAAAAGAGCUCAAACUCUUUUUUUUUAGUUCCGCUGAGAAACUCGAGUCUUAUAAAAGACGCCACUCUAUGAGGGAAGUCCUUGGGUCGAGUCUUUGCAAGUUCAUCCGAAAUGGAACCUCCUCAUGGUCGGGAAGAUGCAAAUAAAACGCCAAUAGCCGGUUCUAUGGCAUAAGCUUAAAAGAAGAGAGCUAUCAACGAAGAAUAAACAUUUCAUAAGAAAAUCCAAUUUAUUUUUUUGAAACUCGACUUCUUUCAAUUCUAAGAAAGAAAAAUAUCAAAAAAUUCAUCAAUAAAUGAUGAACUUCAUUAUACAAAUGAUAGGACAGGGCUAAGGUAGUGAUCCUGAUGGAGAUUAGGAUGAGCUUGGAUGAAAAAAAAAAAAAAAGAAUAGGUAGAAAUUCUCAUAGGUGAAGCAAAUCAACCCUAUUUUCAGACAAAGAAGAUAAAAAAAAAAACAAAACUAAAGUGGCUUGGAAAGCCUCGGAUAUUCUAUGAUAAAUUGGAAACGUCAAAGUGAGUUGUGGCUUAUAAAUAGGAAGAUGAGGGGAUAACGGGCGAAGGAUAUUUUUUCUAUUAUUAAUUAGAUUACCACGUCUAAUUAGACCAUUACAUACGAAAUCCGAUAAUGUUAUUAAAAAUAUUUCUUUUCUUCAUUUUUUGUCUCAUUGAAAAAUAUUUUAAUGUUAUUAAAAACUUUUAUUAUUUAUUUAUUAUCUAACUGUUGAUUAUCCGUAACCUUCAAUUUCAUUUGCUUUCUUCUUUGACUGCUCUGCUCCCCAACACAAAUGAGGAAAGACUUGUCGAAAAUGGUUGGUUAGUUGGUUGUUGACCAACGGAAAAGCAUAGGAAAAAGAAAGAACACUAACGAAGAUGAUUCUGGAUUGGUCACCUGGAGAAAGUUGACAUCAACGGCUUACUCUUUUGCUGAGCAAAAAGAGAAAGAAUUUAUAUGAAGAGAGAUUUUCAAAGAAGCAAGCGGAGGCUCAAAAGUCAGAGCUUUUCGUUUUCUCUAUUGGCUCUCGGAAAAUAGAUUGACUUAGAAACGUACUCUUCUUCCGCUUUAGCAAAAAAGGCUUUCUUUUUACUUACUAAAUUUAGAGUCUAGUUCUAUAUUUUUCCUAUUUUCUUUUAUGUCUCUUGUCCUUUCUUUCUCGAGUUGGAAGCCAGUGAGGAGAGAUUUCUUUUGAUUAGUAUAGGAUAGGACUAACUCUUUUUCUUCCCAUUCUGUAUACAGAAAUGUUUCCAUGUGAGUCUUUACUUCUUACUUCUAUUUUCGACAUAGGUUUCUCUCAAUGGUGGGCCAGCCUAGAGAAUCUCCCUAGCUCUAGUUGGAGUUUCCUUUGCUGUUGGUGCAGCCGAGAAAAUAGGAUCCACGUAAGUUUCUUUUGAUAUCGCUAGGAGUUCCAGCCAAUAAGCCAAUUUAAGUAAGGCUAGGGUAAAGGUAUACACCUAGGCAAUCUCUUUCUUUCUCUAGGAAGGCAAUAGUUCUCUGGUUUUGGUAGGUCUAUAAAUAGAUAGUUGGAGGGCUAGCUAACAUAGAGAGAUUUCCUUUUUGUUUUUUUUUUUCCCCCCUUUAUUUGUGAAGAUAUUUCCUACAAGUGGGAGUUCUCAUUCUCUGUAAUCCCACCCAGGGAUCACUACUAAGUAAGCAAGCUACCUAUUGCCUCAAAUGGAAUGGAUCGCCAUGAAAGGAAAGCACUUAGGAGAAGGCAUUACGGCUGAAGACCGUAGCACUCUCAUGAGAUAGUAGAAAGAAUGGACCUCAAACUCUUCCCACAUGUAAGGAAUUAGUUAGGAAAGUCUUAGAAAUGUAAAUGGCUCGCUGGAAUCCCCAUCGAAGAUAAUAGGAUUGCCUAAAAAAAGGAAUAUCUUAGUACUACAAUUGGGUUUGUUGCUUACCUUCAUACUCCAAUUGGAAGACUUGAAAGUCAAGUGACUGCGUUUUCCCUUUAUUAAAAAUAUGAUAUUUAUUGAACUGGUUUCAAACCUGAUCUACGACCACCCUCCUUGAACCCCAACCUACCUACAGAUUUUUUUUCCCGUAGCUCGUCAUCCGUUCUAGGACCGUCUUCUCGUGCAACCUCCAUGUAAAGCAAAACUUACCAUAGAAGUUAGUCUACGAUCAGCCGACAUGAGCAUUCGGUUAAACCAAACCAUUUCAAGCGCUCCCAUAUAGAAUCGGAGUAAUGGUAGUUGACUGUCUGUCUAUAAAAUUAGGGCUCAAGGCACCCACCCAACCGAUCUUUAGGAUGGUUACAAAAAUUUCCUCAAUUCAGUAGACCAAAAAAAUAAAAACUAUAGUGCGAUAGAAGGUGGCAUAUAGUCAAGAUAUAUGCCCUCCUAUGUUGGUCCUAAGAAAUCCUGACUUCAUGGGAAUAAGGAAAACAUUUCUUUCGCAUGCCCAUAUGUAAAAAACCAUCACAUCUUAAGGUUAGUUCAAGGUAGUAUAGUUCUUAAUUAGUGGUUCAUUCGCUCCAAAUUCCACCCUACUAUGGUAUAGUAAGACUUUCCAUAGUCUGUUAUGAAGAUAGUUAGUGAUAGGCUUCCUAGUGGGUACGACCUAUUUCUUAUUUUAUUUUAUUUAAUAGAUAGUAUAAUUGAAAAUAGACUCUUUUUUUUUAUAUCUAUCUAUAAAAAUAUAUGAAUUCCCUAAGGAUUGCAUUGAUUCAAACUCUUUUCUAGUCGGGUCGGGAGAAAUUCAAACUAGAUAAUGAUGCAAUUGACCGAUAAAUGGAAACAAUGUGGCCUUCUUCAAAAUUAGAAAUGAAAAUCAGUCUUUACAAACCGAAUCUUGUUCACGUACAUUGUUGAAUUAGGUUGACCCCCAUAUUGGUAUAUAUGUCUUGGAUGCAUUUUGAUUGCAGAGGUAUAUCACUUCAUAUUUUCAUAUUGUCAGUGCCAUUAAUACCACAUGAUUUUCUACACAUGGAAUCUAAAAACUAUGUAAGAUAUAUAUAAAAAAAAAAAAAAAGGUAUUAUAUGAACAUAAACUCUCGAAUUUCACUUAAACAUGUCGUCUUACCUUAGAAGUUAUAUUUUACCGGAUUGGAGAAGCGAAGACAAGGCUAAAGUGCUUUAUAUAGGGCUAAACGCGCCUCCCUAACUUUAAGGGAAAAGGCCUUAGAUUCGCCUUAUGUUGAAUUAAGAAAUAUAACAAAUUUACACAACUUGAACAUGGAAGGUAAGAAAUAAUAAAAAUUUACACUACUUAUAUUCCAAAGAUUGUGUUAGAAUAAUGUAACAAUUACAUGACCCAUUUGUAGAAAAUAACUUACCUACGGUUGGGUCAAGUCAUUAGAUGACUAGGUAGAGGAAAAACAACAAACUAACAAACAUGAAUCUUAGACUAUUAUUUUUUUCUCUUUCACACAUGAUAGUGGUCUUAGUCCAUAAUUUUUUUUGUCCAUUAGCAAAGGUAGGGAAUCUUCAUUUUUAUCUCUUGUGUUGUCAUCUUUCCUCUUUAAUAUCUCACAUGCUAAAUUGUUCCACCUUUAACUUGUAAUAUGGUGAAAAGCUUAUUUAUCAUAUCUUAUAAGGCAAGUAUUUGAAAAUUUUGAAAUUCUUUUUAGAAAGACUAUCAAGUCUUGGUGUGGAGCUACAUUUUUCACGUGCAUCCUCACUUGAUGACAAGACUUGCUUUUUAUUGUAACAAACUGAUUUUUAAAAAAGUUGGAUUCAUUCUCUCAUAAAAAAUCUCUACAAAAUUUAAAUAAUUUUUUUUAAUAUAUAAAAAUUUGAACAAAUGCAAUAUUUUGAAUACACACAACACAAUUUUUUAUAAAUUUUUUUAUUGGACAAAGAUUUUUCAUAUAAUUUUAAUAAUGUUGGAUCAAUUUGUUAAAGUUUUAUUAAAUCCUUUUUUAUACACUUCAAUAAAAGAAAUUUGAAUUUUCAUCCUAGUACCUACAUGAUCCACUCUUAAUAAUUUGUGUAAAUAUGUAGUAAUUUAAAUUUGUAGAAAAUAACUUACCUAUGGUUAAUCAUCCUAGUGCCUACACAAUCUAUUCUUAAUAAUUGGUGUAGAUAUGUAGAGAUUUAAAUUAGUAUUUUGAAAAUUGAAUUAAAUGGUUUCCUUUUAGUUUUCCACACUCUUUCCAAUUGCUCCAUAAAACAAAUUAGAGGCUUUAGGUUCGUGUUACAAUAUGAAGUUAUAAAUAAACUUUUUUUUUAUUUUUUUUAAGAAUCUUUUUCCUAUGUUAACUACAACUAAUAUUUAAGUUUGAAGUACUCCCAAAAUGCAUUUGACUAGUAACUAAUUUGAAAUUACAAGUUUAGCAUUAAGACUGAUAAUUUGUUGUGACAUAUUGGAUUCGCCUUAUGUUGAGUUAUGAAAUAUAACAAAUUUACACAACUUGAAUAUGGAAGGUAAGAAAUAAUAAAAAUUUACACUACUCAAAUACCAAAGAUUGUGUUAGUACAUGACCCAUUUAUUUCACAAAUAAUACUAUAGACACCAUCUAGUUAACUUAUUUAAUAAAUAGGUUAAGUUGAAUUGUGUAUGAAUUGAUAGAUAAUUUUUUUAAGUUAUUAAUUAUUUAAUUAUGUAUUUUUAACUACAAUAUAUUUAUAAGGUAAGAUUAAAGUUUUAAUUUUACAAUUGUUUAUAUUUUAUUUAAUUUUCCAUUAUAAACUAUUUUUAAUCUUUAUAUUUUUUAAAUAUAUAAAAUUUUACUUUGUUAGUUAUUUAAUUUUUUUAUUAUAUGAUAUUAUUAUUUAAAAACUAUUUUAAUUUUUAUAAUUUUUAAUAUGCAUAAUUAAUAAAUUUAUAUGAUUAAAAUGUGACCUAAAUAGGUUAUUUUAAUAUUGUUAAGUAAAUGAAUUAAACUGGUUGACAAUUAAAUUCAAGUAUAACCUAUUUAUUAAACAAAUUGACAUGAUUUUGAAUAAAUAUAAUCAUGUUUAAACCAAACCUCUAAACUUUAUGUCAUUUUUGAGUCAUAUUGCCAAUUCAUGUCAUAUUUGCUACCCUUAGCAUAUAACCAAGAGUCAUUAGUCAAUCUACCCAAAAUUCUUUAAAAUUUUAUGAAAGAAAAGUGUAAUGGGUAUGAUGAUUAGAACUAAUACCAUUUGAGAAGAGAAAAACUUAGGCUAUGUUUGAUUCCAGAAAAUUUGAGGGAAAAUGUGAUGGAAAGAGAAUAGAUAGAAAAAGUGGAAGGAUAGAAAAAACGAAGGAAAAUAAAAAGUAGAUCCAAAGUCAAUAAAUCAUUUUUAUAUCAUUCUUUAAAUUCAUUUCACUUAUUAUCUCCCAUUAUAUCAAUAAUAAGUAAUUUUAAAAUGCAUAAAUUUUUAACAAAAUUUGAUUAUAUUUUAUUUUCUUCCAUAUCUUCUAUAAUGAAACCAAAUAUAAAAAAAAAAUAUUUUGCUCAAACAUUUUUUUCUUUCAUUCUUGAUACUUUCUAAGAACCAAACAUAGUCUUAAUGUUUUAAUAGCAUAUUUUCUUCAUUCUUAGGGAAUAAAAUGAAAAGGAAUUACUCCUUUCUUGUUAAUUCCAAGGGUUUACUUCACUAUUGAAAUUGGUAAAAGCAUGUUGGAUCAAAUUUUGAGAAAACUAAUUUCUCCAGCCCUCGAGGCCAUUUAAAAAUCCAUUUCUUUUCCUCCGUGAAUGCAAGGUGACCAAAACAACCCCUCCUAACUUGUUGUAACUAUUUCAAUUAACAUAAUGAAAUAUUUAGUUAUUGUAAUCCUACACAUUAAUAAACAUGAUGACAUGUUAAAAUAUUUAGUUGUUUGAGGGUUCAAUACCACAAGUUCCUCAUCUCGUGUAAUUGUUGGAUAUCUCCAAUAACAAGUUAUUGGGGUCCAUUUCUCUAUUAUGUUCAGUUGUUAAUCCGUCACUUAUCCUACUUGACCUCUCAAACAACUCAUUGACAGGGGAGGGCUACCCAAUUGUUGGGCACAAUGGGAAAGCUUGGUAGUUGUUAAUUUGGAAAAUAACAGAUUUUCUAGGAAAAUUCCAAAUUCAUUUUGCUCCUUGCAAUCAAUUCAAAGUCUACAUUUGCGCAACAACAAUUUAACUAGAGAAUUGCCUUUAUCUUUUAAGAAUUGUACAAGUUUGAAGCUUAUUGAUUUUCAAAAAAUAGGUUGACAAGAAAAAAGCCAGAAUGGAUUGGAGGAAACCUCCCAAAUCUAUUUGUUCUAAAACUAGGAUCUAAUGGAUUCAGUGGAGGUAUAUCUCCAGAGCUAUGCCAAUUGAAAAAAUAUUCAAAUAUUGGACCUCUUUAGUAACAAUAUGUCAGGUGUUAUACCAAGAUGUCUUGGUAGUUUCACUGCCAUGACUAAGAAAGAGAGCUUGGUCAUUGCUCAUAAUUAUUCAUUUGGACCUUUUGGUGGUGUUCAAUACCAUAUAGGUGGGAAGACACCUGAGAAUGCCUCUUAUGUUGAUGGGGCGUUGGUUAAAUGGAAAAGAAGAGAAUUUGAGUAUAAAAAUACUCUUAGACUUGUAAAGAGUAUUGAUCUUUCAAGUAAUAAGCUAUCAAGGGAAUUUCCAAGAGAAGUAAUUGAUCUUCUAGGAUUAGUUUCAUUAAAGUUAUCAAGGAACAAUUUGACUAGAUUGAUCCUUGCAAGAAUUGGUCAAUUGAAAUCAUUGGAGACUCUUUGGUGAAAUUCCAGCUAGCCUUGUUGAAAUAAGUGGUCUAAGUGUCUUAGAUCUCUCCAACAACUUUUUCUCUGGUUAAAUUCCAUAAGGUACUCAACUUCAAAGCUUCAAUAUUGAUUCCUACAAGGGAAAUCCUGCCCUUUGUGGACUGCCUCUUCUGAAAAAGUGUCAUGAAGAUAAAAUAAAGCAAGAUUCUCUCACUCAUAUCAUUGAAGACAAAAUUUAGCAAGAUAGAAAUUACAUGUGGUUUUAUGUUAGCAUUGCUCUUGGAUUCAUUGUUGGAUUUUGGGGAGUGUGUGGAACUUUACUACUCAACAACUCAUGGAGAUAUGCUUAUUUUCAGUUCUUGAAUAAAAUAAAAGAUUGGCUCUAUGUGAUUAUAGCAAUAAAUAUGGCUAGAUAACAGAGGAGUCUUCAAAGAUAAAUGGUACAAUUCUCCUCCUCUCUUUCAUUUGUACUUGUUUUUGAUGGCCAACAACUCUCAAAGAAAGAUAGGCUUUUGCAUAUUCUUGGGAUAUACUUUAUAAAUUUUCUUUCCAUGCAACUAACUAGAGAGAUUUUUUCAAAUUGAUGAACACUAAUUUUACUUUGUGCUAAUUACAGAACUUCAACUCCUGUUCUUGCCAUAUUAGCAUGAUUGAAUGCAAAUAGUUAUGUAUGUCCUUCAUUUUAUGGUAGAUUUUGGGAUGCAAGAAGUUUUUUUAUUUUAUUUUUAUGAUUACUUAUGUUCUUUAGAUGCUUAUUUUAUCUUUUAUUAAGAAAUUUGUGGACAUUUUAUCUCUUUUGUUCCUUAUAUAAUGCUUUUAUUUGGUAUUUGGAUACUUUAUGGUUCAUCCAAACAAUAUUAUAGAAGGAUAUCAAAGGUAUAUUGUUGUCCGACUUUUAAUUUUAAAAAUAUUUCUUUCAUUCUAAAACCAUUUUUUAUUCAUUAAAAUUAGAACAAAAUAAAAAUUAAUGUUAUUAAUUUGGUUAUGAAUAAUAUAAGUUUUUGUCAAAUUAUUAAUAAUCAAAUCAUAAUUUCAACAUUUAAGAAAAAAUAAUUUUCUUCACAAGUUAUUAAUGAUUUGUUUCUCUCUUUCUAGAAAACUAGAUUACUCUUAUAAAUGCAAACCUCUUUUUUUCUUGUCUUCAAGCUUUCUCACUUGAAGUUGUCUCGCAUGUAGAUUAUUUUUGUGGAAUCUCUAGUUUUCAUCCAUUUUCUGCUCCCUUUUCUUCUUAGUGAUUGAUUUUAUAGAAUAUUAAGUCUAACUUCUUUUCUUAAUAAAAGGUUUUUUUUUUCUAAGUAAAUAAAAAAAAAAAAAAAAAACUCUUGUUCUUUUCUCUAUUUUAACAUAAUCCAACUAUAGGAUAACUAAAAUAUGAUUGAAAAAUAUAAAAUAAGUGAGAAUAAUUAUAUUCUAAUUAUACUCUAUAAAUAAUAUCAAAUAUUUGAUUCACAUAUUAGAAAAUAGUACCAAUCUCCAUCAUCAUGAGAUUAAUAUCCCAAUAAUUAAUCUUUUUUUAUUUGUUGAAAUUUCUUAUCUUUCGUGGUGCAUUACAAAACUCCUUAAACACUUUACACAAUGGUCUCUUGUUGUUUUGUUUUUGGUGUUUAUUUUAUUUUAUUUUAUUUUUUAUCAUUUCCCUGUCUUUUUUAGGUCUUCCAUUGCUUGGAUUAUUCUAUGCAGGAAUUUGAUCAAAAAGCCAUUAAUAAUCUAGUCCAAUCAAGUUUGUGAAAUGGUAAAAAUGAGAACUUUUAUACUAUCAUUAUUUCAUAAGUUUUUGUGUUUAUUAAUUUUUAUUUAUUUCUUUAUGAUAAAAUCUUUUAUCAAAAAUAUUUUUAAUGAAACGAUAAUUCUUUACUAUGAUUUUUUUUUAAAUUUUAAACUAUAAAGGAUUUCAAUUCUUAUUAUAUAUAUAUAUAUAUAUAUUCUCUCUUUUAAGCUAUUAGAACAAGUAGCGACUGGCUUUCUUGUGAAGGCAAAUUGAAAGCAAAGACCAUAGUUUCAAUUAUGCUAACCUUAAUAAGAACCAACCUCAUCGCAAAGAGUGGCUCUUAACUCAUUGAUAUAGCUAGAGAGAAUUACUUUCUAAUUUUCUCAUUUUUUGAGCUCAAAACUAAUCAAGUAACAACUAUUAUCAUAAAAUUAAUUACUUCUUUAUUUAUAAUUAUAUUCUAAUUAUAAAAUUAAAUAUUUGAUUAAUAUAUUUGAUAAUACUUAUAAAUAUUUAAAAUAGUUCCAAUAUAAUAUCCAUUAGGGGAUUAUUAUCCUGACUGACUUGCUUUAUUUGUUAUGUAUUGAUAAUGACCCACUCACCAUAAAUAAAGCUAUUAAGUUCAAGGUACAUAUAGGUUACGUUUGGUUCAUAGAAAAAUUGUGGGAAAAUAUAAGGGAAAGAACAUAGGAAGGAAAAGUAAAAGGAAAGAAAAAUAAAGAAAAAAAAAUGGAUUUAAAGCCAACAAAUUAUUUUUAUACAACACUUCAAACUUAUUUCACUUUUAAUUCUUCAAUAUAAAGAUAAAAUAAUUUGAAAAUAUAUAAGUUUCUAAUUAAUUUUAAUUAUAUUUUAUUUUCUUUGGUACUUUUCAUAUGACAAUCAACUAUAAGAAAAUCAUUUUCCUUAACAUUUUUUUCCAUAUUACUUUUCAAAAACUAAACAAAACCAUGGAUAUUUGUUAUAAUAGGGAACUCUUUAUUCAUGCAAACUCCCUUUCAGACUUGAGCAUGGGAGUGUUUUUCUUUUUCUUUUUUCUUUUUUUCUUUUUUUUGGCUUGUACUUCUCCAUAGGCCAAAUUACAUUGAAUGGAUCCCAAAGGAACAAAAAAUAAAUAUAAAUGUCAUUUGGGCCAAUACUAAUACGAUGAUUGUAUUAUCUAUCAUUAGGGCUGAUACAUUUCCAAGAAGUGUGUGUCAAAGAUUAUGUAUCUUAAGCCAAACCCAUUACUAAUCCAAUCAAAUUGAGCAAAAUUCAGCAAACCCCAUAGCAAAGAAAGUGGGAUAUACAAGCAAAGAUGGCCUCGCACAAUAGGAAUGAAAAUUUUUACAUUAUUAAUGGAAUGAGAACCAUAUAUGUUUGAUAAACACUUGACUAAAGCAAUAGAAAAACCAAUAUACUCCCCAAGAAAAUAAUGAAAAAUAAAAUAUAAAUUAAAUAAAAAAAACUGUAUUAAUGAGUAUAACAAUGUGAGUUAUACAUGUGCAUUCUAUCCUAGUAAGUAAAAAAAUAAAAUAAAAUAAUAAUAAUAAUAAUAGGAGCUAUGUGGUGUAAAGUAUGAAUAGUGAGAGAGAAGUACUAAAAGAUAUGAAAAAUAUGAGAUAACAAAAUUUUAAGAAUUUUAUUUAGUUCUAUUAAAUUAUUUUAUAGACAAAAAAAAAAAAAAAAAAGCCAAUCAUUUAAUUAACUUACUAAAUCAAAAUUUUGGAAUUUGUAAAAGAACAAAUAUAUAAUUGAAACACCUAUAAUUGAACUUGGGUCUCAUUUGAAUCUCACAAUUUUAUCGUUUGAUAGGGGUGGAGAGGGCUUGAGUUAAAGUUGAAACCAGGGCUCAUCAAUUUAAAAAUAAUUAUAUUAAAGGCAACACAUUUAAACAUAGAUUUCAGUUGGUGAUUCUAUAAUAAUGAUGAUGAUGAUGACGACGAAAGAGAAGAGGACAAAGUAUGAAGUGACGGACAAAAAGACACCAAAAAUUCUAAGAGUCAUCUACUAUGAUUAUUUUAUUAUUAAUUGCACUCAUCAAAUCACCUUUUUAAUAUAUUGAUGAUUUUAUUUGAAAAAAAAAAUUCAAAGUUAUAAAUUACACAAGAUUGAAAAGAAUUCAAAUAAAAUUGUGUUUAUUAUUAUUAUUAUUGUUAUUGAAAACAUCAUUCUUAGUUUCCUCAUUAAAAAAGCCAAUAUUUUUAUCAUAUUUUAGUUUCAUUAUCACAAAAAUAUUAUUAAAAUUAUAGCAGUUUGACACUUUACCUUUAAAUUAUAAUUUUAAAGUUGAAUUUAUUUGUCUACUUUUAAUUUAACUGCCUAAGCCUUUAAUAUAAUUAUUUUUGGGUUGUUCUAGGUCCUUCGAGUUUCAACCGCAGCUAGUAACUAAUCGUCCUAAGGCUGAAGCCACAAGCCACUGAACUGGGCUCAAAUCCCAUAUUUUGGGCAUGUUAUUGACAGGCCUACCCUUUUUUCUUUUUUUCUUUUUCUUUUAAACAAAAGACUAAGUUCGCCACCAAGCUAGCCCGUAUGCUUUUAUUGUUUAGAUUUGGCUCCCAACAUGCUACCCUUAUUUUAAGUCCCAAUAUUUUUAAGCCCAGAGUCUCGACCCUUGUUAAAUGUUGAUAUAAGUUUUCUAAGUUGAGGUUGCCUCUAGAAUGUAAUUAAUAAUAUUAUAAGAUAAUUAAUGAUAAUAAAUAUAGUUUACGAAAUUUGAAUAUUUUUAUUCUAACAACCUAUAACAACUUGACUAAUAUUCAAAUAUAUUAUUUGUUUAAAAAUGUAUCAUAUUUUUAUAUAUAGCUUGUUGGAAUUUGAAUAUCUUUGUUAUAGUAACAUAUAAAUAAAAUAAUAAUUAAAUUUGUUGAUAUUAAAAAUGUAUAUUUAUUUAAAAAAUGUGUAUAAGGAAAGUGACAAAUUGACUAAUCAUAUUAAAAAUAUGUUUAUUUAGAAAACAUAUGAUGAUUUUUCUCAUUAUAUUCUUCAUAUUUGUAAGAAGGAUGCCAAAAUAAAGAGAAAAAAACAAGGAAAAAUUGAAUCUUUUAUUUCACUCUACUUUGAGAAGUAAAUCCCAGGUUGUGCAAACAUGGGAUUACGUAGAGCUAACCACCAUGAGGUGAGGUUGAGUACAUGAUGAGAUGAAAUGAGAUGUAUGGGAAUAUAUGCUUCUACAUACCCAUUACAAAUGCUACAAUUUUCAAUGUUAGUUUAGAUGCAUUCUAUAUCAACUUCUUGUUAAAUUGCUAGUGCAUCUCAUGUCCCUCAUAUUGCAUUCUAAAAAUUUUCAUAAUGAACUUCAAAAUGAAUUUUCAUGCUAUUUCCAUUUCCAAGUCAAGACCAAAUACAUAUUAAAAUCACACAUACAUAUAUAGCUAAAAUUAAAAGGGUGAAGGGGCUUAUUUAUGCAGAACAUCGAAAUAUCUGAAAACAUCUUUUCUUUUCGUUUGCUAAAUGUUUCAUGGAGAUAAACCAGAGCACCUCAAACCUUAAUGGGGGUUCUUUAAAAUGAACCAUGUCAGUGAAACCAAAAACAUGGCAAUACUCAUUCAAUAACAAUGCUGAUUUUUUUACAAAGAUUAUUUUAUUUCAAUUAAAUGUGUCAAACACAUGGCGUGAAAUUAGCUAAUCACCAUACUUGGCCACAUGCUUCUUGAGUGCAAUGAACCAAUCAUGACAUCAGUUGGCAACAUCCUUAGUACUCAUCAGGGCAUUUACAAGUGGAGAAGCAAAGCACUACAAACCACAAAUUUUCUCAUAAGUGCUUCAAAUAAUGUUUUGAAAUUUGAAACUCAAAAUCUUCCUAGUGUUUACACAACUACAUAAAACAUACAAAAUUUAAAACAGUCAAACAUAUAAACUACAAACUAUAUAUAAAUGAAAACCCUUCUUACAUGGAAAUUUGCUCUAUGUCAAGCCAUUUAUACUAACAAGCUUUUGAUCAAGUGCAUGAUGUUGGAUUUGACGAAAAGUUUGCUAUCCUUUAGACAUGGAGUUCCUUUUUCUAAAGAUUGGUGUCAUAAGACAUUUAAGGAGAAAGAUCCCAUGAAAACAGUAUCAAUCUCAUGAAAGCAAUAUCUUAUACCUUUAUAGUGAGUAGUCUUAUGUUUGUGAUGUUAUGUGCUAGACCAAAUAUUUGUUUUGUUGUACGGGGUGGUAAAUAGAUAUUUAUUCAAUCCAAGACCAAAGCAUUUGGCAAAUUUCAAAGGAUAUUCUCAAGUAUAUUAGGCAAACAAUGGGAUAUAUGCUUGUAUCUCUUUGUAAUUAGUUGGCACUCCUUGGAUGCAUGGAUUCAAACUUUCAAUCUGACAAAGAUUCUUGUAAGUUUGCCUCUAGAUAUGUGUACAUUCUAAGUGAUUUUUAUUGUUGCUUUUGACCAUAAACAAUUAACAUAUAAUAAUAUAACUUUUGAUUAUAUAAGAUUUUAGAAAUUAUAGUUUAUGGCUAGAAAAUAUCAAUGUUCACAAGCUUUUUUCUUGACCAUUCAUAGUUUGUGAGUAGGAAUAAUUUUUAAGUAUAGCUUCUAGCUAUAUAAAAUUAAGAUAUCAACGAUUAUAAGUUUUUAACUUGAUUUGAAAGGUCUUAAUAUAGCUUAUAGCUAUAAAUUUAUUAAUUUGGUAUUCUAUUUUAUAUUAUUACUAGUUAUAAGAAAAUACAACAUAUUUCAAAUGUUAUAUACGAGAUGGCGAAAAUUAAUUGUGUAAGUUAUUAAGAAACUUUGUAAUGUACUUUUGAAUUUCGUAUUCAAAAACAAAGAAAUUGCUUUGAAUUGAAGAUGUUUUCUCUUUCUCAACCCCAAAAGUUGUAUUCAUAACAUGUUAUAAUUAAAAAUAUAAAGGCUAAGGAAAAAUAAAGAGAAGAGAGAAUAAGAGGAGAGAAUGCAUUAAUUUUUUUUUAAUCUCUUUAUUAACUCAAAAACCCUUAUUUAUAGGAUAAGAAUAAUAUCAAUAUGAUAAUAAUACAAACAUGGCAAUGAUGUUUUCAUCUACAAACUAUCAUGGAUAUUUGUAACAGUUUUCUAGUUUUAACCAUAAUAUAAAGAAUUGUAUUAUUAAAUAAAAAUUGAAAUGCUUUACUUAAACAAUAUACAUUUUUAUACUCACAAGUAUUAAGAUUUUUUUAAUACUUAAUUUCCAGUUUGAUAGAUUAGGCAAUUUUAUAAAAAAUAAUUAAUAGGUGAUAUCAGAUUUAUAUUACCAAACAUAUAUACUUAAAAAGAUUGAUGUUAGACCUCUUAUGAAGAACAUGAAGAUAUUUAGUGUAAUGGCUUCCUGAAAUAAGAGCCACCAUAAAGUUUUACUUUAGGGAUUUUUAUAGGUUGAUUUAUUUAUUUCUUUCUUGUCUUUUUCUUUUGGUAACCUAAUUGGAAUCUUUCAUAAAUACUUUCAAUUCCUAAAAUGCCUAAAGAAAUAGUGAAAUCUUUUAUUAAGAUAAACAAUAUUGAUCUGACCACCAACUUUAUCGUGUUGAUAUAAUGUUUUAUAAAAUGAUAGUUAGAAUAUCAAUUCUCUUCUAAGUAUUUAAGGUUUGUUUUGGUCAGCCCUUAGCUUCUAGUGUAUAAGAAAGAGGCAAGGUCUAGCUUGUCUUACAAGUUUAUAAUGAUUAAAUUGAUUAAAGUAAAAAUAUUGUAAAUGGUAGGGCCUUGUGAUAAGAUGCUACAAUGAGUCAACUUUGUUGGUGCACCAAGUGUAAUCCGACUAGCUAGCAAGAUGCUGAUGACAGUUCGGCCAGCACAAAGAAAUGCCUGGACAAGUUAAAAGUAAUAAAGGAUGAUAGAUUAAAAGUAAUAAAAUUAAGCCUAUCUCACCCAGGUUCCUUUACACUCACGAGCUUUAAAAGGGAUAGCUUCAAGCUCUAGAACUUUGCCUUCUCGUUCACUAAUAGAUGAAGAUGAAGAUGGAGAAAUGGUUGAUUCAACAUAUGAGGAAGAUGGAGAAGGCUAUAAAUGUGAUGAUGGAAAUGAUGAUGUUGAUUUUGUUGAUUUAGAGGAGGAGUGAGGAUUGAUUGUUGUGGACAAAUUUGUUAUUUAAGUGUUUUUUAAUGAUGUUUUUGAAUUGUGGAUAAAUUUCAUGUUUUGGUUUGGAAACUUUGGAUUUGGAUAUGUAUUAGACUAUUAACAAUCAUGAUGCUUUGUUUUUAUGCUUGGAGUUCUUUGUUUUUUUGUUUUUUGUUGAUUAAAUUGAAGUUUUGGAUGAUAUUUGAUGAUUUAUGUGUUUAGGACAAAUAAAUGAUUAUUAAAUUUGAUUAUGUUUUAUAUAAAAAUAUAUAUGUAAAUUAUGGUGCACCUCACUUUACUAAACCCCGUGUCUUAGGUGCGCCUUGUGCCUCAAGCUCCAGGACUACUUUGCGCCUUGGUGCGCCUUGACCCUUUUAAAACUAUGCAAGGUAUUUUGGUACAUUAUUUGUGAACAUAAUGGCUCUACCUACUAGAAGGUGGUGAUUCUUUCUUUCAGCAAUGCCAUUUUAUUGUGGGGUUGUUGUGUAGAAACUUUGAUGAAUAAUGCCUUUCUUAGAGAGAAAACCUUCUAAAAUAAUUUAAAAUAUCCUUUUUCGUUGUCUAUUAUAAGAAUUGUAAUGUUAGCAUUGUAUUAGGUGUUAAUCAUGGCAUAAAAAAUUUUAAACACUUGCUUUGCUUUUUAUUUUUCUUUCAAAAGAUAUACCCAACAAACCCGAGUGUGAUCAUCAAUAAAUGUGAUGAACCUUUGUUUUUCGUUAAAUGUUUAACUCGUGAAGAACCCCAAAUAUUACUAUGGAAUAAUAAAAAGAUGAUGACGCUUUGUAUUUUUAAGGAGGAUAAGUGGAACAAACAUGCUUGGCUAAGUGACAAAUUCCACAUUGAAAAAAAUCUCCAUUAUGAAAUAGUGAUGGAAACAAAGUUCGCACAUAUGGAAAACUUGGGGCCUAGUCUACAAUGUCACAAUAUUAUUUCUUGUUCUCUAGAAAUAGACUUACAACUUGCAAUUUAGGUUUGUUUAUUCAAUUCACUUCUCAAAAUAAUAUAACCCCUCAUGUUCUCUGGCAUUGCCAAUCUUCUUCUCCUAAGUUAGGUCUUGAAACACAUAAGAAGAUUCAAAGAAAUGAGCAUCACACAUUAAGUCUCUAGUCAACUUACUAAUAGAGGGAAGAUUGCAAGAAAAAAAUUAGAAUAUGUAAAACAAAAUGUAGUUCAAUAUUAGGGCUAAUUCUAAUAUUUCUAGUUCUUGCCACUGUUGAAAGAGAUCCAUAUGCUACUUUAACCUUGAAACUUCCUAAACUAAGAUUGUAUGAUGAGAAUAAUUUUUCGCAGCCCAUCGUAUGAUUUGUGGCUCUAGAUUCAAUCAUCGUGGUUCUAGAUUAUUUCUAUAACUACAAUGAGGUGAGGAAAAAAUUACUUCUCUGUGCUAAUAAUGAAUUAUUAGUGUCUUUUGAUGGUUUUGUCAUCAAUAUGGAGAAAAAACCAACAUUCAUCAAAUUCUUAUUAAAAAUAAAUUAAAGGUACAAGCUGUAAUUUAUACAAAGCAAAACGUGAAACAGACCUUAAUUCUAGGAAUAAUAAAAUCAUAUCUCCUAAGAUUUUAUUGCUAUUAAUCAGCAAUAUUUAUUCAAAAUGAAAAAAUUCAAAUGAUGUUCAAAUAAUAGUUGAUUAUUUGGCUACUAGUUUAAAACAAAAUCUGCCCAUAAUUAGAAUGAUUUGAUUUUAUUUGAAUUAUCUUCCAACACUCCCCCUCAAGUUGGGUGGUACAAAUUGAACAUGCCCAGCUUGUCUACUAGUUACUUGAAUGAUCUUCUUGAUAGUAAUUUGGUGGGUACAUUUGCUAGUUGUUUAUUUUGUUGGUACAUAAGCCAUGCAAAUUGUACUAUCUUCAACCUUUUCCUUUAUAAAGUGUCUAUCAACUUCCAUGUGUUUAGUUAAGUCAUGAUGAACUAGGUUGUGUGAUAUAUGUUGAUGGUCACCUUAUUGUCACAAUACAUCUUCAUUGGCAUCUUCUCCUCCACAUUAAUUUCUCGUAGAAGUUGUUUAAGCCAUAGUAGUUCGCACAUAUCAUGAGCAAUAACACAAAAUUCCGCCUCUGCACUACUUCUAGCUACUACUGUUUGCUUCUUACUCCUCCAAGUCGCUAAGUUGCCCCACACAAAGAUGCAAUAGCUUGAAGUUGAUCUUUGAUCAUCUAUGGAACUUGCCCAGUUAGCAUCCGUGAACCCUUUAAUGCUUCUUGUUUCAUUUUUUCUAAAGAAUAAUCCUUUCCUUAGAGAUACUUUAAGAUACUUUAUAAUUCUAUACACGACUUCCAUAUGUUCUUUGCAAGGAGAAUGCAUGUAUUGACUCACAAUUCUUAUUGCAAAAGCGAUGUCUAAUCUAGUGUGGGAAAGAUAAAUUAGCAUCCCUACUAGACGUUGAUAUCUUUCGAUGUUGAUAGGUGUGCUCUCUUUUUGUUCUUCAAUCUUUUUUACGGGAUCCAUUACAACAUCCAAAGGUUUACAUCCUAGCAUCUUAGUUUCCUUCAAGAGAUCUAGAAUAUAUUUUCUUUAGGAAAUUGUUAUUUCACUAUUUUUCCUUGCCAUUUCCAUCCCUAGAAAGUAACGUUGAGGUCCUAGAUCUUUGGUUUCAAACUUAGCAACCAACUUCCCUUUUAAUUGUUCCAUCUCCAUUGGAUCAUUUCCCAAUCACUAUAAUGUCAUCCACAUAGACCAUGAGAAUAGUGACCUUACCAUCAUUGUGAUGUUAAAAUAAGGUAUGAUCAGAUUGAUCCUAUGUAUAUCCAUGCGUUAUGAUGGCCUUGGUAAAUCUCUUGAACCAUGCAUGAGGAGACUGUUUCAGCCCAUAGAGAGAUUUUCUAAGCUUGUAGACUUUUCUACCUUCCUUCCUUGAUCGAAUCCAAGAGGCAAUUCCAUCUACAGUUUUUCUAGGUCUCCAUUCAUAAAAACAUUUUUGAUGUCUAGUUAUUGAAGUCACCAAUCCAGACUUGUAGCAAGAGAUAAAAGAACUGUUACGGUAUUAAGUUUGGCAAUUGGGGUAAAUGUACAUUUCUUGAUAGUCAAUACCAUAAGUUUAUGCAAAUCCCUUAGCUACCAACCUUGCCUUGUAUUUUUCAAUGAACCCAUUUGACUUUUAUUUUCCAGCAAACACCCAUUUGCAUCCAACAAGCAUAUUUGCUUGGGCUUGUCCACUAAAUCCCAAGUUCGGUUUUUUUUUUUUCUAGAGCUUUCAUUUUCUCCAUCAAAGCUUCUUUCCAUUGAGGAUCUUGUAAAGCCCCAUGAAUAAGUUCCAAAACUUCUUCUCCUAAAAGUUUUGAAAUAAAAGCUUGAAAUCAAGGUGAGAGGGUGUUGAAUACAUGGUCAAACACCUUUUCUCAUGGCUAUAGGAAAAUUAAGGUUACUUAUGACUCAUGCCCAAUUGGUGUCUCAGCUGAUUUGUGUUCAGCUGGUGCUCCUUGAUUGAGGAAGUGAUCAACAAAAUUUAUACCUAUAACACCAUACACUAGGGUAGCAAAUACAAAGCUACUAUAGUAUAGUGGCUCUAAGGAUCGUUCACUGGGAAUGAUUUGCAAGCAAUCAAGGAUACCAAUUCCAAGUGAAUUGGUUUUGUUUCAUUUCACGGUUAGCUUAAGGAAUAAAACACAAACUUUGAUUGGUACAGGUUUAGACUUAAACUAACUAACUUAACAGAAGUUUGGAAUAAUUUAGGAAGAAAAGCAUUCCUUGGAGAUUUAGGUUCACUGGGGCGGUUCCUCAUACAAAAGACACGGCUCUGGUCAGAUGGUUCAUUUCCUCGCAUUAGAGAUUCAACUUAGAGUCAAUUCUCUAACCGGUGAUGUACAGAGACUCCUUCAAUUAGAUUUCACUUUAAUUCUCUCACUGAUGCAACUUGCAAUGGUUCAUGCCUCUCACGAGCACUUACCAUUCAAGGUGAUCUUUAACCUUGGACUUCCCUUCACAAACUCGCAAGAGAUAACUAAUGGAUGUCUCCUAGGAGUCCAAAAGCUUACCAAGUGUUGGUAAUUCCAGAAAAUCCUACCUUGAAGUCACCUACCAAAGGCUCGCAAGGGGUAAACUAGUGCAUUUCCACGGUUGGAAAUCACUUGCCUUACCAAGUGUUGGCCCAGGUGACUCCAAGGUGUUUUAAGUUAACUAAAAACAUUGAAAUCACUAAAGGAUUUCACUUCCUUUUCAUUACUAGCUAAAACCACAGAGCUUUGCAUUCUUGCACUUGGAACCUUCCCCGACAACCUUAGCUCCAAGGAAUUGGAGGUUUAGUUACUCAUUCUCUGGGGAAAACUCCUCAGAGAAUUCAUAACUUAGAAAUAAAAUGAAAAUACAAAGUGAGAAGGUAAGGCAGUAGAAAGAAAAUACUUUACUUGCUUACCAAAUGGUUACAGAAGGAACUCUCCUCCGAGAACAGGCUCCCGAGAGGUAUUUAUAUCAAAACAAUAUAAAACUAAUUAUUACAUAGAUAUUUGGUCUUUUUACUAACUUAAAAACUAAGAAAUCAUGUAAUUGGUGGUUUACAAGGAGUAUUUUGGGAUUUAGACAACAAAAAUCUAAUGGAAAAUAUCUCCCAAUGUCGGUAGCAAGCUUCGGGAGGCUUCAAGAGCCAUUUCGCAGGAGAAAAGUGAGGUCUGCGAAAUUUCGCAGACACCCAAGAGGGCUGCGAAAUUAUUUUGCAAGACCGAGCUAUCUUCACCUGGCUGCAAAGUUGGCUUCCACCUUGAAGUUUCCAGCUCCCUUCUCGCGGCAUGGUUCGUGCAUCGUCAGAAGGAGAAACACCUUACUGUACAAAAGUGCUGCGAAAUUCUCGCAACAAAAGGCUGAUUCCGCAACACUUUAGAGUGACUGGCUUGUAAUGGCUGCAACUUCUUCGUUUCAACUCCGAAUCGUGCACCGUUUGAAGCAUUGGAUUGUUGACUUUCUGAGCUUUGAAAUGGUAUAUAGCUUGCAUCAUUUGGACUUCAGAAAGUUCUCCAAAAGUGGCUGCUACGACUGUCAUCAAGAAUAGGCUUCAUGGCAGAUUCUCUUUGCUUUUUCUCCUUGCAUUCCGGAUUCACUCUUGGCAAUUGAAUUCUAGCUUUGCCCAAGAUUCCUCAUAGCUCUCCUCAUUCUUGACUUGCUUUGGUGAUCAAAAUACUAACAAAAACACCAAAACUUGCACAAAGUGAUCAAAAUUGCUUUAAAGGAUCCUUAACAUGCCAAUUGAGUUAAAAGGCCUAAACUACUACUCAAAAGUGUUAAAAAGGAUUAAUUAAAGGCUAUCAAAUAGCACUUUUUGAGUAGUAAUCAACUUACCUCAGGAACGACAGUUUUUCUGAUUCUUGACAGCACUAUUGGUUCAUUUUGGUCUCUAUUAUUCUUGAGUUACUCCUCUUUGUAUAGACAUGAAGUUUUGGUUGUUGUAGUGAAUCUUCCCUGACCUUGAAUCUAUUUUUGUUGUUGACACCACAAGUCUGACUGGCUUCGAUUGUUCUUGUUUGUCAGUUUCAAACACUAGCUGGUUAAGGAGGUGUUCUGGUUGUUCAGGUGGGUAAGAAGGCUAGUUUAAUAGUUGUUUUGGUGAUAUAGUUGGGUUAGACAAGUUUGGUGGUUGUUCUGGUAGUAGGCUUAGCAAUGAUAGUUCCCAAAAAUUCUCUUUAUCUACAUUCUGCCCUUGAAGUGAAUUUUUGGAGAAAAAGGUUGGUUCUAAAAAAAAUGUAACAUCCAAAGUGACAAAGUAUUUUUGUUUUUUAGGAGAGCAACAGCGAUACCCCUUUGUGUGGUUGAAUGACCAAGGAAGACAUAGGCUAAUGCUGUAGGAUCCAGUUUGGUUCGAUUUUGGUCGAGGACAUGAACAAAGGCUUUACAAUUGAAAACCUUAAGGGGGAGUUGGUUAAAGGACUGAGUUUGUGGAUAGAAUUGAAGGAAUCUUUUUAAUGGUGUUUGGUAAUUGAAAACUCGGGUAGGCAUAUGAUUUACAAGAUAAUAAGUUGAAAGAAUGGAAUCUUCCCAAAAUUGUUUUGGUACAUUUGUGGUAAGCAUAAUGGAUCGAGCUACUUCCAAUAAAUGCCUAUUAUUUCACUCGGCCACUUCAUUUUGUCGAGGUAUAUCUACACACGAACUUUCCCAUUAUCCAUUUAUAAGACUUGGAUUUUAGUAUUAGAUUGGUUUUGAAUCAUUUGAUAAAAAAUUUUGAAUGCUGGUUUUGCCUCAUUUUUUUCUUUCAAGAGAUAUAGUCAUGUAGUUCAGGUGAUCAUCAAUAAACGUGAUAAACCACCUUCCCAAUUAGAUUUUGUAAACGUGAGGGACCCCAUAUGUAGUGUGUAUCAUUGCAUAAGGUCUGGAUGCUUUGUAGGGUUGAGAAGGAUAAUUGGACCAUUGAUGUUCAGCAAAUUGAUAAAUAUCACACUAAAAAACAUCUUUAUUAUUGAAAAAAGAAGGAAACAAAUGCUUCAAAUAUUGAAAAUUAGGAUGGCCUAAGCUAAAGUGCCACAACACUACUUCUUGUUGCUUAGUCCUCUAGGAAGAUUCACAACCAGCUGAUAGUACUUGUCCAUCCUUGGUAUUAUCUUCCUUGAAGUAGUAGAGCCCUCCAUAUUCCUCAGCACUGUCAAUGCUCUUCCUUAGACAACAAAUUACAUGAUAAUUUGGGACAUUGAGAACAUUGAAAAGGGUUAUAUGAGGCCCUAAAAUUUUAGUACCAGUCCCUGCAACAGUAGCCAGAGAUCCAUCUGCAAUUUUGACUGAUGUGUCCAGAACCUGGAGUAUAAGUAGAAAGUAGACUUGCACAACCUGUCAUAUGGUCUGUUGCCCCUAAAUCUAUUAUCCUAGGGUUGAAUUUUUCUGUUGUUCCACUCAAAGCAAUCCCAAAUGUACCUUUUGGGAUAGGAAGGAUGAGUUAAUGUGGUUUUGGGAUGUAUUAGUGCCUGAUUCUGCUGGUACCAAGGCUGAGGAUGGUGUUAACAAUUUGUAGAGCUGCUCUAACUGCUCCUUGUUUAAGGAAAUAUUGACAGAGCUCUCUCCUCUCUGCUAUUCAGUAUCUGAAGUGGUCUGAUAUCCCUUGGGUUCCCUCUUAGUGCCUUGGUUAUCUCUGAAAUUAGGUGGUCUGCCAUUCAGCUUCCAGCAGUUUUCAUGGCUGUGAUUGGAUCUCUGACAGUGAUCACACCAAAGGUUGUCAUUUCUUCUGUUGCAAGUAUCUCCACAGGAACUGUCAUCUUUACAGGCUAUCAGGUCUGAGUUAUCAGCAGUAGUAUUGCCAGGAACAGUAGGAGUUUUUACCCCACCAACCAUCACACGUUUGCAUGUUUGUAAUUUCUGAUAUUUUAAUCCUUGUUCACAUGAUGACUGUUAUAUUAAUUUUAUUGCUGAUUCAGAUAAUACAGUCAUAACAUUUGCUGGAAUUUUGCAAAAUCAGACUCAGCCUUUUGAGACUUUGAAAACUUUGACACCAUAUUUAGUCAAUCUAGAUUGAAGAAAAGACCUUAUUCUAGAAACUUAUGAACUAAAAACAGAGUUUUCUCUACUUAGAAUAUUCAUUAUUCAUUACUGGUUUUGUUCAUGAAAGUUUCUUUCCUUCUAUGCUUUGUUGCUCUAUACUUCUACUUGCAUAUUCAAAUGGAUCUGCAAAUAAUUUGAUUUUGUUGAUAGGUUGAUGCUGCUCUUGAUUUAAGUCACGCUCAAAACAUUGGAAGAAUGAUUAAAUCCCAUUUCCCACAUUCCCCGGUUAGUAAAUAUAUAUUUUAUUUUAUUUGUUCUCAUCAGCAUGUUGAUUCACUUUUCUUUUUAUCCUCCUAAACUUUAGAUCUUUUUGCCAAUUGAAUUUUAGCUCUAGUAAUAGACACGGGGCCUUUAGUUAUAAUUAAGUCAUAAUAAAAAAAGAAAUUUUCUAUGGUACAAAAAAGGUAUCAUGAUUCAUGGCUCCAAAAGUCAACUAAUGAGAUUGAGAGUUUGUUUCUUGAUAUAUGAAACUACCUAGAGGAGAAGCGAAUAGGUAGUCCAAAAUUUUAUUUUCCAAUUUAAAAUUUAUUCAAAUUUUAUGAGAGGUAGAUUCAAACAAUGUAUAUAUAGAAAUCAAUCACACAUACAAGGACAUCAAUUAUAGGUGGAAAUAACACUUACAAAGUACUUGAGAAAUUUUGUAGAUGAAAAACCUACAGGUUGAACGAUCGGGAAUAGAGCCAUGAAAUACAUAAAAGAUUGUAUGUAGAUUACCUAAUCUAGAAUAUCCAACUCCCAAAGGGUCUUAUACCGGUAAGCACCUACCCAACUUUUCAUGUCCUUAUCGCAACACUCUUUGUUCCUUACUGAAUACCUUAAUCCCAUGCUAAGGCUAUGAAAGAACAUACCUUCAAUGAAAACACUUUCAAGAUUGUGCUUUAAAGGUUUGAGAGAUGGAGAUCUAGGGUAGAGAGAAUAGUCACAUUCUUAUGCAUGUCUUCAAUUUAUAAAAACUUAGUAUUUAUACCAAAAUAUUAGGAGACAAUUUUGGAGAUAUUUUUUCCAAAAAGUUAGCAAAAUAUCCUUUAAAAAAUUGGAAAAUGGCUAGAAAUAUGCAAGAAUAUGGCCCAAUGUUUGAAAGUCUGUAGAUGGUGUUUGAGAGAGAUGUUUGAAUGUCUCCUAUGUGACAUUUGGAUUUCCAACCUGCAUUUUGCCCACUCGGUUGAGUUUUUCAAUCUCUUCUCCAAAAUUUCACUUAGUACUCGUGAUAACCAUUUCUCAUGGCCUAAUAUCACCUAAUGUAUAUGUACUUCAAAUGUGAAUCAACUCUAAAGUAACUAAUGAUUGAUUUAAAUUGGUAAGACCCUCAAGAGGUAAGCUACAUUGGACUCAAUACAAUAAUGGAACAAAAUUUAUCAACCUAAUCUAAUACAUCAAUUGAGAUACCUAAAGGCAAUGACAUAUUAAAUAGUAAAAUGUUAAUUUUUAUUAGUUAUAUAUAUUUUAGUGGAUAAUACCUUCAAAUGCAUUCAGGUGCGUAUAAAGAGUAGCAUGUAUGACAUGAACAAUGCUUGUUUCUAGAAGAGUCUGCUACCUAGUUGACAUUAAACAACAGAAGUGGUUCUUAACUCGAGAAACCAACAAAAAGAGGAGUCAACACUUUUAUCUUAGAUGUAAACUCUACUCUGUAUUUCUAUAAUUAGAUUUGUUCAUAUGGCCAACUGGAAGAAUAAACUAUUCAUUACUAAGAGCAAAAUGAAGCUUUCUAGAAGUUAAUAAAGCGAUCAUAAGAUCAAUUAUUGUAGUUGUGCUUUUGCUACACACAGUCAAAUUAAUAGUCAAGAAAAAUCCUGAAAAUUUUUAAGAACUAAAUUAGAUCUUGUGUUUGGUCUUAAGAACUAAAAAAAGUGGCAGCUCAAAACUAACCAUUAGGUAUGGUUUGGGGUUGAUUUAACAUUCUCUAAAGGCUCAAAUAAUACUCAAGAACGAUUUAAAAUUCUUCCACAAUCAAUAUAAGAGGUUAAUUUGAAGCCUUUAAAUAGGAGUUGGAAGCUCAAAACUAAUCGGCAGGUAUGAUUUGGGGUUGAUUGGUCAAAUUGGUUAUUACCCAUUGGGCAUCAAAAAGUACAAGUGACCAUUAGGUUAUAAAAGGUUAGCUAGAUGGGUUUCCACCUCAACCAGUUAAAAUAAGCUUUUGUCGACCUUAAUCAGUCCAAUUGAUGAAUAAACCAAUUCAACCGGUUGAUUGAGUGAAUAGAAAUGGUUGAGCCGCUUUGGUCAAAGUCUGAGGUCAAACAUACAACUUUAGCAUAUUGCAUCUUUAGCAUAAGAUCAUUAGGAAAACUUGACUAGAUAAACCCUUCAUCAUUUUAAAAACCUUUUUAACCAUUAAAAACACUAAUUAAAGAUGAUUUUCAUUUAAAACAAUUCUUCAUCCAAUUUAUAAAAGAAUAAAAAAUCAAGAGAAGAAUUUAGAGAAAUAAAGGAAGAAGAAAGUCAAAGGAAAAUAAUUUUGAAGUUAUCUAUUUCCAAUACCUUACCAUAUUUAUAGGUUCCAAUCAUAAUGACUAUAAUAUAUAUAUAUAUAUAUAUAUAUAUAUAUAUAUAUAUAUAUAUAUAUAUAUAUAUAUAUAUUAACAAUUAUGAAUGUUACAUGAAUAUUUGCAAAGUUUAAUAUUAGGAAAUGACGUCCACAAAUUUUUAUACCUAUUUAUAGAACUCCCCUUUUGAUGUUAAAUCAUUUUAAAAAUAUGUCUUAUUAAAACCUGACUAAGAAAAAUCCAAGUGAAGGAAAAAAAGUAUAAUAAUCUUUUAAUGCAUUUGGACUACUGUGACUACCUCAUUAAAAAAUUUGUCUGUAAAACCUAGUAGGACAAAACCUGGACAAAAGGAAAAAGAAUACAAUGUAGUGACAUCCUUAUUAAUUUGCUCCCCCGUGAACAUAAUCACGUUUUCUUGACUACUUCAAUUUGAAGCUUCUUGAAUCUUCCCAUUUCAAUAUUAUAUAUGAGUUUUUGGAAUAUUGCUCUUAGUAAUGCUUUUAUGAAUAGAUUUGCAAAAUUGCCACCUAAUCUUACUGGUUGAAUAUUAAUAUUAUGCUUAAGCUUGCUCUAGCUCUAGUAUCAAACCUGGCCUCCUCAGCUCCAACAACAUCACCCUAUGUCAAAUUAUCAUCAUCAAAUACAAAAUCAUAUUGUGCACCUCCAUGAGAAUCCUCAUUUUCCAUUCUUCCUAUCAACCCUUCAUUGUUGUCAUCUAUAUCUUUUAAGGAAAUUGGGCCAAUGGUGUUACGUUCAUUGUAUCUUCUCUUUAAGGCAUUAUAUUUAAUGUGUACCAAAUCAUUCAAGCGUUGAUGAUCUAACCUAUUUCUCCUCUUGCUAUGAAUCUACAAAAAUUUAUAAACUCAUAAAUAUAUUUCAAAGUUUUAACUUUUUACUUUUAAGUUACAUUCAAGACUCUAUUAGACUAUUACUUGUAAUUAUUUUGGUCACUUACAUUUUCAAAGAUGCUUCAAUUCCAUUCACAACCCAAUGCACUACAUGUUAGGUUGAGGACUUUCAUUGCAAACCUUUGCAAAUUUGGAGCUUCAGCUCCAUAUGUAGCCCACCAUUCAGCUAUAGUAUAGAUAUUAACAAUUUAGUGAAAUAAUUCAUCUAUUUCAGCAAAAAUACAAUCUAAUCAUUUAAAUAAAUAAAAAUAAAUAACUAACUUGGUGUUCUAGUCUUCAUUGUCCUUACAACUAACUCAUUCUCGAUUAGUCUUUGGGCAUUUGAGUACAAACUCACUUUAGUCACAACUUUUUCUUACUUAGUGGGGUUUUUUGUCAGCCUUAAGAUGCAUUUAUACAAAUCACUCACAAUCUUUGCAUCAUGCUCUAUUUCUAGUUUAUCAUAGAAAAAUUACCGGUUCAAAAAGUACCAUGUUGCAUGCAAAGGCCGAUGAAGUUGAAUUUCCCAUCUCUUAUAAAUGAUUUUGAAGAUUUCUUUAUACUUCUCUUCAUUUCCAUUAAAACUUCUCAUAAUUGUAUCCUUAGCUCUAUUCAUGACCUCAUAAAUUUAUUCCAUAGGAGCUUUUUUUUUUCACCUUUAACCAAACAAAGCACAUGAACAAGGGGCCCAAAACCUUUAAGCAAAACACAAUAGUGUUCCAAAAUGAAGGCAUUAGAACUAUGUUGGCUAUAGUUUUCUCCUUCUCUUUUGCCCAUUUACUAUUUGACCAAUCUGAACUUGUAAACAUCUUCCUCAAGUUGCUUUUUUGUUCAUGUAAUCGCAAUAAUGUGAUGAAAGCAAUUGCAAAUCGAGUCUUAGUAAGCCUAAGCAAUUCUUUUUGUCUAAUAAUCUGCCUCAUCAUAUUGAGUGGCCUUGGGCAAUUAUAAAUAUACCCAUUUAGUGAUAUAGCCCUCUCCAAUGUCCCUUGAUGUUUGGUAGCUUUCCAAUAUCUUCCAAUAUCAAGUCAAGGCAAUGUGCAGCACAUGGUGUCCAAUACAAAUGCAAGAAAGCUUUAAUUCUAGCAACCUCCCUAUGUGACAUUGUAGAUAAUAAAUUUACAUAAGUUCUCAAGAUAAAUAAUUCAAAUUUUAAAAUUAAAAUUAUUAAAUAAAAAUUCAAGAAAUAGUAUUUAUUACCUGCCAUCACAUAACUUGAGUGAUUAUCUGUUAUAACUUGAAUAACAUUCUCCUCACCAACUUGCUCUACCCAUUUUUCAAGUAACUCAAACAUCUUUUCUCUAGUCUCAAUCAUCGAAAAAGCAUAAAUGGAUUGCAUAAACAUGGUUCCCUUUGAAUAAUUAACCAAAAAUUUCACCAAAGUUCUCUCUUUCCUAUCGGUCCAUCCAUCUAACAUAAUUGAACAUCCAUUUUUUUUUCCAUUCCACCAUAUAAUCCUUCAUCAAAUCUUUUGUAAGAGCUAAUUCUUUCUUGAGGUUUGUAAAUCUUGCCUCAUGAAGAGUUGGUCCCUUCAUACCCACACCAUAUUAGCCAAUAGCCUCAAUUAUUGGUUGGAAACUCGGAUAUAUGAUUGCAUUAAAUGGAAUAACAGCCUCAUACAUCCACCUUGUGAUAAACAUACAAGCUCUUUCUCUUGCUUCCUUUUUAUAGGCAUCAUUGAUAGUAGUUUGAUUCAUCUUCCCACUCUUUUGACUUUGAACAACCAUUUCUACAUUAUGAGUGAAAAAAUGAUCCAUGGGACCUUUUUGUCUUGGUUUUUUUGAAGAAAACAUCCUACCACCACUUCCUCCUUAGUUACUACCUCCAUUAGAAAUGUUGGUGACAUUCAUUCUACUUUUAAUCUCCUCACCAAAAUCUUCAUCUUCCAAACCAAACAAAUUUUCAUUAACAUCUUCACUCCCCAUAUUCAUUUGCUUUUUUGACUUUUUUUGGAACUCAUAUACUCUUCCAUUUCUUCUCUAACAUGUUCUAGACAUUUUCUACACUUUUUAGCAUUUUUAUAUCCACCAACAAGAUGUUGUUUGUGUCUAUAUAUGCCUUUUUUGAUUACUUUAUCACAAAAAAUGCAUAUAGUGGUGUUCAAAUCUUUUUCAUUAGGCAAACGAGCAUACUUUCGUCUGAGAUCUCUUCUUCUACUUGCACUAGAGUCCACUUGAGUUUCACUCUCAUUUUCCAUCUUGCAAACAAAUUAUCCAUACUACAAUAAAAUAAUUAUAUUAAAUUAAGAAAAUAAAAAAUUGAAAAAAAAUGCAUAUCAUAUUAACAAAAAAUAUGUACAUGAGAGUGUUUUUUAUUUGUUUAUUUUUAUUUAGUAAAAUUUUCAUGUCAAAAUACAAUAUUUAUUUUAAAAAAAUGCCAAUGAGAGUUAUGAGACAAGAAUGGAAAAAAAAUGCAGAAAAGAGAAACAUACCAAGGUCCUAGAAAGGUACGUCUAUUUUUCCUCUAUUUUUCCUCAUUUUCUUUGCUUCUCCACUGCACAGCUGAGGUUAGGGCAAAAUUUGGGAGGGUUGUCGAGUUGAAAACAACCAGAAAAUGGAACUAGAAAGGAAAAUAGGACCAAAAUGACAUUGUUUUGGCCUGUUUUUUAUUUUAAAAGAACAAGCUCCAAAACAACAUUAUUUUGGCUGGUUAUUUUUUAAAAUAAAAAUGGUCAAAACAACGUCAUUUUGGUCUCAAUUUUUUUCAUAAAAAACAAAAUUAGGGUUCUCUCUACCCUUUGCAACCCGUCUUCAAAAAAAAAAAAAAAAAAAAAAGAAGAAGAAGAAGAAGAAGGAGAUAGGGGAUCAAGGCGCACCUAUGGACUACGUCGUGCCUUACCGAAGGUGGGCUCCUUGCGCGCUUAAGUGGCGCCUUCGUGAAGGGGCAUCGCCUACCUUUAAGCAAGGCACCGGAGGGUUGCAUCGCACCACCUGGAGCCUAGGCGCACCUUUCACAACUAUGAUACCUUGUUAUCUAAUAAAUAGAAUGUUAACCUAAAUUCUUAAUUAUGAAGCACCAAUAACUUGUUUUCUCAAAGCCUAUCAUCGUAGCCAAUCUAUCUCUUCACUUCCAUUAUGAGUCUUUGGUUGUACUUCCUUCGUACACAUCUGCGAUAAUAAUAGGAAUAAACUUAACCCUAAAGCUCGAAAAUGUAUUUUCUUAGGAUACUUUGAUAUGUAAAAAAGAUAAAAAUGUUACAUACCAAACACACAAAUAUUACACUUCUAUGGGUUUGACAUUCUUUGAAAACCAACCUUUUUUCACCAAAAAUUUCUCUCAAGGGGAAAACGUUAGUGAGGACGAAAAUAUUAAAGUUGCCAUUGCUCCUAUAUUUGCACUACUACUUGAGUUUGAACAACCACAAACACUACUACAUGAACUUGAAUAGUCAUAAAACACCCUUUGGUGAACCUGCUAUGACCAUGAACAAGGGUUCAAUGAUGGAGGGACUUGUAACUCCAGUCUCCCAAGCCACUUGUUUAUUCAAGACAAAAUAGUACUCAAAAGGUGGAACACCUAACAACCUCUUGCAAAACCAUGAAUUUGAACCAAUAUCAAUUACUCAAACUUCUAACCCACGUGUUACUUUUGGAGGUGAUGAUCUUAAAUGUUCCUAUAGCUCUCAAGAAAGGAACCCGAUCUUGUACUCAACACCCAAUCUCCAAGUUUGCAGCCUAUAAUCACUUGUCAUCGUCUGCUCAAGCACUUAUAACUAAUCUAGCAAGAGUGGAAAUUCUGAAAACCACACAGGAAGCUUUAUCAAUACUAGAAUGUAGAAACGCGAUAAGAGAAGAAAUGUUAGCUCUAGAAAAAAAUAGAACUUGGGAUGUUGUGGAGAUGUUGAGGGAAAAAAAAUCCCCUAUUGACUACAAAUGGGUUUUCUCAGACAUAUGGAGUUGACUAUCAAGAGACAUUUACACUAGUGGCAAAGCUAAAUACUAUUCGAGUACUUUUAUCCUUGGCAACAAAUUUGGAUUGGAAACUCCAACUUGAUGUCAAAAAUGCAUUCUUGAAUCGUGAGUUGGAAGAAGAAGUCUAUAUAGAUCUGCCAAUAGGAUUUGAUGAGGCUAGAAUUAAUGAAAAGGUUUACAAGCUCAAAAAAUCUCUUUAUGGAGUGAAACGGUCUCCACAGGCUUGGUUUGGUAGAUUUACAAAGGCUAUUCAUUAGCAAAGGUACCAAUAAGCUCCAUUGGAUCACACUUUGUUUUAUAGACAUAAAGGGGAUAAGACUAUGAUUCUCAUAAUCUAUGUUGAUGAUAUAAUCUUGACUAGUGAUGAUAUUGUAAAGAUGGAAAGGCUAAAAAAUCUCUUGCAAUAGAUUUGAGAUUAAAGAUCUAAGCCCAUUGAGAUAUUUUCUUGGUAUGGAAGUAACAAGAAAUAGAAGUGAUAUUUCAAUUUGUCAAAGGAAGUACAUCCUAGAUCUCUUGGAAGAGAUGGGGAUGUUAAGGUGUAAGCUUGCAGAUACACCCAUAAAUUAUAAUUUGAAACUAGGUAAAUAAUCUGAAAGUACACCAGUUGAUAAAAGUCAAUACCAACAUUUAGUAGGAAAGCUUAUCUAUCAUUCCCAGACUAGAUUGAUAUUGUCUUCGCAGUAGAAUUUGAGAUUAAAGAUCUAAGCCCAUUGAGAUAUUUUCUUGGUAUGGAAGUAACAAGAAAUAGAAGCGAUAUUUCAAUUUCUCAAAGUACAUCAUAGAUCUCUUAGAGGAGAUGAGGAUGUUAGGGUGUAAGCUUGUAGAUACACCCAUAAAUUAUAACUUGAAACUAGGUAAACAAUAUGAAAGUACACGAGUUGAUAAAAGUCAAUACCAACAUCUAGUAGGAAAGCUUAUCUAUCGUUCCCAUACUAGACUGAUAUUGUCUUCGCAGUUAGUGUCGUAAGCCAAUAUAUGCAUUCUCCUUAUGAAGAACACAUGGAAUUCAUGUGUUAGAUUUUGAGAUACCUCAAAUGGACUUUAGGAUGACGACCUAUUCUUUAAGAAAAGUGAAGAGAGGAGAGUUGAGGCUUUUAUAUAUGCAGAUUGGGUAAGACCAGUGAAACACAGGAGGUUAACAACUGUAUAUUGGACUUUUGUGUAGGGUAAUUUAGUGACUUGGAGGAGCAAGAAAUAGACAGUGGUGGCUAGAAGUAGUGUUAAGGCAGAACUUAAAACUUUAGCACAUGGGAUUUAUGAGUUACUAUGAUUGAAAAUAUUGUUAGAUGAUUUGAAAUUUAUGAGAAAUGAGUCUAUGAAGAAUUAUAGUGAAAACAAGGUUGCCAUCACCAUCUCCCAUAACCUUGUUCAUCACAAUAGAACAAAACAUGUAGAGGUAGACCGCCAUUUUAUCAAGGUAAGGAUCGAAGAGGGGAGCAUUUGUGUCGUGCAUAUACCUUCAUCACAAUAUGUUGCAAAUUUGCUAACUAAGGGAUCAUUCAAGCCGAUGUUUAAGAUUGGUUGACAAGUUGGGUCUAUUCAAUGUGUUUAGUCCAGAUUAGUCCAGCUUGAGGCGGAGUGUAGAGAAUCUUGGAUAAUUCUUAUUCUUUGAAUAAGGAUAAAAUCCAAGAAGAGGUUUAUUUUCUAAAUACGGGAGAUUGUGAUUGUGUUCCUUGUUUCUAUUUCUAAUUGCUAGCUAUAAUAUUACAGCUAGCUUGAAUCUCUUAAAAUACAACUGAUUUGAAUCUCCUAAAAUUAAGGGUUGUGGUUACAAAGUCUAGCCCAUAAAUCUACUUGUAUUGAAGAAAUAAAAAAUAACAAUAACAACCUCCACUUUAUGGUUUGCUCUUCUUUCCUGUAGUGUUUUUCUUUUAUCAUUUUUUUUUUGUUUCCUGCCCAGUUUCAGAUACUUAAAAUAUCUAGAGGGAUAAAUAUUCAUAGCUUGUAAAAUUUUGAAAAAAUCAAUUAUAAUAUACAAUAUUAAUAGCUUUGAAAAUUUUUGAAAGAUGAGAGAAAAAAAUCCCUUGGUUUAAUGUGCUUCGCAAGAAGACCCUCAGACUAAACCCUCAUAAAAGUAAGUUGCACCAUUUGAAAAACUAAAGAAAAGUUGAACUUAGUACCAUGAACAUAGAUGCAUAAAGUAAAUCCAGCUAUAACAAUUAUCAGAAGCAUCCUUGUAAACUCUUCCUCAAAGAAAAGCCAUUUAAUAAGUUUGGUAAAGCAAUCUAUAUUAUAAGUUUCAAAUGCUAAAGAUAUGGAAAAAAUAUUUCAAAACUAUGCCAAAUUAUAAAUGAAAAAAAAAAACCGUACAGCACCUCAUCCAGAAUAUAAAGUGGAACUAGUUUGAAGAGGAGCAAUGCCAAUAUUAGAGAGAUUGCAAGCAGUGAACGUUGUCCUCCACUCAAUUCUGACAAGGACUACUUCCAAACACUUCCAAAUGUAACACGAACCUCAAGACCAUCCAAGAAACUGCAUCCUUCAGGAGAUUCCAGCUUUUCCAUUGUGCUUGGUAAUAGAGUAGAAAAGACGGAUCCAAAGUCCCUGAAAAGAAGCUACAAAAUUAUGAAUAGUGAGCUUCAUCAAGUUCUAUAAAAUCAAAGAUCAAUAACCACAUAAAUGAUUAAUUUUAGUAUCAAUUAAAAUAACCAUCUAAUAUAGCAUGAUGCAAUAGACUCAAUUGUUAACUUUAGUCCAAGAACUUUUAAUGUUUCCUUCUUCUUUUCAUCCAGCUCUUCAAUCACCAUCUUGAUUUUUGACUUGUCAUUCUGUUAAAGGCAUAUUAUGCUUUUCUUGGAUAUUAAUUCAUAGUACUCAUCUUCUGCUUUCUCAAACAUUGCCAUCACUUUCUCCAGGCUACAUUAGUGAAAAUAAGAAAAAACAACCAAUAAAAAAUUGUUCUUUGCUACCUCUUCAUUUCAAAAAAGAUAAUGAUAGCACAGUACUAUGUUUGAGUAUGAGAAUGUUUGGAAAAAUCACUCAGCGCUUGAAACCAAACCAAUACAAACAAUAAUGAAAAGAGAUAAGGAAAAAGAAAAAAGGUUUCUCAGCUACAUACCCUGAUUGUUCAGCUUGCACUUUGUUAAGUUCAGCCCUGGCUUUACUAGGAUCAUGACACACAAAAUCAUAAUCAGUUCCACUUCUUCCGAAAAGUUGCUUUUCUAAUGCAAUCCAGGCAUGCUUCUCAAUUAACUUUUCUACCUUCGAAGAAAUCUUUUUGUUCCAUCUCCAUUCGUUUUACCUAAAAAAACGGAAAGUAGAUUAUUUAGUGUAUCAAGUCACAAAGAACAAAUAUAAUGCAAUUAGAAUUUACCUCAUUUUCCAGUUUCUUCCUUCCAAUAUUCAUCUCACUAAGUUUGUGUUGAAGCUUCUCCUGCUCCUUGAGAAUGUAACUAAUUUGAGAAUCACAUUCCUUCAUCUUCAAACGGAUCAAAUUGAGCUCACAUUGAGCCUGAUCAUGAUUGUUCUUUAUUGAAGCAACCUAAGAGAGAGGCUAGAAGGUUAAACUUCACAUUACAUAACUUUCCAUUGUGCUUUGAGAAUCACAAUUUGUCCUCUCAAACAUGCUAGUUGACUCUCCAAAGAUGCACGUUCCUCUAUGGCUGCUUCCAUUUCCAUAAUAAGCCUCUCUUUUCAUUCUCAUGCCCCUAAUAGCAAGAAAAAUCAUACCAUAAGAAAUUAAAGUGCUAUUGAGCACUCUAACACUUCAUCUACUAGAAAAAUCAAAAUGUGGAUGAAAUAUAAUUACCAAGCAAAGUUUAACAAAAUGGUGAAUGAAACGAUUUAAUGAGAUGCAAAAUCAAAAUGAAUAAUGUCAAAUACAACAUAUUUAAACUUCAUACCAAGCUAAUUAGCUAAAGCUUUUUAGAGAGAAUAGUAGAACAUAUUUCAUGUUGUGAAAUGUCUUGCAUUCUUGGAUUACUUGACUUCUAGGCGGUCUCAAAUUCUCUUUGUAAACAUAUUUCAUUAAGCAUUAUAAUGGAAAACUAAGCUAAGGAUUAUAGGGAAAAUUAGGAAUUAAUGGAAGAGGACAAAAUACAAGAGGAUGAGAACAGGAAAAUUUUGUUUAACCAUGGAAAUCCAAGAAAAAAUAACCACAAAAAAAAUGAAAGAAAAAAAAACUUAGGGAAUUGAUUGCAGCUCUGAGUUGAAGCUUCAAUAUAAAAAUUUUUAAAGUGCACCUUAGUUGUUCUUUGCUAUCAAACAAAUGAACUUAGGCAAUCACAUCAAUUUUGAAGUUUCAAGCUACAAAAUCUCACUUGAGCAUUCAUUAACCGUAAAAGAGAUUCUAACAAUCCCUUCUAUAAACGUGUAAGCCUAAUAUGAUAAAUUCUAGCACUUGAAUAGAAGAAUUCCAACCAUCAAUUAAAAGUCAAGUAAAAAGAUACUCAAAAUGCUAGAAAACCCCUUGCUAAUUGAUGCUGUUAAUGUCUUUAUGUGUUGGCCAAUUCUGGAUCAAAAAGAAUUUCCAUUGUAUUCUACCAUUCCAAGUCCUCAAAUUCUCUCUUGGACACUCAUCAUUUCAAAAAUACUCAUAAAUAUAGGUAGAGGAAAUGGUAAGUGUUUUUAGGUGGUGGAUGGGUUCACAAAUUGAUCAACCAAGUUUAAAGUUCUCAUACUUUUUAUCAAAAAUAGGGUUGGAAACUUGGGAGGAGUCAAAACUUUGGUUUUAAACCAAUUGGCUCUAGUUUUGAUUGCUCAUGCUGAAAGGCAAUUAUUCAAUUGUUGUAUAGAAUGUUUCAAUCUUACAUUGGAUCAAUCAUUGUUUCAAUCAUAACUUAAAUUUUCAUUUUUUUUCCAAGCCGAUUUGAGUCGUUGAAUUAAACUUAAAAUCCUACCAUUUAAACUCAUUUCUAAAUUAGGGAUUUAUAGUAGAGAGAGAUGAGUGUCUCCUUAAGCUUCAAAUCUGUUCCAUAUUAGGGAGUGUUUUCUAGAAAUUUUUUAGGUAUUUGAGUUGAAAUUAAAUUUGAUUGAGAAAUUUUCCAACAAAAUAUGUUGAUUCAUUUUUUUGUUUUCAUGUCUAGUUUUGUUCUUCAUCCAUUGGGAUAAAAGCAAAUACCUUCUUGUGUAAAUAUAAAAAAAAAACUAAAAUCUUGUUUGAAGGUAAUUCAAAAGGGAUUCGAUAUGAAGAUGGUGGGAAGUUAAGUUUCCUAAGGUAAUAAACAAGCAAUCCGGGAGAGGAUUGACAGUCUUGGGUUAGGUAAAACCUUGUACUAAUUAUUUUCUUCAUAGCAAUGUUAUUAAAGAUGAUUGCCCGGGUCGCCUAGGCUAUCAGGCCAAGUGGGAUAGAUGAAAGUCGCCUCUUAAAGACCAGGCAAAGCAACUUCACAGAAGCAAUGCCUAGGUGAUUGCCUUGGGAUAAGGCGCAAGGCAUUGAGGUGAUCGCCUUUGACCAUGAGUUAAGAUUAAACAUACUUAGAUUAUUUUCAUUCAAUCUAAUAUUAGAUUAACAUGAAAUAUUAUAUUAUCAAUCAUAGAGAUAAUGAGAUGGAGGGCCAUCAAUCUAGUCUUGAUGAAACAAUGAAAAUUUUAAUUUUAAUGAUGAUUAUGAUGAUGAUGCCUAAAACUUUUUUAAGAUGUUCAUUCUCUUUUUUUGUUUUUUAUUAUGACUUUUAGAUGUCUGAAAAAUUAGAAUAUUCAUUUAGACAAGAUGAAUAUCUCUAGUAUGAUGUUUCUUAUGAUGUGGGGUAUAAUAUUUAACACUUUGAAUAAUUAUUACUAUUUUUUCAAUUUUAUAAGACAUCAUAAGUGAUGAAAAAUAAAUAAUAUUGAUUGUUGAAGACAACACUUAUAUUGUUUAAGUAUCAAAUAGGUAAAUACACGUAUAUUUUUUUAUUGUUUUAUUAUAAUUAGGCUAUUGAAUUGUUUUUUACCUUUCGUCUUAGGCUAAAAGGAGUCUUAUCGUUUUUUGCUUUUGACAACACUGCUUCAUAGUGGAUGUUAUUGACACAAAAUAUGGGAUGAAAAAUAAUAAAUUCUGUCUAUUAGAUUGACUAUACACAGAGUUUAUAUAGGAGAUUACAAGAGAAGAAAUAGGAAACAAGAGACAUAAUAGGAAACUAACUUAUUCCUAAAUCAUAAAACUAUCUAUUUACAAAAAUAAGAAACUAACAUAAUAGGAAAAUAAUUCUCCUAUUCUAUUUACAACUCAGCACUGCCCCUCAUACUGAAGAAUAGAUGUCUUCCAUUCCUAGCUUGAAUACAAGAUCGUGAAACAUUGAAUUGUUCAACCCUUUUGUUAUGAUAUCAGCUAAUUGAUGUUCUGAUGGAACAUAAGACAUACACACUACUCCUUCGUCCAAUUUUUCUUUGAUGAAAUGCUUAUCAAUCUCAAUAUGUUUUGUCCUAUCGUGUUGUAUAGGGUUAUGAGCAAUAUUGAUAGUUGACUUGUUGUCACAAUAAAGCUUCAUAGGACCAUCCCACUUGAUUCUCAAAUCAUAUAGAAUAAUCUUCAACCAAAGUAGUUCACACAACCCUUGAGCAAUGGCCCUAAACUCUGAUUCUGCAGGCGACCUUGCUACCACAUUCUGCUUUUUACUUCUCCAUGUUACCAGAUUAUCUCUAAGAAAAGUACAAUACCCUGUAGUUGAUCUUCGAUCUACUAAGAAACCUGCAUAGUCAACGUCGGUGUAUGCUUUUAGAGCAAGAGUAUUGUUCUUCUUGAACAAAAUUCCUUUCCUGGGGUUGCCUUUCAAGUAAUGCAACACCCUGUAAGCAGCUUGAAGAUGAGGUUCUCUUGGAUCAUGCAUCAAUUGACUGAUCACGCUCACCGAGUAGGCGAUGUCUGGCCAAGUGUGAUCAAGGUAUAUGAGCCUACCAACUAGCCUCUGGUACAUUCUUUUUUGCACCACUGGUUCCUCUUUAGCUUCUCUCAACUUGUGGUUUGGAUCCAUUAGGGUAGAGACUCUUUUACACCCAAUUUUCCUUGUUUCUUCCAAUAAAUCAGUCACAUACUUUUGUUGAGAGAUGAAGAUCCCUUGUGUGGAAUAUGCCACCUCAAUACCGAGGAAGUACUUCAGUUUCCCUAGUUCCUUUAUCUCAAACUCUAUUGUUAAUCUCUACGUCACAUUAUGCUUUUCUCUCUCAUUUCCAAUCACUAUGAUGUCGUCAACAUAGACUAGAAGAACAGUUACUCCUCCUGCAGUCGAGUGCUUAAUGAAGAGAGUUUGGUCACCUUGGCUUUAUUUGUACCCAAACUCUUUCAUGACUUUUGCAAAUCUCCCAAACCAAGCCUUAGGAGAUUGUUUUAUCCCAUAAAGGGCCUUUUGCAGCUUGCACACCUUGUUACCUGUGUUUACCUCAAACACCGAUGGGAUGUUCAUGUAAAUCUCUUCAUCUAAAUCACCAUGAAGAAAUGCAUUAUUGACAUCAUACUGUAGGAGUUGCCAAUUGUAGUGGGCAGCCAGUGACAGUAGGAUUCUUACAGUAUUCAUUUUUGCAGCUGGAACAAAAGUCUCCUGAUAAUCAACUCCAUAAGUUUGAGUGUACCCUUUGGCUACCAAUCUUGCUUUACAUCUCUCAAGAGAUCCAUCAGCCUUAUAUUUCAGUGUGAAAAUCCACUUGCAAUCAACAAUGUUUUUCCCUUUCAGUCUUUCAACAAUCUCCCAUGUUUUAUUCUUUUCUAAUGCACUCAUCUCCUCUCUCAUAACAUCCUUCCAUUCCUUUUUUGUCAAUGCCUCAAAAACAAUGUUAGGGAUGAUAGUGGUGUUUAGACUCACAAUAAAAUUCUUGUGGGCUAGUGAUAGGUGCUUAAGAGACACAUAGUGUGAUAGUGGAUAGAGUGGUCGAUUAGUGCAUUCUCUGGUGCCUUUUCUGAUAGCAAUGGGAAGGUCUAGGUCUAGGUUGUCUGUUGAGUUGGUGGAAGUUUCACCAGGUUGUGUAUGUAAAGGUGGGUCUUAUAUUUCCAUGAUUUCAUUCCCAGGGUCUGAGUUGGAUUCUUGGACCUGCUUUUGUUCUGGAAUGGCCUUUUCCCUUGAAUACACCUUAGGAAACUGUGGAAAAUUGCGAGUGACACUGGCUGGAACAGGAGAUGACACGGGUUCAAUGGUAAAAUUGGGUGACUCAGGUGUGAUUGACUCGGAUGACUUAGGUUCUUCAUCACCAUGGGUUGAGACAUGAGGAAAAUCAAGAGGUUCAAAGGACUCACAAGAACUAUCUUCCAUCAUUGAAAUCUCCCCCUGAAGAGAGGACUUGGGGAAAAAAUGUUUAUUUUAUGUGAAUGUGACAUCUGCAGAGAUGUAAAAUUUUCUGGCUGAAGGAUUGUAACACUUGUAUCCUUUUUUAGUGGAUGAGUAACCAAGGAAGACACAUUUUAUGGCUCAAGGGGUCUAGCUUGUCUCUAUGUUGGCUGUGGAUAUGAACAAAUGCAGUGCACCCAAAUACCUUAAGAGUGAGCCCAUUUGAGGUUUUGAAGUGUGGAUAGAAACUCUUAAGUAUCUCUACGGGGCUUUUGUCGUCUAACACUCAUGAGGGAAUUCUGUUUAUCAUGUAUGUGGCACUAAGAACAGCUUCCCCCCAAUAGGACUUAGGAACAUUCCCUUGAAAGAGUAAGGCUCGGGUUGUGUUGAGUAAAUGCCCAUUUUUCCUCUCGACUACCCCAUUUUGUUAGGAUGUGUUAACACAUGAUGAGUCAUGGAGACAAAAUCUGGUUGAAGUAAUCUCUAGCAUUGUUUGUCCUAAAGCUUUUUAUUUUAACCUUAAAUUGGUUUUGAACCAUUGAAUGGAAAUUAGAUAUAACAAUGAUAACAUCAGAUUUUUGUUUAAGAAGAAAGAUCCAUGAAACCCGAGUGCAUUCAUCAAUUAAGGAUACAAACCAACGAGCCCCAGAAACAUUAGGUAUUGUCGAAAGACCCCAUAUGUCACUAUGGAUCAAAUGAAAAUGAUGAAAACUUCUUUUAUUGCUAAUAGGAAAAUAUACACGAGUAUGUUUUGCCAAUUCACAAGUUUCACAAUGAAACUCGAAAAUAUCUAAUCCUUGGAACAAAUGAGGAAACAUGACCUUUAAAACCCUAAAAGAUGGAUGACCUAGACGUAGGUGAUACAACAAAAUGGUAUCUUUAUUUAAGGAAUUGAGAAAAGACAACGACAAAUUAUUACUAGCUUUCUGAGAUGAUUCAAGGUGGUAAAGACCUUUCCUUUCCUUAUCAAGUCCAAUCCUCCUCCCCGAGCCUUGUUCCUAAAAAACACAAUAAGAAAGGAAAAAAAUAGCAUAACAUUUAAGAUCAUGGGUAAGCUUUUGAAUGAAAACAAGGUUGGCCGACAAUUUUGGUACAUGGAGGACAUUUUUAAGAAUAAGGGUAGGUGUGAUGUAUGUCUCCAAAACCUACAAUGGUAGCUAAAGAGUCAUUGGCCACUGCAAUUUUCUUGUUACUUGGGUUUAGGGUAUACGUAUGGAAAAGUUGAGAUUUGGAGGUCAUAUGGUCCGUGGCACUGGAGUCUAUUAUCCAAGAGUCAUCAUAAACCCUGUGUGAGGCAUUUAUGCAAAAAUAGAGUGAAAGUGUAGCUGAAAGAGCCAAAGAAUAAGUUCCAAUAGGUUUGUAAAGAACACGUGAAUAAAAAAAAAUCCAGCUAUGAAAGCCAGAAAAAUGGCGAUGAAGGCCAAAAUGAUGCCCAGGUCUUAAAAACCUAUAGCUCUGAUACCAUGACACGAAAUAUGGGAUGAAAAAUAAUAAGUUAUGUCUAUUAGAUUGACUAUACACAUAGUUUAUAUAGGAGAUUACAAGAAAAGAAAUAGAAAACAAGAGACAUAAUAGGAAACUAACUUAUUCCUAAAUCAUAAAACUAUCUAUCUACAGAAAUAGGAAACUAACAUAAUAGGAAAAUAAUUCUCCUAUUCUAUUUACAGCUCAACAGUUACAUUUAUGAUUAACCCAUGUUUUUUUUCCUCUUUGGAAAUUUUCCAUGUUAUAUCACUAUGUCUUUAUUUCUUUUUUAUUUUCUAAAUUUAUGUUUUGAUUCAAUUUAUAGCAUGAAUUUUAGAUUUGUGGACCAUGUUUUAAAAGGUAUUGAGGGUUAUGCAUCGAGGCUCACCUCAAGGUAAUUGAGGUGAUUGAGGCUUAAGCCUUAGUUAAGGUAAUUGAGGCUUAAGCCUCACCCUAUCAAGGCUUAUAGCUUUGAGGAUAUAGCCUCAAGGCUGUUGAGACCUAAUCCUCAAAUAUCCAAAGGGUUUUUGGUCUUUAUGGGCUUUUGGUAUAUAUUUUGUAAAAGGCUUAAGUCUCUAUUCAAUAAGUGUUAAUAUGAUCUACUUCAGCAAUUACAAAAUACCUUGAGGUCCUGGGAAUCUGAUAUCAUUUGAGACUUUAAAGCCUUUUCAUUUUUCUCUAAAUCUUUAAGCCUACCAUCCCCAUUAUUAGCAUGCUCUUUGAUUGACUUCUCAAGCAGUGACACGGUAUUUACACAGUUUUCAAGCAGAAAUUGCUUUUCUUUAGCAGUUGACUUUGAUUCCCAAGCUCCUGCUCAAUCCUUUUAACCAAUUCACUGAGCUACAUUGCAAGCAAAAAUAAAAAACAUAAAGAAUGAAAAUUAGAAAGAAUAGAAUCAUAUUACAUGAGAAGAGGCAACCUGAGGGUAAAAAUAUAUGGCUUCAUAUGGCAUAGCACUAAAGCUUCCUCCUAGACAUUUUAUGUGAGAAAGGAAAGGUCAUAAACCUUAUGAUGCUCAUUUUGCUUAACCCUGAUCUAAAAUAAUGAAAGGUCAUAUGACUUAAGUUCCAACUGCGCUUUAAGGUCCAUGAACCUUUAGGCAUGAGGUCGGAGAUCUGCAAUGUCAACCAAGAAAUAGACAAAAACAUAAAAUUAGUAUUGGAGAAGGCUGAUUUUAUUCAAAUCUCAAUGAAUACAUCUAAAGAGAAAACAUACACUUGCAAUAAUAAAAACCAUUUAUCUUCAAAUGUUGACAAAAAAUUAAAAGAUAGAUGUCAAGUUUGUUCUCAAAGUUCCAAAUAUGUACUGAAUAAGUAAAAAUAAUAUGAAUAUGACACGCUAUUUUUGUCCAUCAUUGAAUAAAAUCUCCAAAGCUGAUAAUAGUCAUGCAACCACAAUACAAUCAACUUUCAAUAAGAAACUUUAUAUAACAUUGGACUUGAUCAUAACCUACUAGAGACAAACAAUAGGGAACAGUGCCCCUAACUGUUUAUGAACUUCAGAAGUUGGCAACCCUAUCAGAUAACUUGAAUGUUUAUUUAUCAGUAACCAUAAAAUACAAAAAUAAAAUAAGGUUCAUAUAAAGAUAGCAUUUUUAAAAGAAAACAGAAAACAUCUUCCCAUUGUCAUGUUGAAUGGAGAUAAAAAUCAAAACUUUGCAAAAUAAUCAUCAUUUUACUAAAAGUUUUUUUCACUUCAUGAACACAAACACAAUUGUUGAAGAAAACUUAUAAGAUAUUAAUAUUUUGAAAACAUUUGUAUGGUGGACAAUGUUAAAGUCAUAAAUCAUGUGAAGGACUAUUGGGUUAACUCAAAUAAAUACUUCUUAUUAAAAGAAGACACAUACAUACACUAUUAACAUAUUGAAAAGAAGUUUUAUUUAAAUAAAUGCAUGAAGAUUUUUACUUUCUAUUUUUUUUAAUCCUAAAUACUUCAUUCUUCAGGAAAUAGAGUAGGUUGUUCAAAGUUGACCUUUGCUUCAAUUUAUGGUAACUUCUGCUGAUGAAUUGAAAGUUUUGAUUCAGCCUCUGCCAAAGCAUGAAGUUGCCUUAAUAGAUCACCACCACCUCUGGAACAAUAAAUUGUUAAUUUAAAAGGUUAUCUUACUAAAGUUGAUUUGAACCUUGAGAGCAUCUUCUAAUGUAGGUAUGAUAGUACAAAUGGCCUUUUUCCAACAUACUUGAAACAUAUGUAUGCAUAAAAAAUGAAAUAAAAAAAAAUAUAACCAAAAGAACUAAAAAAUUACUCAAAAUUUUGUAUUUAUAUGUGCUUACAAACAAUAAGCAAUUGAAAUGAUAGGCAACUACACCUUUGUAAAGAAUGUUAACUAGAUAGAAAAUAAGCAAGCAGGUGGUUUACUUGUGACUACCACCAGUCAGAAGACCACUUGGUUGAAAUAUAUCACCAUCAAGAGUAACACUUGGAGUGGAGAUACCCCUAUUAAAAAUAACCUGUUGACCAUUCAUUUCAAUACAAAUUAGCUUUGGCUAAAUCAAAAAUAAAAUUUACCACAUAAUUCACACUAUGACCAGUUUGCAUUUAAAUAAAAAGCAAUAAGAAAGCAAUGAAUGUAUUAGAGCUGAAAAUAAUAUCCUGGACUUGAGACCACCUUAUUCGAUUAAGUUUACCUCCAUCCCUUGAGUAAAACAGGUUAACUACUUAUAGACAUGUCUGAUUACAGGUUAGGCUCUAACACCAGAUAAAUUCAUCCCCAAGAUGAAGUUCUUCGACUAGGUUAUAAACAGGACAAGCUUUGGUUGGAUAAUGUUAGAGAACAUGCAAGUAUGGGGCUGCACAUCCAUGAAUGAGAGGGGGUGUAAGAGAGCAUGUUUAUUUCCCCAAUUUAUUGAGCUCAAAGGAGGUUGUUUGCAAUUUGUUUGCCUAUGGACUCGUCUAUUUCUCCAUGUAUAGGAAUAGAGCCACACAUGGAAGAGGAUGCUAGAACACAUACAGGUAUGGGGCCUCUCAUGUGGCCUACAGGCCUAUUCAUCUCUCCAUGUGUGGCUAUGAGGCUACACAUGAGGGAAGGUAUUGGAGAACAUAGUGGAAUGGGACUACAUGACCCCCAUGGUUUGUCUAUCUCUCGUCAUACAAAUAUGAGGUCACACAUGAGGAAAGGUCUUAGAAAGCAUAUACUUAUAGGGCCACACACACCCACAACUAUUAGGAAAAUUGGUUGUCCAAAUAAGUAGUUUUAGAGCACUACUCUAUCAAUUACCAACUCUAGAUAUACAUUCAAAUCAUUAUACGUUUUUUACAUAUCAAACACUUGAAAAUCACUGUAGAAAACAAACAAAAUGAAUUGAAAAUGAUAUUCCCAAUUCUUAUUUCAUUCAAACAGUAAUUUAGUAAAUCAUUGAUGAUACAAAUAAACCAACAAUACUAAUUUGACGAUACAAAAACAUAAUAUCUUUGACCAAUGAUUUUGAAGACUAUACACUAAAGGAAAUGUGUAAUAGAAGUUUAGCUUUCAAAAAACUAAAAUUUUCCAAAUUCUAUGAAGCACAUUGGUAUAGAAAACCCAAAGAGUUAGGAAUUAACUUUAAUUGGCAUAAUCAUCAAUUUUCUUAAGAAAAAAGCAACUGAACUUGGUUUCCAUGCAGAUAUUUAGAGUUUGGUUUAUCCGAUUACUAUUAAAGAGCAAUUCCAUUGCAAGUAUCUAUUUGGAUCAUUAAUGGUUUUGAUUGACACUACCAUCAUGGUCCUAGCUUUUCUCUAAGGGGUCAUUUAGAUGAGAGGUGCAAAAGAAGGGAUUUCAAGAUAAAUAGAAUUUGGCAUUAUCUUCUUCCAAAUCCAUAGAUCUCAGUAUUUAAGACAAAGAUAUAGAGCCAUAGACAAUUACCCCAUCCACCAUUUUUUCUAAACCAUCACUAUAGCCACCAACACUCCUAUCACUAUGCCAUCUUCACCACUACUUAUGUAACCACCACCACUAACACAUUAGCUCUAUUACCAAAUCACACCACCCCAUUGUGUCAUUUUUAUUUUUUCUUAUAAUUGAGGAACCGUCCAUGGCCAAGCCCUUAGGACUCUCCAUGGGGACCCAUUGUGUCAUUGCCAUGACAAUAAAUCAAUAAUAACACUACCAGGAAAAUGCUUUUCAUACCAUAUUUAUUAUCAUCUUUAUUACAACCUACUCGUGUGGUAAGGGAUUGUUGGAUGUGAAAAGAAAAAAACCAAAUAAAAAGACAUUUUUACUUAUUUUAUUCAUUAGCAUCUUUUCUACAUAUCCAAUAACCACCUGCUACAUUCGGCAAUGGUAAAAGAAGUGUUAUAGAAAAUGUUAAUGAUAGCAUCAUCCCCAUUGCUACUACCAUUUCAUCACCAGUACAACCACAACUACAACAACUCUCAUUGUUUUUAAUAAGUAAAGGCAAUUGUAUUAAAGGAAAAAAUAUACAAAGAAACCAAGGUGCAAGUACACAAAACGACUCUCAUUGUUACAAUGCCACCAUCACCAUCCUAUCAACCUACAAAUUUAUUAACAUCAAACAUAUAGCAGAAUCUUCAAAAGAUCAUUGGCAUUCCAUUCAUUCAAAUACUUGAUCACAGAAUCCUUAAUGUUAAAUCAAAAUCAUCAUUCAAACAACGAUUAAAAGAAAAGCAUUGAUCAGAAUGAAACUUCUAUUUGUUGGCUUAGUUUAAAAUUGUCUUAUUACAUUAAUACAUAAUAAGUAUAUUAGUCAUUUCAUUUCAAACCCAUUUCUAUCAUGAUAUAUUGCAAUGUAUGAAAUGGGUUUGGCUCACUUCAAUUUCCAUAAUCUUUAAAAAAAAAAUCAUUAAAAUCAUUUGGCAUGAGCAAAAAACAAUCAAAAUCUACAAUAUAAUAGGUCCCACAUACACUACCCCCAAUGUACAAAGACCAAUUUAACCACAUGAUUUUAACCAUACAAUUUUUCACAUACUAUUUUCUUUCUAAAUAUCAUUAACAUUUUCCAUCUGUUCAAAUUUUUUUAUAUAAAUCAAUGAAAAUCCAAGGGACAAAAUGAUCAAAUCAAGGUAUCUCAUACAUAGGGUACUAAAUCGUGCUCAUUAGAUCGUGAUUUCAAUUUUUUAUUGUUGAUGACAUUGCUCGAGUAUAAAAGUUGAGGAAACUUCAGAAUAGCUCAUAAGGUGCUGGGCAGUAUGGCAAUCCCAAAUUUGGUUAUGAAGCUAUAUUUAUAGUCAUUUUAAAUUUGGAGGAUGGAACCAAUUGAUUGAUACAAUCUAUCUAAUUCUAUUUAAUCUAUAUGUCACCAGUAGGACUAAUCGUCCUCAAAAGAGAAUUAAUAGAAAAUAUCUACUAAACAAAGAAGAAUCUCUUGGAGGCAACUAACAUAGAAACCUCAAAACAAAAUGAAAAACAAAAGAUGUUGAAGCCUCAAACACAUUUCCAUAAAAAAUUGCCUACAAGACAAGGAAAUUUUUUUAACGAGAUUGUCCUUUCAGAUGAGGCGCACACUUGAAAUCUUAAAAUGGUAUUGUCCUUGUUUCCUAAAUAUUCUACUUAAAUGACUGGAUAGACGAGGAAUAGGAAAAAUCAAAGAAUAGAAUAUUCUCAAAGUAGAUCAAAUAAUAGGUAACAUACACACUAAAUAUUCAACUUAAAUGACUGGAUGGACAAGGAAUAGGAAAAAUCAAAGGAUAGAAUAUUAAAUGAUUAGAUCAAAUAAUAUGUAACACACACACACACAUAUAUAUGUAUAUAUGUAUAUCACAUGUUUCAUCAUUUCAUUUUUUAUAGAAUUAUUCAGGGUGAUGCAACAAAAAUAUAUGAAACUUAGUGCUUUGAAGUAAAUUCCAAAAUAGCAGAAAUAUACUUCUGCUUUUCUGCUGCAUUUCAGGUAAAAUCAUUGUGUGCUUCAUAGUUUCAUUUUUUUGCAGAAUUAUUCAGUGCAAUGGAGCAAAAAUAUGUCAAACUUUGUGCUUUGAUGUAAAUUCGAAGAAAAUAUUUUUUCCAGAAAUGGAGUAGAAAAACAAGUAUCUGAAAUAUGGCAUCAACAAAACAUUCAAAUAGAAUCAUACUGCUCAAAUAACUGCACAGAUAACUGCUUUGCCAAAAUGAGUUUACCUCCUUUGCAGCAUCAAUACUUUUACAAACAAAGGUUCAACCAAACACAUAUUCCAUUGCACUCUGCGACAUUUAUACCAACUUUUGGUAAAGCUAUUAUCCAACAGAAUUUGGUUAAAAGUGCAAGAGAGGUCAAUGCUCAAUUCCCACUACAUAUGCUAUGCAAUAAGAUAAAUAAGGCUUGCCCAUUUUCACAACAAAUAUGUGAUGGAAUCAUAGUUGUGAAAGGCACGCCUAAGGCGCGCCUAGGCUCGGGGCUGUGUGACGCCACCCUCUGGCGCCUAGCCUGAAGGGAGGCGCCGCUUCGGCGCGCAAGGCACGACGCGGUCGCCCGAGUCGCCUCCGAUGAUCCAACCAAGUACGCACUCCUUCUCCUUCUCCUUCUGCUUCUUCUUAUUUCUUCUACCGUCGAGUUGCAGAGAGCCCUAAAUUUUUUUUAAAUUUGGUAGGUCCAAAACGACGUCGUUUUAGAGCCUGUUCCUUUUAAAAAAAAAACAGGCCAAAACGACGCCGUUUUGGCCUGUUCCUCCCUUCCAGCCCCUUUUUCUGUUCUUUCUCAACCCAAGACCACUCCCAUUCGUGCCCUAGCCUCUUCCGUGCUGGAGAAGUGAAGAAGAAGAAGAAGAAGAAAAAUAGGGGGGAAAUAAGAGAAAAAUAAAGGGAAAAUAGUCACGUACCUUCCGCACCUCGGUAUUUUUCUUUUUUCUUCACUUUUCUGCAUUUUUUUCCAUUCUUAUCUCAUAACUCUCAUUGGUAAUUUUUUUUUUAAAUAUAAAUAUUAUAUUUUGAGUUUUUGACAUGAAAAUUUUACAAAAUAAAAAUAAAUAAACAAAAAACACUCAUAUGCAUGUUUGUUGUUAAUGUGAUAACGUGAUAUGCAUUUUUUUUUUUAAUUUUUUUCUUAAUUUAAUUAUAAUUAUUUUAUUGUAGAGUAUAGAUAAUUUGUUUUCAAGAUGGAUAAUGAGAGUGAAACUCAAGUGGACUCUAGUGCAAGUGGACUCUAGUGCAAGUGGAAGAAGAGAUCCCGGGUGGAAAUAUGUUCGUUUGGUUAAUGAAAAAGAUUUGAACACCAUCAUAUGCAUUUUUUGUGAUGAAGUAACCAAAGGAGGCAUAUAUAGACACAAACAACAUCUUGUUGGUGGAUAUAGAAAUGCUAAAAAGUGUAGAAAAUGUCUGGAACAUGUUAGACAAGAAAUGGAAGAGUAUAUGAGUUCCAAGAAAAAUCAAAAAGAGCAAAUGAAUAUGAGGAGCGAAGAUGUUAAUGAAGAUUUGUUUGGUUUGAAAGAUGAAGAUUUUGGUAAGGAGAUUAAUGGUAGAACGAAUGUCACCAACAUUUCUAGUGGAGGUAGUAACCGAGGAGGAAGUGGUGGUAGGACGUUUUCUUCAAAAAAACCAAGACAAAAAGGUCCUAUGGAUCAUUUUUUCACUCCUAAUGCAGAGAUGGUUGUUCAAAAUCGAAUGAGUGGAAAGAUGAAUCAAACUACCAUCAAUGAUGCCUACAAAAAGGAAGCAAGAGAAAGAACUUGUAUGCUUAUCACAAGAUGGAUGUAUGAGGCUGCUAUUCCAUUUAAUGUCGUCACAAAUCCGAGUUUCCAACCAAUAAUUGAGGCUAUUGGCCAAUAUGGUGUGGGUAUGAAGGGACCAACUUUUCAUGAGGUAAGAGUUACUAACCUUAAGAAAGAAUUGGCUCUCACAAAAGAUUUGAUGAAAGAUCACAUGAUGGAAUGGGGGAAAAAUGGAUGUUCAAUUAUGUCAGAUGGAUGGACCGAUAGGAAAGAGAGAACUUUGGUGAACUUUUUGGUUAAUUGUUCAAAGGGAACCAUGUUCAUGCAAUCCAUUGAUGCUUCUUCAAUGAUUAAGACGGGAGAAAAGAUGUUUGAGUUACUUGACAAAUGGGUAGAGCAAGUUGGUGAGGAGAAUGUUAUUCAAGUUAUAACAGAUAAUCACUCAAGUUAUGUGAUGGUAGGUAAUAAAUACUAUUUCUUGAAUUUUUAUUUACUUUUAAAAUUUGAAUUAUUUAUCUUGAGAACUUAUAUAAAUUUAUUAUCUACAAUGUCAUAUAGGGAGGUUGUUAGAAUUAAAGCGCCCACAUUUGUAUUGGACACCAUGUGCUGCACAUUGCCUUGACUUGAUGUUGGAAGAUAUUGGAAAGCUACCAAACAUCAAGAGGACAUUGGAGAGGGUUAUAUCACUAAAUGGGUAUAUUUAUAAUCGCUCAGGACUAUUCAACAUGAUGAGGCGGUUUAUUGGACAAAGGAAACUGCUUAGGCCUGCUAAGACUCGGUUUGCAACUGCUUUCAUCACAUUAUUGCGAUUGCAUGAACAAAAAAACAAUUUGAGGAAGAUGUUUACAAGCUCGGAUUGGUCAAAUAGUAAAUGGGCAAAAGAGCGGAAGGGGAAAACUAUAGCCAACAUAGUUCUAAUGCCUUCAUUUUGGAACACUAUUGUGUUUUGCUUAAAGGUUUUGGGUCCCCUAGUUCAUGUGCUUCGUUUGGUUGAUGGUGAAAAAAAAAAUCCUAUGGGAUACAUCUAUGAGGCCAUGAAUAGAGCUAAGGAUACAAUUGUGAGAAGUUUUAAUGGAAAUAAAGAGAAGUACAAAGAAAUCUUCAACAUCAUUGAUAAGAGGUGGGAGAUUCAGCUUCAUCGGCCUUUGCAUGCGGCAGGGUACUUUUUGAACCCGGAAUUCUUCUAUGAUAAACCAGAAAUAGAGCAUGAUGCCGAGAUUAUGAGUGAUUUGUAUAAAUGCAUCUUAAGGCUAACAAGAGACCCUGCUAAGCAAGAAAAAGUUGUGGCCGAAGUGAGUUUGUUCACAAAUGCCCAAGGACUAUUCAGGAAUGAGUUAGCUGUUAGGAUAAGAAAGACUAGAGCACCAGGUUAGUUAUUUAGUUUUGUUUAUUUAAAUGAUUAGAUUGUAUUUUUGCUAAAAUAGGUGAAUUGUCUCACUAAAUUGUUAAUAUCUAUACUACAGCUGAAUGGUGGGUUGCAUAUGGAGCUUCAGCUCCAAAUUUGCAAAAGUUUGCAAUGAAAGUCCUCAACUUAACAUGCAGUGCAUCAGGUUGUGAACGAAAUUGGAGCAUCUUUGAAAAUGUAAGUGACCAAAUCCAAAAUAAUUACAAAUAAUAGUCUAAUAGAGUCUUGAAUGUAACUUAAAAGUUAAAACUUUAAAAUAUAUUUAUGAGCUUAUGAAUUUUUGCAGAUUCAUAGCAAGAGGAGAAAUAGGUUAGAUCAUCAACGCUUGAAUGAUUUGGUGUACAUUAAGUAUAAUCGAGCCUUGAAGAGAAGAUACAAUGAACGUAACACCAUUGACCCAAUUUCCUUGAAAGAUUUAGAUGAUAGCAAUGAAUGGUUGAUAGGAAGAAUGGAAGAUGAGGAUUCUCAUGGAGGUGCACAAGAUGAUUUUGUAUUUGAUGAUGAUAAUUUGACAUGGGGUGAUGUUGCUAGAGCUACUGAGCUGAGGCAACCAGAUUUGAUACUAGAGCUAGAGCUAGAGCAAGCUCAAGCAUAAUACCACCAACAGGGGGAAUAGCUUCAAGUUCUAGAACUUUGCCUUCUCAUUCACUAAUAGAUGAAGAUGAAGAUGGAGAUAUGGUUGAUUCAGCAGAUGAAGAAGAUGGGGAAGGCUACAAAUGUGGUGAUGGAAAUGAUGAUGAUGAUGAUUUUGUUGAUUUAGAGGAGUGAUGAUUGCUUGUUGUGGACAAAUUUGUUAUUUAAGUGUUUUUUAAUGAUGUUUUUGAAUUGUGGACAAAUUUCAUGUUUUGGACCUUUAGGUUUGAAAACUUUGGAUUUGGAUAUGUAUUAGGCUAUUAGCAAUAUGGAUUUGGAUUUGUUUUUAUGCUUGGAGUUCUUUAUUUUUAUGUUUUUUGUUUAUUAAAUUGAAGUUUUGGAUGAUAUUUGAUGAUUUAUGUGUUUAGGACAAAUAAAUGAUUGUUAAAUUUGAUUAUAUUAUAUAAAAAUAUAUAUGUAAAUUAGGGUGCGCCUCACUUCACUCAAACCCACGCCUUAGAUGCGCUUUGCGUCUUGGUGCGCCUUGAGCCUUUUAAAACUAUGGAUGAAAUUAUGUCCAAGCACUAAAAUUUCUAGUAACAUGGCAAUAUACAAACAUUUCAUAAUGCGCAACAUUCAAUGAUGAGGUUCAACAUCAUGCAUACCUUCAGUUCCUCAUCAUAUCCAACCAAAGAAAGAGCCAGUUCUGUAUUCUCCUUACCAACCUGAAGAUGCCAAAUAAUAAUAUUUGAACCAUGGCUGACAGACUGAAACCAUUAAAUUAUGGAGAAAACUAAGUGCAUUGACUAACCAAUCUGGAAGCUGCAUUGACUAAGAAACUUCUGCACCACGUCCAGCUUAAGAGCACAUUCCUAAAAAGCAUUAUGCAAUCUAAAAAGUAAAAGUGUGAUCAAAUUAGGAUUCAUAUAUCAUUUAUGUAGUGUUGGCAGCCAUUUGGGGAAGAGCACACUAACCUUUUGUAAAGCUUCCAUCUGACCUUUGUAUGUAAGAGAUUCCAAUGCCAUUUUGAUAUUUUCCACAUCCUUUCUCCUCACAUUAAGCUCAUUCUCAACAGAAACAGCUUCUUCACGCUUAGAUAUUGACUCAUUUGUUUUCUCUUUCAGCUCUUUCUCACGAUGAGUUAUUUUUGUGUUGAGCUGUUUCAAUUCUGUUUCUGCUCUCCCAACUGCUACUUUUGCAUCAGCUAGUUGAUCUUCAAGGCAUUUUUCCUCACUUCCACUGCUCUUACCGGCUAGAACACCCUAUCAUGGUAUGUACAACAUCUCUUCUAUAUUCAGCUCAGCUUGCCUAUAAAUGAGAGCAAUAACAAAGCCCAUCAAGUUCAAUAGCAGAAUGAGAUAUAUUAGAACUUUUUUUACCUGGUACUCUUUUUCACACUCUUCCAAAUUCUUAGAAAGUCCCUCAACUCUUUGUUUUAGAUCAACUGCCCCAUCUUCAGCCCUUUUGACAACAGAGGCCCUCUCUUCACAGACUGUUUUAAAUCUUCAAUACCUGUAACAAUCUAGUAACAUCAACACAACUAAAUGUGAUAUUCCAUACAACUCACAAUAACAGCAGAAAAAUAUUAGUACAAAACACAAAAAGCAAACUUUCAAAAAACAAAAGCUAGUGGAAAGCAUGCAAUGCUUGCAACCAAGAGAAAACAUAUCUUUAUUUUUUUGGUGCCAGGCUCUAGUUACCUUUUCAGCAUUCUCUUUUUCACUCCUGAGAGUGUCUUCUUGAUUUUUCAGUACUGAUGCUUGCUUCACAAGCUCACGAGAAAGAGCAUCUAUGUUCUCUGAUAAAACUUUUACCUCUCCGCCCAGACUUGCCUUCUUUUCAGCAGUCAAGUUUGACACUUGUGUCUCCAUUUCCUGUAUUUCCACCUGCAUCCUUUUGUGACUCUCUUCGAUAUCAGCAGUCUUUGUCUUUACUUGUUCAACCCCAGAGACUGCACUGUCCCUAAUCUUCUCUGCCUGAACAAAUUCAUAGGCAAUGCAGAACCUUUUAAGUCAAUCUAAUUCUGCAAUGCCAUUAGCCCAUUGCAUAUACUGCAUAUGUUCUUUCCUCAACUUCUCCAAAGCAAGCAAUAUCUCCUAGUCAAGAAGAUUAUCAAUCUCAUCAACUUUGCUCUACUUCUUCUCAAGUGUUUUCAGAGCAGCCUCUUCUUUUUUUCAUACAUUCUUGUCCCAGCAGCCUCUUCAAGCAUAGAUAAAAUCCCUGGAGGUUUCAUGUUUAAGACCUUCGUGAUGCGCCCUUGCAUUAUGAGAAAAUGUGGGUUGUUAACAUUGAGCUGUACAGAGUGGAAAGGGUUUUGAACUCAACUAGGCUGGGCAAGGUGUCUAUUUAUUAGGUAUUUGUUCCUUCCACCAACCACAAUCUACCAAGUAAGCAAACAAUUCUAGACUAAGUUGGAAUAAAAGCAAUGCAUUGACGGUCCAAAAGGACAUUAGCAUAGCACUAGUUGGAGCAAACCGAUUAUAAGGUGUAUUACAUAUGCUACCACAUAAAAGUGACAAUUAACUUUUGGAAAAAUAUGUGACAUGACUUAAUGCUGAUUAAUUUUGGUAAUAUGUGACAUGACUUAAUGCUGAUUAAUUUUGGUACCAAUUUGCCUUGGAAAAUAAAGUCAUGAUCCAAACAGUAAUAGAAUAGAAUUCUUGUUAUUUAGUAAAUCCUGAAAUUAUUAUUUUGUCUUCUUUUUUUCCAAUUUUUAUGUUUUUUACCAUCUAGAAUGAAGCCAUCCACAGAAGAAGCAAAAUAGUUUUAAAAAGUCAUAAGAAUUUGAUCAGUUUUUAACACCCUUAAAGAACAAUGUUUAUACCAGAGUGAAGAGAAAAAACUAGACUAAGUUCUUAUGUUAUUAAAAAAAAUAAAAAUAAAAAGGAAAAAAUAAAAAGGAAAAAAUAAAAAAGAUAAGAUUUGUCCUCCAUUUAGUUGCUGAGAAAGGUAGGAAAACAAAACAUCGGAUAAAAUUUUGAAUCUUCAUGUUCCAUUACUAAGGACCGUGGAUCUGCAAACCUCACCCAACUCAAUGUACCACAACUGUUCAGCUUACUUAGGAUAUUUUUCAGUUGCAGACACAAACACCACAUAAACAGGAUAUUUGCCUCUCGUCUCAGCAAGCAAACAGGAAGUUCUUGAAAUUACCAAAAACUAAAAAGAAAAAUGAGAUAAUUUCAUUUGUUGCGAGUUUAAGCACCACAAAAAAAAAUUGGCUGUGCCCGAAAGAUUGGCCUGUUUCACAUCAUGGGUAACCAAAGAAGAAAGAAAGAAAGAAAGAAAUCCAAAAAGUAAAAAACUAAUUACACUGAAAACAGGCUUAAAUCAUAUCCAAAGGAUCAUGCAAUUUCUAAAUACAAGCAAACAUGCUUCAUAAUUUCACCCAUAUUAAGCUUUCUUCUUUCAAAUUUGAACAAUCUAAAACAUACAUACCAAAAAAAUAACAUAACAUUACAUAAUAGUAUAACAAUACUUCUCAACAGUUCCCCAGCAACCAAACAGGACAUCUUUCUUUUUCAUUUUAAUGCAGUUGUCAAAAUGGCUAUAAAAUACACUAAAAAACUAAAAAUCAGUGCGAACCCCACACACCUGCCGUAUUUUCGUAAUUUCUGGACAAUCCUGGUAGCCGAGCGGACUCCGACUCCUAUCAGAAUUAUCAAACACCACCGACACGGUGGCCUUGGUAAUCCCAGCUUGGCCUUGCUUAUAGACCAGCUUCUGGAGAUUGGAAGCCAGAACCUGCCGCAAAUUGGUAAUGCCCAACACAAAGCAGAUGGAGUCAAGAAUGUUGGACUUGCAGGAACCAUUAAGGCCGGUGAUGGCAUUGAAGUAGGGAUCGAAGCCAGGGACGACCGUGCGAGUGGCGUAGGAUUUGAAGCCCUCCAAGCAGAUGUCCUUUAUGUACAUUAUUGGGAUGAAAUUGAAACCCUAAGGGGGAGAGCUGAAGAGAGUGGUUUCGGAGAUGGAUACCCUAGAGUUCGAGAGAGGGAGUGGGGAUUUUGGAGGGCUUUUGAAAUGAAUGUCUCUUUAUUUCAAAGGCGGGAAAUGACUGGAUUUUUAUUUUUAAUUAAAAUAUUAUAUAAACAAAGUAUAACUGUUAACACGUCAGCGGGGAUAGGUCAGUUGGGAGAGCGUCUUACAUUAUUUAUCCUUUUACUUCUCUAUUUUCUAUGAGGCCCAUCAUUAAAUUCCUUUUUUCCUUUUCUUUUUUUUAUCACACUUGAUAAUAUUUAGGAUUUUUUUUUCAAAUUUGAGUUUUUAAAUAAAAUUUUGUUCUCAAAAAUUAAGUAGGAAUUUUUAAAAAUAAAAUUUUUCUACAACUAUUUUCAAGAAAAUUGUUAAACUACAUGCUCAUUUGAUCAUGUCUUAUGAUGUUUGUUUUUAAAAAUUAUUAAUUUUUAUAUUACAAGUCAGCACUGGUACGUAAUAGUCACAUUGAAUGUUUAUAUAAUAAAAUGUUUCUCUAUUGUCAUUUCGAGUGACAAAAUUCCACAAAUUGAAACAUUCAAUAUACAAAAUAACUACCCGUGCAUAUAGUUAGUUCUCUUAUUUAUUUUUUCAUAAAAUAUAAAAAUAAAAUAAAAUAAAAUGAAAAUUAUUUAAAGUGUCUCCAAUAAUAAAUAGCAAUGUAGUGUUAUUUUUAACAUUGAUAAUUGUUUUUCAUAACAAAUGCCAAAUUUUGAUGGAUACUUCAAUAACAAAUGUUAAAAAGAAUGUUUUGUUUUAGUGUUAAUACCAUAAUUUUUAAAGCUUAAAAAAAACAAAUGAUUGAGUUUGAAUUUAAUUUUCAUUUUCUUUUUGUUCUCAUUUCCCUCUUUAUUGCGUCUCUACUUUUUUUUCUCUAUACUUUCCCUUCUAUUUUUUAUAAUUCAAAGAAAACUUGGAUGUGAUUUUUCUUUUAUAAAAUAAAAGAUGAUUUAUGCUCUAGCGCCAAAAAACAAUCUAAAAGUCUAUUUGAUAUAUAUAUACAUUGCAAUUGAACUUUUAAAUUAAUUUACUACCAUUUAUUACAAAUUUCUCAAGUGCUACUACUUGUAGAAUAAUAUAAAAGUCCAUUAGACCUUGUGAUUUAAUAACAGUUUUCUAUUUUUAAAAAUAAAAAAUUAUUUUUUAAAAUUUAUAAUACGAUUUGACCGUUGUUAUCUGAAAACAAUUUUUAAAAACAAAGUAAAAUAUAGAAUUAUUUUUAAAGAAUAAGUAGGAGUUGUUUUCAUUGGUUUAAAAAAAAAACAUGAGCCCAUUUUGUCAUAUUUUUCAAACUUAUUUUUAAAAAUUGUUUUUAAGUUAUAAAAUAAAAAAUAAAUUUUAAAAAUAAGUUUUAGAAAAUAUAAUUAAAUUUUUAGCCAAAUUCCACUCAAUAUAAAUAUGAGCUUUUCUCAAAAUAAUUAAUUACAAUUCCCGACCCAAGGUGGGCUCAAAGCAUAAGCCAAGUUGGGCUUAGGAUUAAACUUGAUCUAAAAAUUAAAUUUCUAAUUGGAUAUAUGACUUGUUGGGCCUUGUUACGGCCAACUGAGCCCAAGCCAAGGCAAUCACUUAAGGUUGAAGAUGGGACAUUAUAUUAGCCCAUUCCACAUCAGAACUCAUAAGCUGAAGUCCAAGGUUGGUUCAAAAAAUUGGGGCUUGAGAUUGGGUGUUGCAACAUCUUGGACAUGGGCAUCUAUCCCCACCUGGAAAUUAUUGCUCACCAUAUUUAUGUUAUAAAAGUCUAUAAUGGUUUUGGAAAUUCUAUCCUUAUUCCUCCAUUUUUUUUACUAGCAAAUAAAAUAAAAAUUAUAUUUACAUUCGUGUAAGGAUUUAAUAAUAUCAGCAAAUAUACAUGUCGAUUUGAUAGGGUGGUGGGUCAUUGAAUCAAGUUAAGUCAAAUCGGAUUUAGCUAGUCAACAAGUUAUAAUUACAUUUUACAUCAAUUUAAUGAGGAAUUUUGUAUAAAAAUAAAAUCACAUUAAAUCAACUUACUAUCUCUUGUAGUUGAUAUACAUUUAAUAAGGAAUUGAUUGUCAAAUUUAUAAAAGUCAUAUUUUAAUGGGCUAAUAUUUGAAAUUAUAAUAAUUUCAUUAAACAUAUCAACUUUUAAUGUAAGAGAAAAAGGCCUCCAUUAGAAAUAGUAUCAUUAUUCUUGCUCAUACAUAUGAAAACUCUUACUAAGAUUAAAGAGGAGCUUUUAGUUUCAAAGAAGAAAAUCCAAAAUAACAUUUGGCUCUCCUUAGUCUUAUGGAAAAUUUUAUUUCAUAGGAGGAAAAGGAGUUACUAUGUUUUAAAAUUUGGAAAAAAAAAAUUAAAAAGUUACGAUUUAUAAGUUUUAGAGUAUUUUGAAAAGUUAACUUUUCUAACAUAGUAUAUUAGCCGAGUAGUGCCCAAUACUUCUAUUUUCAAAUUAUUUCUUAUCACUCAACACACAAAGUCAACAAACUUCAUUUUCCUACAAAUGAAAUGAACAUCAAAAUUAGAAAAGAAAAGAAAAAACCAGCAUAUUGGUUUUAUAAAAUAAUAAGUGGAAACAAUCUUGCUUUAUUUUUGACAAAAUAAUAACUUGAAUAUUUGAUUUGGUUGUUUUGAUGUAGAUCCAAGAAGUUAAGGAUAUGCCUUUAAAAUGGAGUGAUUAAGGGUUAUAGGUAGUCAUGCUUGAUUCUUCCUCAAAGUUGUUAAACCACCUCUGAAGUUGUGAUGAUUUUGGUCUAACAAGUUAAAAAUUAGCACUUACGAUUAUGUUUGGUUUUGUCAUAUUACUCAAUACAAGUUUAACAUGUGUCAUAUCCUUCAUCAAACUCAUUGAAGAACAUUUUAAGUUGUCUUAGAUUUUGGAGUUUUUUUAGGUCUCUUGUUGUAUUUCCCUGAAGAGACCAAUAUUUAUGGGUGGAGUUUGGAUACCUUAUUUGGCAUCCUAAGAUUUGAUUUUAUUGAUUCUAAAAAUUUAAUUCAUUGAUUGCAUUACUUUGUCUUUUCUUAGAUGACAUUUUACUACUGCCAACAAGAGAAUAAAUCCUCUUAAUUUCCUAUAAUUUGAUUUGAUUUUCUUUUGCAAGGUAAUUUUCUUCCAUGAGGCAUUUUUAUGUAUGGUUUCACAAAAUGAUAUGAAAGUGCUUCUAUAGUCUAGUGAUAGUUAUUGAUUUUAUGGUUUAACAAAAUGAUGAAUAUUGAAAAUUAUGGAUAGCCAAGUGGUAUUCCACCUUAUAAUGUCAAUCUCUUAAUUAUUGUAUGAAUACUUUUGCUUUAGGAUAGUAUUUCAUAAAUUUAAAGAGCUUUUGAUAUAGUAUUGAAGAAAAAUUGCAUUAACAUGGAACACAAUCAUAUAAGGUGAAUUAAAGGGGUUUAAAAGUAAAAUAUGGAAUUCUUUUAUUUAUUAACUUAUUAAAUUUUUAUCUUUUACUAAGAAAGAGAAUAAAUUGGAGAAUGGUUAAGAACAAACGGAGUUCAAAUUUUACUUUUUAUUUUCUAUUUUCUUUUACCUUCUAAAAUUUUCUUUUAUUUUUUAUUUUAAUUUUUUAGUCCAUUCAAUUUGAGAUAGCUAGAUAAAUAUAGUAUCAUCAUAAUCAUAUAUGUAUAUUUAGGUUGUUUGUUAUUGGGACUUUUACUAAAUUUGUAUACUUUACAUUAAGAUCUAGCAUUUCUUUACAAUGGUCUUAUAUAUUAGGUAAAAAAAAUUAUUUUAUAUAAAUAUUUUUCAAAAAGUAUUUGCAAAAUGUCUUACGUGAAAAAAACUCCAAGAACUCAAUACUCUUGUUAAAAGAAUUUAUAAAUACACAAUCUUGUAACUUUAUAGGUUAUAAUAAGACCUAGCAUUUCAUGAGGAGGGAGAAUUUUAAAAAAUUGUCGGUGGUUGGGCAAAAGAACUUAAAAACUUUAUGACUAAUAAGCUUUGUAAAAGUUAAACAAAAAGCAAGUCUUAGUUGAUUGACUUGACUCUAAAUCAUUUAAAAUCUAAUGAUUUUGCCAAAAAAAAAAAAAAGAGAGAAAAAAGAAAAAAGAAAAAAAUGUGACCUUAAAAGCAAAUACAACUAUAGUUCUAAAAUUUUAUUUCCAAAAUAUAUCUUCUUGUGAGGAUACAAAAUUGACUCUAAAGAAUUAAUAUAGUUUCAUAUUAAGUGUAUCUAUGUCCAAGAUUUUUUUUUUUUUUUUUUUUCUAAAUAAUGCAUUGUUUUUUAUAUUAAAAAGAAAAAAAAAACCUUUUAAUGUCAAUCUCUUAUUUUAUAAAUAAUUUUACUUUACAACAUAAUACUAUAAAUUUUAAAAACCUCUAAUUUAAUAUUGAAGAAAAAUUGCAUUUGCAUGUACACAAUCAUAUAAUAUAAAUCAAGAGGGUACAUAAGAAGUAAAUACCAAACACACGAGCAUAAGAAAAGGUGAAGAAGUAUAUAAAUUAAUAAAAUGUUUAAUGAUUAUUAUUAUGUAAUUGUGUCCUUUAAACAUUAUUAAUUUUUUAAUGGAAUCAUACAAAUUUUCUUUUUUGUAUAAAGGUAAACACAAACAUUGAAUUUUGAAAAAAAAAAAAAAAUUCAAGAAGCAUUUGCAAACAUUUUUGCAUGUAAAAAAAAAUCCUAGAUGUUGCAACUUAUAUUAAUUAGAUAAUUACCACGUUGUAUGUUAGACUUGACAAUUUAAGUAAUGAAAAUUUGAUGAAAACUUUAUGCUUGAUAAUACAUUCCCUAACAUUAUUAGUGGUGGUAAUCUUGUAACAUACGAUAAUUAGACUUGAUAAUGCAAAUUAACACCAAGUACCAUGAGAAAAUAAAGGAAAAAUGAGUGUCUCUCGUGUUUGUAGGUGAUAAAAAGUUAUUAAAUGAAGAACAAUAUUUAUAUUUUUUUAAUUUUCAUAAAUUUUCUUUUCAUUAUAGUAGAAUGCAUACCAUCCUACAAGAUAAAAUAAAUGUAAAAUUAGGGAAAGAUUAACAAGCAAAGUUGAAUGGAAGUAAUAUAUAAGUCUUGCUUUACUUGUAGUGGUCUUCUUUUUAAUAUAUUUUGUGCUUUAUAUGCCAUUGACUUCAUGAGAUGUUUCAAUUAAUUAUUUAUGAAUUAAAGUGUGUGGGAAGAGAAAGGCUAAUAUGCUUAUUGAAAACAUAGACUUUGGACAAUUAUCUUAUUUUUUUCUCUCUUUCACACAUGGUAGUGGUGUUUACUCAUAAAUUUUUUGAUGUUCUUUAGUAGGUAGAGAUAUUGUCAAGUCAAGUCAAUUGAUAUUGAAAACAUAGACCUUGGUUAAUUAUCCAUUUUAUUCUCUUUCACACAAGGUAAAGGUGUACAUUGAUAUUUCUGUCUUUUGCAAAGGAUACAUUACCUUUUUCUUUUGUGAGUUUUUUCGAGUCAAGUCAAUAGAUCCAUGGGUGGAGGAGAAAAAACAAACUAACAAACAUGGACCUUAGACCAUUACUUUUUUCUCUUUCACACGUGAUAGUGGUCUUAGUUCACAAUUUUUUCUAUGUCCUUUGAUAAGGGUAGGGACUCUUCAUUAUUAUCUCUCAUGUUGUUAGUUUCCAUCUUUAAUAUCUUACAUGCUAUCUUAUUCCAUCUUUAACUUGUAGUUUGGUGGCAAGUCUAUUUAUUGUGACUUGUAAGUCAAGUAUUUGGAAAAUUUGAGAUUCUUUUUAGCAAGACUAUUAAGUCUUGAAUUUAUUCUUUCAUAAAAAUUCUCUAUAGAAUUUAAGUAAAAAAUUUAUGUAAAAUAUAAAAAAAAAUUUAAAGAAAUGAAAUAUUUUGAAUACACAUAACAACAUAUUUGUGGGAAAAAGGAAAAGAGUGAUAAAUAGUGAUUAAAUGAAAAUAAAUAAAUAUAAAAAUGGGGGGAAAAACAAUAAGAAAAGUUGAACAAAAAGUAAUAUACAAGUCUUGCUUUUUUAGAAAAGUAAAGUUGAAUUGUGGAUGUCCCAAUUCACUAGCUUGACUUCAAAAGCUAAGAUGCAAUGAUGCUUUAUGCCCUUGAGAUCAUGAGAUGUUUUAAUUCAUUACUUAUGAAUUAAAGAAUUAGGUAGACCUAGAAGAAGGUAAAGACUAAUAUGGUUAUAUGGUUGUUAAAAAGUUAAAAAAAAAAAAAAAAAAAACCUUUGCUUUGGGGACAUUUCCUAGUUGAUUGACUUGACUUUGAACUAUUAUACAAAAGAACUUCAAAAAUAAAAAUAAAAAUAUAGCAAAAUAAGAAAUGUAGUUGUAUAAUUAAAUACAACUAUAGUUCUAAAAUUUUAUUUCCAAAAUAUAUCUUCUUGUGAGGAUACAAAAUUGACUCUUAAGAAUCAACGGAGUUUCAUGUAAAGCAUAUCUAUGUCGAGGAAUUUUUUUUUUCUCAAAUGAUGCAUUGUUUUUUAUAUCAAAAAAAAAAAAAAAAACCUUUUAAUGUCAAUUUCUUAUUUUAUAAAUAUUUUUUCUAUACAACAUAACACUAUAAAUUUAAAAAGCCUCUAAUUUAAUAUUGAAGAAAAAUUGCAUUUGCAUGUACCCAAUCAUAUAAUAUAAAUUAAGAGGGUAUAUAAGAAGUAAAUACUAAAGACAUGAGCUCAAGAGAAGGUGAAUAUGUACAUAAAUUAACAAAAAAUUUAAUGAAUAUAAUUAUAUGAUUGUGUCAUUUAAACUUUAUUGAUUUUUUUAAUGGAAUCACACAAAUUUUCUUUUCUUGUAAAAAAGUAAACAUUGGAUUUUUAUAACAAGAAAUAUUUGCAAAUAUUUUUGCAUGUAAAAAAAAUCCUAGAAGUUUACACUUUUACCAAAGAAUCUACAAAUACAUCAUCUUGCAACAUAUUAAUUAGAUAAAAUUAUUACUUUGUAUGUUAGACUUUAUACUUUAUACUUGAUAAUACAUGCUUUAACAAUUUGGUAAAUUUUUUUAUUAAUGGUAGUCUUGUAAGAUAUGAUAAUUAGACUUCAUAAUGCAAAUUAACACCAAGUACCAUGAGAAAAUAAAGGAAAAAUGAGUGUCUCUCGUGUUUCUAGGUGAUAAAUGGUGAUUAAAUAAAUAACAAUAUUUAUUUAUUUUUUAAUUUUCAUAAAUUUUGUUUUCAUUAUAGUGGCAUGCAUACCAUCCUAGGAGAUAAAAUAAAUGUAAAAUUGGGGAAAGAUUAACAAGAAAAGUUGAAACAAAGUAAUAUAUAAGUCUUGCUUUACAUGUAAUGGUCUUCUCUUUAAUAUAAUUUAUGCUUUAUAUGUCAUUGAGUUCUUGAGAUGUUUCAAUUAAUUAUUUAUGAAUUAAAGUGUGUGGGAAGAGAAAGACUAAUAUGCUUAUUGGAAACAUAGACUUUAGACAAUUAUCCUAUUUUUUUUUCCUCUUUCACACAUGGUAGUGGUAAACACUCGUAAAUUUUUCCAUGUCGUUCUUUAGUAGGUAGAGAUAUUGUCAAGUCAAGUCAAUUGAUAUUGAAAACAUAGACCUUGGUCAAUUAUCCCUUUUCUUCUCUUUCACACAAGGCAAAGGCAUACAUUGAUAUUUUUUAGUAGGUAGAGAUAUUGUUAAGUCAAGUCAAUUGAUAUUGAAAACAUAGACUUUGGUCAAUUAUCCAUUUUCUUCUCUUUCACACAAGGUAAAGGCAUGAAUUGAUAUUUCUAUGUCUUUUGCAAAGGAUACAUUACCUUUUUCUUUUUUUUGAGUUUUUUCGGGUCAAGUCAAUAGAUCCAUGGGUGGAGGAGAAAAAACAAACAAACAUGGACCUUAGACCAUUACUUUUUUCUCUUUCACACAUGAUAGUGGUCUUAGUUUAUAAAUUUUUCUAUGUCCUUUAGUAAGGGUAGGGACUCUUCAUUAUUAUCUCUCAUGUUGUUAGUUUCCAUCUUUAAUAUCUUACAUGCUAUCUUAUUCCCUCUUUAACUUGUAGUUCGGUGGCAAGUCUAUUUAUUGUGACUUGUAAGUCAAGUAUUUGGAAAUUUUGAGAUUCUUUUUAGCAAGACUAUUAAGUCUUGAAUUUAUUCUUUCAUAAAAAUUCUCUACAAAAUUUAAGUAAAAAAUUUAUGUAACAUAUAACAAAAAUUUAAAGAGAUGAAAUAUUUUGAAUACAUAUAACAACAUAUUUGUGGGAAAAAGGAAAAGCGAGAUAUUCUAAUCUUACUUUCUUAUCCCUUAUUUUUAAGAAUGUUCCAAUUAAUUGCUUUAGAUAAAACAUGUUUUCAAAGCAGAUGGACGUAGAAAAAUUAAAGUUCUGUGAAAUCAUGAAAAAUAGGAAGGAAAGUACAAAGGAAAAAAAAGAAGGAAAAAUAAGGAAGGGAAAAGAAAGAAAAACAAAGAAAGAGUUGAACAAUUUUUUCUCACACACUUUCAAAUUUAUGUUUGUACUUUUCUUUUUAUACAACUAAUAAAGAUUUGAAGAUGCUUAAAUAUUUAUAUAAUUUUUAUUAUAUUUAUUUCUCUUUCUAUCAUACAUCCAACUAGAGAAUUUAGACUUUUUUAACUUUAUUUUUAUUUUUUUAUAAUAGUUUCCAGGAUCUGAGUGGUAUCUAAAAUAUCUUAAUAUUGCACAUACUUCAAAAAAUUGUUUUAAUUUUUUCCCAUCUUCUUUGCUUGUUGAGCACUAACAAAACAUACUGUUGAACACAUGUUGUCCCAAUCUUAGGGUGUAAUUAUUUGAAAGAUGGUAUUCAGGUCCACAAGAAUAGUAGCCACUUUAAAGAUGCAUUGAGGUCCACUAAAAUGAUAGCCACUUUAAAGAUUUAUUUUAGGGGUCUUCAUAAGUCUCUUUUUUAUUGUCAUUUUUCUUUUGGUGAUCUUAGUAGAGUUUUAAAUAAAUAUGUUUUUCCGAACCUAAAGAAAUAGUAAAAUCUUAUAUUAAGAUAAAUAACAAGGAUCCGACCAAAUUUUAUUGAAGUGACAUGUUAUUUUAUUACAUAAUAGUUGGAAUGCCUUAUAAUUGGUAUUCUUAUAAAAUUUUAUAUUUUAUAUUUAAAAUCUUCUAUUUCUUCAAUUUUUUUUAUAUAUUAGACUAAAAAUUUUAAGUACUUACUGAAAAUUUCAUAUGAAAAAAAAAUCUUAAAUGUCUACAAUGUUGCUAAAAUAGUUUCAUAAAAAUCUUAAAUGUUAAGGCCUUGUGUGUUGGAAUCAAAUGAUUUGGUAUUAAUAGUAAUUUACUAGAAAUAUUUUAUUUCAUUCACUACAACAAAAAUAAUUUAUGGUGUCACUUUUAAAAUAAUGACACCAUAUGACUUAAAAUUCAUAAAGGUGACACAUCAUAUAAAAAUUUUUAAUUAGGAUAGGUGAUAUUAAUUUUAAGUUUAGUGUCAGUUUUAAAAAAGUGACACCAUAUAAAAUAAAAUUUUUAAAAUAUUAUAACUAAAUGGGCCCACUUUGAGAAUAAUGAUUGUAUAUAAAAAAAACUCAUUGUUUCCACAUUCCCACAAUCCAAAAAAAUCUCAUUCCAUAACCCAUAACCAUAACUUUCUUCUACCUCUCUUCUCACACCCAUAGUUCACACACAACUGCUCUUCUCUACUUCAUGAACUCUCAGGUAACCCAAAAUCUCUUAGAUCUAUCAUUUUCUUUUUUUUUUCUUUUUUUUUAUUAAUACCAAAAUCUUCAUUAGCACAACUGAUUUACAUUCAUUGAUUUGGUAUAUUUGUAAUGUAGAUUGUGUAAAUAGUGUUUUUUUUAUUGAGUUGUAGGAAAGUAAAAAUUAGGCUUAACAUUCCACUAUAUCUUUUGUUUCAUUGUUAAAUCCAUAAACCCCAAAACGAAUGAAAAUAAGAUAAAUGAAUGAUUUUUUAAUAUCUUUCAUACUCAAAAUGAGGGAUAAACAUUUUACAGUAUGAAAUUUUCUUUUGAUCUUACAAGAAAUUUCUUUUGAUGAGAUUUUAUGUUUGUUUUCUAGGAAUAUUAUAGUAUAUUGUGAUGAGGAUAUGUAUCGGUGAUAUUUGACAAAUAAUUUUUUAGAAAAUUAUUCUCAAUAUUGUCAUCUCCCACAAAAGGAAAAAUGAAAUAGUUUCCAUAUCAUGUUGGAGUUGGUUUAGAAUGUUGGAAUUAACAAUGAGAAAUUAAUUUUAUUUUCUAUUUAUUAAUGUAAAUGAAUUGUUCUUUAAAAUUUAAAUAGGAAUGAAAAUUUUUAUAAUUAUAAAAAUGAUCAAAUCUCAUAUUUUGAUUUUUUUUUUUUAAUUCUUUUACAUGGUAUUAUGGUUAAUAUCUCAUCUUGUUCUAUUCAUUUAUUUUUUUAAUCCUUAAAAUAUUUUUUUGUUUUUUAUUUUUACCUUCUUUUCUUAUUGUUUUUAUAUGUGUUCACCAAAAUUUAGAGUAAUUUGAGAUUGAUGAUGAAAUUUCUCUUUCAAGGUUAAAAAAUUUCUAUAAAAUCCUUUUAUUACAUAAAUUUUCCUUCCAUAAUUUUUGAGAAAAUUAUUCUCAAUAUUGUCAUCUCCCUCAAAAGGAUUCUAAAAAUUUGUUUUUUUUUUGUCUUCUUUUCUUAUUGUUUUUAUAUGCAUUGACCAAAUUUUGGAGUAAUUUGAAAUUGAUGAUGAAAUUUUCCUUUCAAGGUUAGGAAAUUUCUAUAAAAUCCUUUUAUUACAAAAAUUUUUCCAAUCCCUUCCAUAAAACUCUUCAUUUUCUUCAUUUUUCUUUUUUCUAAAAAGAUAUUUGAUAAUUUAUUGAUCUAAAGAUUAUCAAAAUUAAAAUCUAAAAUAUUGAAUAUCUUUUCCUUUGAUGUUUUUAAUCUUUUAUUAUUUUUAUUUGAACAUAUUUUUCAUAUCCAGAUUUUUUAUUAAUUAUUUUAAUUAGAAAAAAUAAAUAUUAAUUGGAGUUAUGACUGAAAAAUUAAUAAUUUUUAUGAAAGGUUCUUUAAUUCUUUCUCAUACUAAUUUUUUUCUUAAUAUUUUUUAAUAAUGAAUUAGGUUUUUUGUCUUAUAUACACAAUCUUCAAGCUUGUUAUAAUAUCAUGUCCUCUCAUAUUAAUAGUUGAAAACAUUUUUAUAUUUUGUUACUAAAAUUUUAUUUUAUAUAAUUGAGAUGAAAUUUAAUGGACAUUGUUAUUUCACAAAAUGAACAUUAAAAAAAUAUUGAAAUUAAAAAAAAUCCUUCCAAGAAAUAAAAAAAUAUAUAAAAAGAAUUAAAUGUUAAAAAUGAUUUUUAAAAGCACAAUGAAUUAUAAAAAAUAAAUUUAAAAAGUGCAGAUUUUAAGUGGAAGAUUACUAUUUUCUAAAAUUUUAGAUUUAUUUUGUGAUUUUCUAGUUUUUCUUUAUUUUUUAUUUUCUUGAAUUGUUUUUAUUUGAGUUCAAAUGUGACUGCUUUGUUAUGAGAUUCAUUAAAGAGAUAAUUGUUGAUUCUACAAUUAUUGUAUUAAAUGUUUUACUCAUUUAAUGAAUUGUACUUAGUUUCAUACUUCCAAUUAUUAUAAUAUUAAUGUUAUUCUCAUUUUAUUUCAGUUUUAUGAUAAAAAAAAAAAAACCAUAUUCUCAGGUAGAAUUUGAUGAAAUUAGAGGAGAAUUAACUUCUUUUGUGUUAUAACUAAUCAUGAAUCAUAUUGAUAAAUCAUGAUCAUGCAUGGUGAGUCCCUUAGUUGUUAUAUGAAUUUUCCAUUGGUAUUGUAUAACAUUACUUAUUCUUUACAAAUUAUUUUUAUAUCAAAAUGGGAAAAAGAAAAAAGAAAACAUUAGUACUUAGAUUUGUUUAUUUUUUAUAACAUCAAUUAAUUUUUAUUUUCAAUAAAACUCAAAAUCUCAUUAAACUAUGAAAUGCAGGUAUACACUCUUGGGAAGACAUUAUGAAGAAUAAAAAGAAAGGAGAAAGAAACAACAACAUUUUGGGUUUUUAGAUAUGACUCUUAUGUCAUAUAUUAUAGGACAUCAAUGUUACUUUAUUUGGUAUUGAGAAUUUUGGGUUUUUGGAUGCAACUCUUGUGUCAUUUUAUGAUUAGCCGGUUUUAUGCAUAUGAAAUGCAGGUAUACAUGAAUGUUGGAAUGCUUAACAUUUCUAAAUCAUAUUUUAAUAUGUAUUCACUUUUCUUUUUUAGUUUCGGUGGGUUUGAUGUACUAUCAUUUUGUAAACAUUUGAUAUACAAAUAUCACUGCAUGAUGUAAUGUAUUACAGGUUAAUCCAUAAGCAUUACGAAAAUAUAAGUUAAAUAUGAUAUGAUUAUUAUAUUUAUGGACAAAAUAUACAUAAGUUGAUCUUAUUUGUUAAUAAACAUUACAAAAAUCAAUAGGCUAAUUAAUAAAAAAUAACCACAUCUUCCAUAAUCAUUUACAAUGAUGUAACACCAUAACUCAAAGGUGAUGCAUUUAAUGUGACACCAUAACUAAAAGGUGAUGCAUUUAAUAUGACACCUUAUAUAUCUCAUGCAACUCUAUAUCAAAUUAAGUAUAACUAAAAAUAUAUGGUGUCGCUUCUGAAUCCUUUUAUGGUUAGAAAAUUGAUUGAAACUCUUCUAAAUUCCUAGAAAGAUUAUUAAGACAACAUGAAGCACAAAAAGAAAUAAAUGUCCUUGAAAAAUGUUAUUAUCCAUAUUUUAGGACCGAUCAUAAAAAAGAAUCAAGUGGUUGUUGAUCAUCCCACUUAAGAACUUGUUUGGAUAUGUAGUGAUCUACAUUAUAUUUUUGUUUUGACAAUUUAAGAGGUUUGUUCUUGGUUUUCUAUUUUCUUUCCAAUUCCUUCUUAAAAGAAAUUAGAAUCCUUUUAGGCUUACUUCACAUUAUGGAGUUAUAGGUAGAUUUUUUAAUUUCUUUGUCCUACCUCAAUUGUACUCCAAUAAUGUAUGUGAUUAAUUGGUACCCUAUUUGAAUUUGCAAGGCUAGCAUUAGCGGCUGGGAUGACUCUUGUUAAUUCAGGUUUGUGUUGAAAAUAUGCUUAAUCCAUCUAUGAACUAUUUAAUAGUUAUAGUAGAAUACCUUGAUACUUACACCACCCAUUUACUAAAUAAAUAACAAGACAUAACAUGUUUAAUAAAUAGGUUGGAUUGAAAUAUUAAUUAUGAAUUGAUACUUUUUACCCAUAACUUGAUAGCAUGAUUCUAAGUCGUUAAAUCGGUUAACAUGAUUACAAUCCAUUUAACCUCUUUAUGAUUUUGAAUUAAUAAAAUGUAUUUUUCAAAUAUUUUUCAAUUACUUUCAAGUUUUAAUUUCAAAAUUUUUCUAAAUCAUAAUUAAUUUAAUUAAUUGUAAUAUGCAAUAUGCUUAUAAGAUAAGAGAAAAAUCAAACUUUAAUUUUCACUUGUAUAGAGUUUUAUUUUAAUUUUUCAAUUAUAAAAUAUUUUUAAUCUUUAUAAUUUUUUAAAUAUAUAAAGUUUUACUCUAUUAGUUAUUUAAUUUGUUAAUUAAUUAAAAACUAUCAUUUUUUGAAUUUUAAUAUAUAUAAAAAUUAAUAAAUUUAAUGGUUAAACGAAUUAGUAUAUAAACAGGUUAUUUCUUGAACGUGUGAAAUUAGUCAAAAAUAAUUAUGGCACAAACACAAGAAUAUCCUAUCCAAACCUACUAAAAUUAACAUCAUCUUUUAGUUGCAUUGUGAAAUAAUGCCAAAAUUUUCACCCCCCAUUUUGCAUCUAACCAAGAUUCAAGAAUCAAUCUUGCUGAAAUCUUUUAAAAAUUUAUGAAAGAAAAGAGUAGUUGGUCUUACUUAACCAAUAUAUCCAACCCAAACCAACUAAAACUCCUAUAGUUUAUUAAUUCUCAUCCUCGUCCCAUUAAAAAAAUUAAAUAAGACGGGGCGAGACAGAACAAGUAUGUGAAUUUCCUAUACUUGUCCCACCCCGUUUAACUUUUUUAUUUUUAUUUUUUUUUUGAAAAAUUUUAAUUUUUUUAAAAAAUUAAUUUUGAUUUUUUAAUUACAUUAAAAUAAAUGUAUUUUAUAAAUAAUUAAAAUAUUAUAAUUUUGUAUAACUUAUUUUAUUGAAAAUAUUUGUUGUGGGUAGGUAUCGGAAAAACUAGCCCAAUUAUCAUUCCUAAUCAAAACCGAUGAGUCAACCUUGUCAAAAGUCUUCAAAAAUUUAAGGAAAAAAAAAAUAGUGGGGCCUUACUAGUUAUGAUUUUAGAACCAAUACUGUGUGAGAAGGGCUAAGCUUAAUGUUUGGAUUGGACAUAGCACUACGAAGUCAAUAAAAGUCGACAGUUGUCACAUCCUUAUUCACAACUUUGAUGACUUAUCGAUUCAACAAACCAUUUUUUCUUUCUCAUUUGUCAUUACUAAAUUUGAUUUGUCUUUAUCAAUGUACUAUGCAAGUUGAAUUAAAAGCCAUCUUAUGUAGAAAUGUCAAAUGUUUAUAAUUCAUAAAAUUGGAAAUUUGCUAGAAUUUCAAAUAUAAAUAUUUGAAAAUUUUAAGUUCUAUUUUCCAUCAAAACCUGAGAUAAAGUAGAAGGAAACUACGAGAAAAUUUCUAAGACAAAAUGCAUUCAAAUGGUGGGGUUAGAAAAAAAAACGACGGCUCAAGAAAUUUGAAUCAGUCAAACCUACCAUUCAGCUGAACCAAGUUGCUAAAAUGGUUUCAUAAAUUAAAAUAUAUAUAUGUGUAUAUAAUUGGAGAAAUUAAUUUGUGGAGAGCAUGUGGAUAAAUUAAACAUAUCCAAAUAUAUUAUAUAAAAUCUCAAGUCGAUAUAUAUGUAAUUUUUUUCAUGAGUUUCCUUUUUAAUCAAAUUCUGGUAAAAGAAAUAUUAAUAUUGCUUUGAAGUAUAAAAAAUUUUUGAUAAUUUACCUUCAGUAUUUAAAGCACCAAUAUAUGUUGGCUUACGAGAACAUUUAUUGGAGUUGGAUUCACUUGGCACUUUCAACGUGAGAGAAGUUUCUAGGAAAUUUGCUACAGUAUAAGAGAAAAAAAAACUGUACAAUUUUCCACAGAAGACCAUGAAAUUGAAUGAGUUUCCAUAGACUAUUUAACAAGAAAAUGUACUAACAAAAUUUUCCACACGAUGAAUAGAUAACAAUGAACUUGAAUGAGUUUCCAUGGACUAUUUAACAAUAAAUGAACAGAUAUUUUCCAUUGACUUGGAUGUUAUAUAAGACUUCCAUGUGGAAUUUUCAAGUGCCGUGUGAUUUCGGGAGGAAUGAAUGGAAAUUUUUUGACGAGUUAACAUUGUCUUAUUUAACAUGGGCCUUCCUACACAUAUGAUCUUUCAUUGGCUUUGAUGUUGUAUAAGACUUCCAUGUGGAAUUUUCAAGUGCCGUGUGGUUUUGGGAGGAAUGAAUGGAAAUUUUUGACGAGUUAACAUUGUCUUAUUUAACAUGGGCCUUCCUACACGUAUGAUCUUCCAUUGGCUUUGAUGUUGUAUAAGACUUCCAUGUGGAAUUUUCAAGUGCCGUGUGGUUUUGGGAGGAAUGAAUGGAAAUUUUUGACGAGUUAACAUUGUCUUAUUUAACAUGGGCCUUCCUACACGUAUGAUCUUCCAUUGACUUGGAUGUUAUACAAGACUUCCAUAUGGAAUUUUCAAGUGCCGCAUGAUUUCGGGAGGAAUGAAUGGAAAUUUUUGAUGAGUUAACAUUGUCUUAUUUAACAUGGGCCUUUCUACACGUAUGAUCUUCCAUUGGCUUUGAUGUUGUAUAACACUUCCAUGUGGAAUUUUCAAGUGCCGUGUGGUUUUGGGAGGAAUGGAUGGAAAUUUUUGACGAGUUAACAUUAUCUUAUUUAACAUGGGCCUUCCUACACGUAUGAUCUUCCAUUGACUUGGAUGUUAUAUAAGACUUCCAUAUGAAAUUUUCAAGUGCCGCGUGAUUUCGGGAGGAAUGAAUGGAAAUUUUUUGACAAGUUAACAUUGUCUUAUUUAACAUGGGCCUUUCUACACAUAUGAUCUUCCAUUGGCUUUGAUGUUGUAUAAGACUUUCAUGUGGAAUUUUCAAGUGCCGUGUGGUUUUGGGAGGAAUGAAUGGAAAUUUUUGAUGAGUUAACAUUGUUGUAUUUAACGUGGGCCUUCCUACACAUGUGAUCUUCCAUUGACUUGGAUGUUAUAUAAGACUUUCAUGUGGAAUUUUCAAGUGCCGUGUGGUUUCGGGAGGAAUGAAUGGAAAUUUUUGACGAGUUAACAUUGUCUAUUUAACGUGGGCCUUCCUACAUGUAUGAUCUUCCAUUGACUUGGAUGUUAUAUAAGACUUCCAUGUGGAAUUUUCAAGUGUCGUGUGGUUUCGGGAGGAAUGAAUGGAAAUUUUUGACGAGUUAAUAUUGUCGUACUUAAUGUGGGCCUGCCUACACGUAUGAUCUUCCAUUAACUUGGAUGUUAUAUAAGACUUCCAUGUGGAAUUUUCUAGUGCUGCGUGGUUUCGGGAAGAAUGAAUGGAAAUUUUUGACGAGUUAACAUUGUCAUAUUUAACGUGGGCCUUCCUACAUGUAUGAUAUUUAGAGUUAUAACAUUAUUGAUCUUGCAAAACAAUCUAGUAAAAAUUAUAAUAAUGAUAUAAGACAUAAUUAAAUGGGUGGGACAAGCGUGAGAAAUAGAGCGGUUGGCUUAGUAGAGAGAGAGAGAGAGAGAGAGAGGUCCAUAUGGGAAACAGUUGCUAAGGAAAUUACUUGGUCCUUUCUGUAUGUUCAGUCGUUGAAUCUAUCAACCUUCUAAUUCCAAAGUGUCAAAUGGUGAGAUAUUGUCCGCACAACAAAACUCUCACAUGCUGAAACACAGAGAAAUUAAGAGGGCAGUAGGCUUUUGUGUGUUGUUACCACAUGAUUUGGUAUUACCGGUAAUUUAUUAAAAAUAUUUUAUUUCAUUUUGCUUUAUUUGCAUCAACAUAAUUACAAACUUAUAUUUAUAAUAAACAAAUCAUCGUUGUAUAUGACUAAUUCAUAAUUACACUAAGAGUUUCAAUUAACAUAAUGAUCCUAAACAAAUAAAAAAUUUUAAUAUUUUUCGAACUCCUAAAAUACUUUUAAUUUGAAUUGAAGUCAGAUAAUUAUGACUUGUGGGUUAUGAUGAUUAUACUUGAGUGGUAACCUUGUAAGUUAUGAUGAUUAAAUUUAAUAAUACAAUGACCAGAUAUGGUAUGCAAAAAAUAAAUAAAAAUAAAAAUAGGAGUCUUUAAUGUUACCAAGUGAUAAAUAUUAAAUAAAAAUAAAUAAAUAUAAUAAUAGGAGAAACACAACAAGAAAAGUUGAACAAAAAGUGAUAUACAAGUCUUGCUCUUUCAGAAAAGUAAAGUUGAAUUGUGGAUGUCUCAAUCCACUAACUUGACUUCAAAAGCUAAGAUGCAAGGGUGCUUUAUGCCCUUGAGAUCAUGAGAUAUUUUAAUUUAUUACUUAUGAAUUAAAGAAUUAGGUAGAUUUACAAGAAGGUAAAAAACUAAUAUGGUUAUAUGACUGUUAUAAAAAUAAAUAAAAAAAUAAAAAAAUAUUGUAACAUCUCUUUCUUAUUCUUUGCUCGGGGGACAUGUCCUAGUUGUUUCACUUGACUUUGAACCAUUAUACAAUCAAAUUUCAUAAGUUAGUUGGAAACUAAAGUAAUGAUGCAAUCAACUUUUUUUUUUUUUUUUUUUUCCCUAGUUUGUGAAGAUGUCUUGAUUAAUGUGUUUUUCUUUGUAAUGGAGUUUCAAUAUGUUGAUAUAACUUAAAAUAAGAGAUUAAAGAUUUGUAAUUAUUUUUGGUCAAUAAAAGUAGAAAACUAAAAUAAGAAAAUCUUUCUUCCUCAUUUGUCAUUAAUUAUUAAUUAAAUUUGAUUUUGGAUCAAGAUAUGUUAAUGAAUUUACAUAAGUUGAGCUUUAAGGAAUCAUAUCAAAUAUUGGAGAGUUGUCAUUAAUUAUUAAUUAAUAAAAUUAGAGAUUUGCUAGAAUCUUAAUUAAUUUAAACAAAAGUGAUUCGAAAAAACAGUUUUUAUAAGAAUUUAUAACAUUCAAAAAUUGUUAUGUAACUUUUAAUAGUGCUGAAAAGAACUCCCGAAUAUUCAAAAAUUGGGUUCUAAAGAAAUCAAGGGUAGUGAAAACUGAAAAGCUACUAGCUCAGCUGUUGGAGGCCUUCCAACUGUGCAAAACCCAAAGGUUAAAACGACGUCGUUUUCUCAAACUGGGACGACGCCGUUUUGGGUUAGGACGCAGUGAAAUAAGAUUGAAUUCACAAUCGUUUCAUUAUUUGCCGCUUUUUCCAGUUGCCGGAAACGACAAAGCUUCACGGACUGAGUGGUAUAAGAAUUUCAAUUUACUUAAACAAAAGUGAUUUCAAAAAACAGUUUUUAAUACAAAAAUUAUGAAUUUCACUCUUCAAUAAAUAAAAGUGGAAGGAAUCUUGGUAUUGCGUUCAUAUGGUAGACUCAAACAGAUACUAUAUAUAUGUGAGUGCUUGGUCUCCUCGGAAUUCAUAAGAGAAAAACAGCAGUUGCAAAGCCUCUCUUCUAUUACUUGCAGACCAUGGCAGGACGGUCCUUUCAACACCUUCUUAGCUUUCUUGUGCUUUUGCUGCUAUGUGCCAAACCUGGCCUCGGGAAUGUUACUGGGUGCAUAGAGAGGGAGAGACAAGCUCUCCUUCACUUCAAACGUGGCCUUGUCGAUGACUAUGGCCUUCUUUCUUCUUGGGGAGAUGAACAUGACAACAGAAAUUGUUGCAACUGGAGAGGAGUCCAGUGUAGUAACCAGUCAGGUCACGUCAUCAUGCUUCAUCUUCAAGCCCCUCCUUCUGAAUAUGCUUAUGAGUACCAGUCUCUAAGAGGUGAGAUAAGUCCUUCGCUGCUUGAAUUGGAGCAUUUGACUCAUUUGGAUCUCAGCUGUAUUGAUUUUGAAUGGAGGCAUAUAC
rnacentral:lncRNA from 1 species